rnacentral:lncRNA from 1 species
ACAACAACAUUCUUCAAAGCAUUGGUGCAUUGGCUUCUCUUAAAAUUUUGUCUUUGAGUGGUUGUGGGCUGUCUGGGACAUUACCUACCCAAGGUAAAUUAAUAAUUAUGACAUAAUUAUUUAGACAAUCUCUUGAUUAAUUAUUUUUUAUCCUCCUAGAAUAUUUAAAUAAUUUGUACAAAUUUAUUUUACAGGAUGGUGUGAUUUACGGAAAUUUGAGGUGUUGGAUCUUAGUGAAAAUGCUCUUAAAGGAACCCUCCCUUCAUGUUUGGCUAACUUGUCAUCACUUCAUUAUUUGGAUAUUUCCGGUAAUCAAUUCGUUGGGAAAGGUGCCUCCACUGCCUUAGCCAAUCUCACUUUGCUUAGAUUCAUUUCUCUUUCACGAAACCUAUUCGAAGUUCCUUCCAUUUUCAUAUCAUUUGCCAACCAUUCACACCUCAAAGUACUCUCCAGCAAUCAAAACAAGUUAGUCGAAGAGCCUACCAUUCCAACAUGGGUCCCAAAGUUCCAACUAAAAGCCUUCCGUUUGUCAAAUUGCACAACAAAGGAACUCCACACUGAAAUUCCGAAAUUCCUCUAUUACCAAAAUAACCUGGGUAUUAUUGAUCUUUCAUAUAAUAAUUUUGGAGGGAAGGUUCCUUUUUGGUUGUUAGAGAACAAUACAAGAAUAGAAGCAUUUUUAAUGAAGGGUAACUCUUUUAUGGGUCAUCUCAAUCUUCCAUCUCAUCCGAAUCCAAACAUAUCCUUUGUUGAUAUAUCUGACAACAAAAUACAAGGUCCAAUUCCAGCAAACAUUUGUUCAAUCUUUCCACAACUAAAUGGGUUAAACCUAGCAGGCAAUUCCCUUCAAGGUAAUAUUCCUCCUUGUCUGGGUAGUUUGACCACUUCGAAUUUAUUAUUAGAUCUGUCACAUAAUCAGCUAUCUGGAGGAAUACCAGAAAUAUUAGCUCAAAGUGACUCGUUGAGGUUUCUUAGGCUAUCAAAUAAUCAUCUAAGUGGAAAGAUAACCCCAACGAUCUUUUGCUCAACUUCAUUACGAUUGCUAUAUUUAGAUGGCAAUAACUUUGAUGGAAAUAUACCUAGCAUUGAUAUCUCAACUUUCCUUUCAUAUUCCCUUGUUGAUAUGGAUUUAAGUAACAAUAAUUUGUCCGGAGAGCUCCCAAGAUGGAUAUUGAAUGUGUCAAAUUUAAUGGCAUUGGCAGUAUCUAACAAUCAGCUCAAGGGUCUCAUUCCGAUGGAAUUGUGCUAUUUGGAUUCCCUUAGAAUUUUGGACCUUUCAGAAAAUAAAUUUUCUGGCCCAAUACCAUCUUGCUUCGGCACACAAUUUAUCAUACAUCUCCAUUUGAGCAAAAAUAGAUUAAGUGGCACCUUGACAAAUGCAUUCUUUAAUAGCUCUUCCUUGGUGACUUUAGAUCUUAGUGAAAAUCAGUUGAGUGGAGAAAUUCCAUACCAGAUUGGAACUCUUUCUGCUUUGAGUGUUCUCCUUCUAAAAGCCAAUUAUUUUAUUGGAGAAAUUCCCAUUGAGAUAUGCAAAUUAUAUUCUUUAAGUAUCAUUGAUCUUUCUCAAAACAAGCUUUUUGGUCUGAUACCUUCUUGUUUGAGUCGUUUAACUCUUGAUCCAAAUGAUGAAAAAUCUUCAACAAAUAUCUAUGUGGAGGGCUUUGGAGGAAUCUUUGAGCCGGGUAAUUACUUUGGAAUGACUGAAUUUGAAUUUCUCACUUUAAGAGGAUACGAGUCAUUAGAUGUAGAUUUCGAAAUUGAGAAUCAAAUGGAAGAAAAGGUGGAUUAUACAACAAAAAGAGCAUCUUACACAUACAAGGGAAACAUUCUUAAAUACAUGUCGGGAAUUGAUUUAUCAUGCAAUAGAUUAACAGGUGAAAUCCCCAUAGAGAUUGGAAAUUUGAGUGAAAUCCGAUCACUAAACUUGUCGCACAACAAUUUGACUGGACAUAUACCGUCAACGUUCUCAAAGCUCAAGCAAAUUGAGAGUUUGGACCUGUCUCACAACAACUUAAUUGGAAGAAUCCCUGUUCAAUUAACGGAGUUGUACACCUUAGCAGUCUUCAAUGUGUCACACAACAACUUGUCAGGGAGUAUUCCGUCUCCAAAAGCUCAAUUUGGAACCUUUGAUGAAAGCAGUUAUGUGGAGAAUCCUUUUCUCUGCGGGCCUCCCCUGCAUAAAAAUUGCAGCGACCUUGAUUCACCCCCGACAACAGCACCAAAGAGCUCAAACGAGGAAGAAGAAAGUGGUUUGAUGGACAAGUAUGUUUUCUGGGUGACCUUUUUUGUUUCUUACGUGAUUGUGUUACUGGUUAUUGUUCUCAUCCUGUAUAUAAAUCCUUAUUGGCGACAAGCAUGGUUUUCUUUUGUUGAACACUGCAUCAAGACUUGUCAGUACUUUCUUCUGCGAUUUUCCAUCUUCAAAAGGAGUGGGUAGCCUUGUAUUUUGGUGGUUUACAUUUGUAUGUAAUUUUCAUCACUCUUUUUUUAUUUUUCAAAGUUUGAUUGGAUUAUCUGCUUCUAAGUUUUUAGAGCUAGAAUGCAAUAUAUCUGUUAUGGAAAGCAAUAUAUAAAGUUAUGCAUUUUCAAUUAAAACAUUUAAUAUUGCUUUAUAAUUUUUAGUGUUCUGAUAAGAUGAUGUUAAAUUCAACAUAUUGUAGCAUAUAUAUUAAUAAAACCUAUAUUCAUCUAUACAAAUUUUUUAGUCAACCAAACCAUUGAUGUGGUGGCAAAAACUUCACAUUGUUUUCAAGUCUUCAUUGACAUUAGGUUGAGGUUUCAAACCCUAGCGUAAAAGAGGGGGGAGAGGGGUUGUCUGAACCAAAACUUCAUUUCAACAGAUAUCCUUUACCCACUAAAUCAUAUGCUCAACUGAAACUUUUAUAUAUAUAUAUAUCAAACAUGAAUGAUAUAAAUAGUCUUUAAAUUUUUAAAUGAUAUAAAUAUAUAUAUAUUUUUAAAAUGAACAAAAAUUAUAAUAAUUAAUAUGUAGUUUCAUUAUUUUAUUUAAACUCAAAAUAAUAAUAUUUAAAAAUUGAGUUUACGUGAUAUUUAUUUACUUUAAAAUUAAUAAAAUGUAAAUAUAAACUUUAUUUUAUUUUAUUUAUAUUCAAAUUUAAUAAAUGUUUAUCUAAUUUAUUUAAAUUUAAAUAAAUUAAAUAAAUAAGCACACAAUUUUUUUUAGAGAAAGUGAUGACUCUUUUUUAAUGAUGAGAUGUUAGAAGAUUUACCAUAUGUGUAAUGUGGAGACAAUAACCCUAAUAUGUAACUUUUGCACAAUAACCUUAAUUUAUAAUUAGUGAAUCAUCAAUUAAAAAUUAAUUAAUUGAGUAUUUACACUUGUCCAACCAUAUUUUAUUUAAUAAGUGUCAUGGAUCAUAGGUCAAAUAAGUAUCACAAUAAUCACAGUAAUACCUGCAAAAAUUGAAUCCAAAUAAACAUAUCCAUAAAUUGUUAAUGAAAAUUUGUUCGCAGCGAGAACCUUAACUAAGAUUGGAAGAAUUUAUAUGUUUUUGUCUUUUUGCUAAAAUGAGUAUAAAACAUAUAAAAAAUAAAUUAUGAAUGUUCAUUUUUUUAAUAGUUCAAAAAAAUAUAUUAUAUAUAAUAUAUAUUAUUGUUUUGCAUUUGCUCCUCAAAGAAAAUGGAAACAAUCGUAAGCCUAUGGCAUCAUUAGAAACACCAUUAAUCUUGAUGUGUCGCAAAUCUCUAGAAAGUUAGCCAAAUGAGUAUUCAGAUCUUCAUCUUGCAACCUAUCAAACUGAACAUAUUGUUGUACCAUCUGAAUUGUGUUCGACUUUAGCUCAAAAUUAUUUACAGCAAUAGUCAGUCUGACAAUACUCGAUUCAACCCCAAUCAGAAUAGACUUAGCAUAAUCAUACAUAGUCCGAAGAGUAGGAGCUGCAGGAAGCUGUUGAUUAUUUUUAUGAUUAUCCAUCUCCACAUUAAUAUCCUUUUCCUCUUGAUCGUCUACUAAAAUCUAUUUAUCUUGUCUUUUGCUUUUCUAACCUCUCUAAGAUUUCUACGAGCAGUCUUUUCAACUUCACUAUAAAAAAUUAAUGUUUCUGACGAGUUUCCUCUAGUCAUAAACCAAAAGACUCUAUCAUAAUAAAAAAAUGAAAAAUUAGAAUAUUGUAAAAGUUAAAUUAAAAACAAAAAUAUCAAAAUAAAAAUAAAAAUAGCUAAAUUAAUAGAAAUAAAGUUUUCCUAAUAUUUUAGUCCCCUGGCAAUGGCGCCAAAAACAUGAUGCAGUCAUAAACCAACUAAAAAUCUGACUAAGGCAAGUGUACCUAUCAAUUAAUUGUAUAGUUACGAUGAGCAAAUAAAUCGUUCCCACAAAGACUAAAAGUAGUAAUUACUGUCUUUCUAUUAUUUAAUCGAUAAACUCGAGUAAUUGAUUAAAACUAAAAUUAUUUAAAUUAAUUAACAAUGAAUGUGACAAAUAAUAAAUCAGGAAAAUAAUUGAAUAAUAACCAAGAAGCAAAACAAUACCUAGGAAAAAAUUCACCUAGAUUUCAUCUGUCAUUAUCAAUCUAAAUUCCACAAUUUCUUUACUUAGUAUCUUAAUUCAUAGAAAUCCCUAAAUCAUGCUAAUAUCUCUCUUCAAGAAUAAGAGCAAUAACUUUAGGCUGGUUAAUUGAAAUUUCUUUCUAAUUAAAACCCUUAUUAUCGCAUUAAAUCGCUUUAUGGAUUUCCCAAUUACAUUUGACUCUAAUUCGGUGGAUUUAUAUCAUCCUAUUUCUAAGAUUGCAUGCAACUUCACUCAAUUACGCUAGAUCUACUCUUAAACAAGGUCUAUUCCUUCUCUGAUUUAAGCACAACAAACAUGGAUCAACAAUCUAGAAAUAUUAAACCAAGAGUAAAAUACACAUAAUUGAGAGCAAGAUCUAAGUAUUUAUUGUGUAAAAAUAGAAAUCAAAUAAUAUAAUUCAUCCUAAAGCUUAUCUCUCUAGGUAUUUGGAAAAUUAGUUCAUACUUGCAAAUAAAAACAUCCCAAAGACAAUAUAACCAAAAGAAAUAAAGAAGCUCGUGAUAAUCUCCUAAGAAAUCAACUGUGAGUCUUCAAUCUUGACUAAAAUUUGCUUCAGAAUCGGCUUCAAUGGUGUUUUCGAGUUGUUUUAUUGAGCAUUCUAUGACGGCUCUCUCCCCUCUUCUUAUAUUUGUCAUAUAUAGGUCUUAGAAUGCUCGAAAAACCUAAACAAAAGUGUUUUUCCGCAAGUUUGAAGUGUGACUCGUGAUUUCUACGUAGUCUCGCACAUGACCAUGUAGAAGCUCGUGUGGCCACACGGUCGUGUGUCCAGCCCAUGUGGCUCCUGAAACUUGCUCCAAUUUUCACUUAUUUUUCACUCUUUUUGCUCUAAAAUGCUACUAAGUAUAGAAACAUGAAUUUAAAGGAUUAGGAGCAUAAAAUUCACCAUUUUAAUUCGAAUAAUAAUCCAAAAAUGCAUUAAGAAUGAGGCUAAAACAUGUUACUUUUGGCAUUUAUUAAUUUUGCCAACACCCAAAAUAGUUGCUUAAAGGUACAAAUUUAAACAACCCAAAAAAGGGUCAGUAUAAUCCAAAAAGCGUUGUGUUAGGCUUUUCAUAUGAUAACACUUUUAUAUAGUUGGGAAAGGUAUAACAAAAGUCGGCAUAGUGUUGGAUAAAACUGAUUCUUAUUUAAGCGUUGCCUUAGGCAUGCAUAUCCCAACCUUUAUACAAAGAGUUGGCCAAAGCGUAUGUUAACAAGUCUAUCCUAACACUUAGGAAAGUGUCAGCAUAAUGUUGGACAAACUCGAAUCUUAUUUAAGUGUUGCCUUAGGCAUGCAUAUCUCAAACCUUAUACAAAGAGUUGGCCAAAGCAUACGUCGACAAGUCUAGUUAUUAGCUCAAUAGAUCAAACAGGAAUUGCUAAGAGGGGUGAAGUGGCUUUUAAAAAAAUGUGAAAGCUAGAAAGAAAAUUGAAAGAUGAACAUAAUAAUUUAGAAUGGUUUAGCCCCAAUUGCCUACCCCACUACCUUGACUUUCCACAACUAAGGAUUUUCCAAAAUUCACUAAAUUGAUAACCUUUAAGGAUAAGGUUUAACAUUACAACUCUAUUAAGAUUUCUGUAACACCCCAAACCCGGCUAGACGUUAUAACCGAAUCUGGCGAUGUCACAUGGAAUGGGAUUUGAAACCUCGUUGUUACGAUGAAAACAUUCCAUGCUAUUAUCUUUAGUAAACCUUUGUUAGAACUUAGGAAGUCGUCUUUAUUCAUUUAAAACAUUUGUUUUGAAACAUGCCUCGUUGUGGAAGCUUUAAUAAAACAGUCUAUGUGAUCAUGCGUUUAGAAAAUAAUUUAACUUUUUGAAAACGGAAUUUCCUAAGACCCGCAGGUAUAAAUCCAUAAAGUAAAAUAAAUAAAUAAAAACCCAAAUUUAAAACCAAAAUCCUAGAAGGUCCUUAAAUUACAUCCCAAAUAAUCAAUAAUAAUCAAAUCAUAAAUCGUAAAUUGAAAACCAUGAAGUCGAAAAAUUACGGUGGUUACCGCUAAGUCCUCCGUCGCACCGAUCCAUCUAAGUCUAGGGAUUAACUAUGCACAUUAAACAAAAAAUGUGAGUUUACGUAAACUCAGUGUGUAGUCCCGUAGAAACAAACAAACAAUCAGUAUUCACAGUGCACAGUUGAACAGUCUUGGGCCUAAGCCCUUUUCAGUAUCAGUGACAGUUUGGGCCUUAGCCCAUCUCAGUAUAGUGUCAAAAAUGCAGUAGGUCCUUAACCCAUCACAGUAUUAGUAGCAGUAACAAUUAUGCAGUAGCAAAAUCCUACCCAACCAGCCUCUACACACCAUCUUCGUCUAACCCUACAUUCUAUGUGGGGAUAUAAUCAACCUACCCAUCCCUUUUUAAUAAUAACCCAUGCUAGCUAAAUAUUCUAUGUUUUCACUAUUUACUUAUAUGUUCAUUUAAAGCUGUCUACUUGAGUCAUUGUCACUAAAUUAUUUACAUCUUAAGCUACAGAAUUCCAAAUUAAGAUCUGCUUGAUGUUUUCAAAACUGGACUCAGAUAUCUUUCUACCAUAAAUUUUCAAAAUUUAUAGCUUAUCAAAUAAGUACAGUAAAAUCUUCAAAGUUAUCCCUAUUCUGCCAUUUGACAGCUUCAACCUUUUCCUUACUAAAAAUUAUUAAUCUCUUAGUACGAAAUUUGAAUGAUGUUUCCAUUUGUUUCUCUUGAAAGUAGACUUAUUAAAGAUUUAAAUGUAUAAAUUUAAGCCCCUAAUUAUUUGUUUACAAUUUUUGAUAAUUUUCUAAAAUCAGAACAGGGGAACAAGAAAUCAUUCUGACCUUGUCUCAGAAAAUUUAUUAUAUCUCAUAAUUUACAAUUCUAUUGCUUACACUGUUUCUUCGAUGAAAAACUAGUCUCAAUAAAAUUUAAUUUAAUAUUUUAUUCAACCCUUAACUCAAUUUUCACUAUUUUUGAUGAUUUUUCAAAGUUAAACUACUGCUACUGUCUAAAACUAUUUUUGUGCAAAAUGUUGAUUUCCAAGGUUAUAACACCCUUAUUUCCUUUCUCUACAAUUUUUUUCGCAUCAUUUUCUCUUAUGUCUCGACAGCAAGCGAUUUUGACUUUUUGCUGAAUCCCCUUUUCUGCGUUUCGGGUACACACCUGGUUUCGUUAGAUGCUAAAAUAGUCCCCGAGCACUCCAAAGCCUAUAAUUGAACAAAUAACAUCAAUUUAAUCUCACAUAACGUGAUCCCAAAUCAAACUCAUAUCGAGGUUUUAACCCAUAAGCGACUAAACCUUACCUUCAACUGAUAAUAGUAGUUCCCACACAAACUAAGACUCCGAUUGGUGAUUACAAGCCCUUGAAUCAUCCCCUAAUAGGCAGAAACAAAACACUUUAGAAGAAAGUUAACAAAUAGAGACAAAUCACUUAUCUAAAACUUGUCGAACGAUCGCAGACAAACAUGGAGCGACACGAGGCAGAGUGGGAAAAAAAUCAAGAAGAUGAAGGGUGAAAGAGAGCAGAAAUUUGGCAAUAAUGAAGAGAAAAACAGCAAAAGGGUGGAGGGAUUUUGGGGAAAGUAAAAAAAAAGAAAAAAAAAAUUAACAGAAUAUUUGAUAACCACCCCAAUCCCUUAUUUCUCUCCAUCAAACUCCCCACAAAUCCACUACUCAGAUUUUUAGUCCAUCUCAAACUCUCUUGGACACAUGAGCAAAAAUAAUGCCUAUGCUAAGAUUCAAACACAAGACCUCUUUCACACCAACACUCUACUUAUCCACCAAACCAGCAAGCUAAUUUUGUUAAUUAUUUGCCAACUUUUACUUAAAAGUCUACUGACCAAAUAUAGGACUUAUUCAUAAAAAUACCAAAAUUUGCCCAAGUUCUGGCUUGAACUUGGGACCUCCCAAACACACCUAAAAUACUUAACCACUGAAGUAGAUACACAAUUGUGUCACACAUUCACAAUACCCAAAAUUAAAAUUUUUAGGUGUUACAGUGCUUCUUUUACUGAAUUAAACUAUAACCUUACUAACCUUAUAAAAUGCAUAAAAAACUAAUAAAUCACUUGAUUACAAACUCAUUAAGUAUAGAAUCAAGCUUAAUUUGCCACAACGAAUUGUGGUUAAUCAAUUGUUAAUAUGAAAUUUAUUUUUUUAGAACACCAAAUUCUUUCAACCGCAUUUUGAAGCAGUGGUGGAUCCUAGGACAAAGUUUGGAGGGGAGGCUAGUAAAAUUUUUAGGAAUUAUAAUAUAUAUAUUUGCCAUAACCAUCUAAUACUCAUACUUGUUUAUGCUUAUAAUAUAAUUUUUGUAACUAGUAUAAAAAUAAAUUUUUAAAAUGGGAUUUGAGUGUAAUUACGUAUGUAAUCAUUUUAAUUCUCAGUCCCCUAAGAAUUAAAAAGUGUAAUUGAGUGCUCUAAUUACAGCCAAUUCGUGGGACUCACCAAUCAAUGGUUACCCAAACAUGUCAUCUUUGUGUAAUUACUAGCAAUUACACCCAAAUUCAAUUACUAGGUGAUUUUCCAAACACUGUGUAAUAUGUCGCGACAUCUAAGCCCUUUUGUUUUGUACUUUUUUUAACUUAAUUUUUAAGAGUCCAAGAAAAGUAAAUUACUUAUUUGGUAACACUUAUAUUUAGUCAAGCUAAAAAUAGCUUAAUAAAUUGAUGUUAUUUACUAUAUUUGUCAAACCAUUUUAAAACUAAUUUUGGCUAAGUCAAAAUCACUUUUUAUUCAACUUACCUUUACUAUUUUUAGCCAAUUGAAGUCUUAUAAAUACCUUGUUCAUUUUCAUAAUAUACACACUUGCUCAUCCUUUCCAUCCUUUUAAGAUUGCUAAGUAUUUUUUUGUUGUGAUCUAUUAUUGAUUCCUACUCCCUUUUUAUAAUGAAAGAACUUAUUAAUACCUUAAUAUUUUACUAUUGGUUCUUUCUCACUUUUGUUUUAUUUUCAUCACUUUUAAAAUGUUAUUGUAGCGACCUAAAACUUUCUGGGCACGGGCGCUAGUCGAAGUAAUUAUUGAAGGUUUGAAAACAGUGUCUCGAUUUUAUUCGAAAAAGGGAGUCGCCACCGAUCUUUUUUUUUAGGUGUGAUCGGACACCUACAAAAUUCCCUUUUUAGAAGAAAAAUUUAUUUUUAAGCUUUUCUAAAAAGAGGUAAUUUUAGGUCCACGUAAAAAUCCAGAGAAAAUUAGGGUUCGGGAGUCGGUUACGCGCGAGGAAGGUAUUAGCACCCUCGCGACGCCCAAAAUUGGUAUCUCGUUAAACGCAUGUUGUCUUAACUUUCAAAAAUACGAGUUCCAUUUAAUAUUUAGUCGUGAUCCGAUUGAAACACGAGAAUUUUGAAACACAACAACCCCUUUUUUUUGAAAACACGAAAUUUUUUUAAAACGCAAGAAUUUUAGAAACACGAAAUUUUUCUUUAAAAAAACACGAAAAUUUUGAAACACGAGAAUUUUUUCAAAACACGAAUUUUCUUUUUGAAACACGAAAAUUUUGAAAACACAAAGUUUUAUUUUGAAAACACAAAAGAUUUGAUAAAUUACGAAACAUGAGAUUUUUUUUGAAACACGGAAAUUUAUGAAACACGGUCAAUUUUUGAAAACACGAAAAUUUUUGAAAGACGGGAUUUUUUUUUGAAAACACGAAAAUUUAUAAAACACGGAAAUUUUUUCUAAAAACAAGAAAAUUUUCGAAAAACGAGAAUUUUUGAAAACACAGGAAAUUUUUGAAAACAUGAAAUUUUUUGUUACACUAGAAUUUUGAAAACACGAAGAUUUUUGAAACAUGAGGAUUUUUGAAAACACGAAGCUUUUUGAAACAUGAGAAUUUUUUGAGAACAUGAAAACAUGAAAAUUUGUCAAACACGGGAAUUUUUUGAAAACACGAUAACAUCAAAGAGUAGUCAAGAGAGUUUUUUGAAACACGGAAUUUUUUUUGAAAAAAAGAAACACAAAUAUAUUUUUUUGAAACACGAGAAAUUUUUUGAAAAAAAGAAACACGAAUAUAUUUUUUUGAAACACGAGAAAUUUUAUUAUUAUUAUUUUGAAACACGAGAAAUUUUGAAGACAUGAAAAUUUUUGAAACACGAUUUUUUUAAUAAUACCAUAUUUAACACGAAUCGAUGAUAUUCACCCCGAUAUGGUGAUGAAAUCGUCGUAUUAGUGUCAAAACAAAUCAAAUUAAUAUUUAAUCAGGAUUCUAAUAAAACACGAGGAUUUUUAUUAAAACACGAGGAAUUUUGAAUAUUUUCGAUUUUUAGAAGGGCGUCCCGUAUUUAACACGAGCCAUCGAUAUUCACCCAACAUAGCGAUGAAUUCAACGGCUUGAUGCUAAAUCGGUUCGUUGCCUUAUGCAUUAAAAUAUUUUUUCUAUAAAAAAAAUGCAAAUAAAAUUACAUAUAAUAAUAUUUCUAAACUAUUAAAAAACUAAUUUAAUUGUAAUGGGGAAAUAUUUAAAUAAAUGGACUUAAUUAGAGUGGGUUUAAAAAAUUACCAAAAGCCCAAAGUUAUGGGCUUGAAUUUUGGGCCUCCCUUUUCUUUUUUUUCUUUCUCUUUCUUUCCUGGGCGUUGGGCUGCCGGACUGGGCCGAGUCUGCUGGCCCGCUGGUUGUUGAAACAGGCCUGCUACCGCUGCUGGAUCGAGUACAGGCCUUCGUGCGGGUCGGGUCUGCCUCCUGGACUGGGUCGUGGCCUGCUGUCACUGCUGGGCUGCUCUGCUGCGCGUGGGCCUGGGCUGCUGCUUAGCUGCUGGAGUGGCCUGCUGUUGGCCUGCCCAAGAUGGCCUAUUGCUUGCUGGGCCGGUCUGCCACUGCUGCUGGUGUGGGUGGCCUGCUGCUGGCUUGUUGCUGGCUGCUGGCUGGGUUGGAUCCGGGUCAUCGGGUCGGGUUGGCCCGGCUGUUAUUUUUUUUCUUCUAUUUUCUUCUUUCUUCUUUCUUUUUUUCUUUUUUUCCUCAUUUCUUUUUCUUUCCUUUUUCUUUUUCUUUCUUUUCUUCUUCCUUUCAAACCCUAGCCACCGUCUUUUGCUUGGUGGCGCGACAGUGCCGGCGCUUCUCCCUUCUCCCUUCUCCCUUCUCCUCCUCUCUCUUCUUUCUCUCUUUUUCUUUUUCUUCUCUUCUUCCUCUCUUCCUUACUUCUUUACUGUUUGGGUUGCUGUUUUUUUUUGUUUUCUCUUUGCUUGUUUGUAUAGGUGCGACGGUGGUGGUGGUGUCACAACGGCGGUGCGACGACGGUGGUUGCGGGAGGAUGGUGGUGGAGGCUUUCGGCUUGCUGCUAUUUUUUUGUUUUUGAAUUUUUUCUGCUCUUUUUCUUUUGGUUGCCGAAAAACCUUUUCUUUUUGUUUCGGUUUCCCUUGGCUUUCUAGGUGGCGGUGCGGUGGUUGCGGUGGCGGGGUAGUGGCGCGACGGUGGCGAUGGCUUUUGGGCUGCUGUUUUUUGGAUUUUUUUGAGUUUUUCUCUGCUCUUUUUCUAUUUUUUUUUGGUUGCUAUCCGACCCCCUUCCUUCUCUUUUGAUUUUCUUUUUAAUCUCUUCAUUUUUUAUCCUCUUUCUUCUUGUUUUCAGAUGGCAUGGAGGUGAGGAGCAUGGCUGAUUGGCGGUGUCAGGCGUAGGGUGUGGUGCACGCCCAAAUGCUGGUUGGGGGGCAGUCUUGUCAUUCCCAGAAGGACUGAAUUGUAGAGUGUGCAAAGUUUUUAGGGCAAAAAUGUGAUUUUAGGAAAAUAUAGGGACAAAAUGUAAUUUCUAGAAAGUUUAGGGGCCUGACUGUAAUUUAUAAAAUAUUAGGGGUCAAGAUGUAAAUUUAGACAAAGUUAGGGGUCAAAAAAUAAUUUUUGAAAAGUUUGAGGGCCAAAAUGUAAUUUUUAUUUUUUGUAUUUUUAUUUUUUUCAAAAUUUUAUUAUGACUAUUUUAUUAAUAUUUAAAACAAAAAUUAAAAACGGACUAAAGUAAUUCCAAAAUUAAAUCCUAAUGGGCUCGAUCAUUGGGCCCAUACGAGACCGACCCGGCCUAAAAUUCAAACCGGGCAAAAUUCAGUGAUUACAGCUGCCCCUCUUUGCUCAUCGCUGUAAAACAGGGAUAGAGCAAAGACUUAAAAGCACUGAAUUUUGCUCGAUUGUCUAAUUUUUUAUAUUUUUUGAAAGCCUGAAAUUGAAAAAAAAAAGCUUGGUGUGCGAUCCGAAGUUCAACUCACUUUUCAGAUUAUAAGUUGACCUUUGAAAAAUAAAAAAUAAAAAUACCUCAGCUUGACUCGAGGCUCAACUCACCUCUAGGAUUAUGAGUUAAUAAUUUUUUUUUUUGAAAACAUAAAUUGAAAAUACCACAGCGUGACCUGAGGCUUAACUCACCUCUCGCAUUAUGAGUUGAUUUUUGAAAAACGAAAAAUUGAAAAAUACCUCGGCAUGUGACCCGAGGCUCAACUCACCUCUCGUAAUAUGAGUUGAUUUUUUUUGAAAAACAGAAAUUUAAAAUACCUUAGCGUGCGACCUGAGGCCCAACUCACCUCUCGCAAUAUGAGUUGAUUUUUGAAAAACAGAAAUUGAAAAUACCUCAGGAUGACCCGAGGCUCAACUCACCUCUCGUAUUGUGAGUUGAUUUUUGAAAAAAAGAAAAUUUAAAAGAAAUACCUCGGCGUGACCCGAGACUCAACUCACCUCUCGCAAUAUGAGUUGAUUUUUUUGAAAAACAGUAACUUAAAAAUACCUCAGCGUGACCCGAGGCUCAACUCACCUCUCGUAUUAUGAGUUGAUUUUUGAAAAACAAAAAUUAAAAAAUAUAAUUCUUGAAAGAAACAGGGUUUCAAAACAUCAGGUGAAACUAAAGCCUUCUUCUUCGUUGAUUCUGUGCAACUUUCUCUCAGUAUUCCCUGCUCUACUAAGAUACCUGUAUAUGUCAUGUAUGAUGUUAUUAUGAUAUGCACGUGUUUGACCUAAAUGCUUUUAUGCCUACAUAAUCAUGCCAUGAGCCCUGGGCUGUUUGUCUCAUGCCUCCUUUUCGUGAGGGACUGCAUUCAUUGCCUCAAUCAUUGACUUCUCUCUUCGGUUUUGUACUCAUCUUCAAGUUUGUCGGGUGACCCACAUGUCCAUAUUUCCCCUUCUUGCCCCUUUUGUUGAACUUUGUUCCUGCUUUGGGGUCCUUGUACUUAUCAAAUUCUCAUCCAGGUAAUGCUCAACAUUCAUUUUGUUUAGAGUAUGUCAUCUUACUAUUUAUCAUUUAAAUGAAUCAAACACAAGAUGCAUAAAUAAAAUGGCAAAGUAGGCAUGAAAGAAAUACCUCACAUCCAUUUCAUUUUCAAAACCAUCAAACAAAGAAAAUUGACAAGGAAAAAGUUCAAAGAAAGCAUCAUAUAGAAAGGAAAGUGAAUUCAAUGGCCACAAAUGCUCUAGAUAUCCAACGUAUGAACUUCUCCACGUUUCUUCAUCCUGGAUCCUUUCGAGCACGGCUUCUUGUGUAGAAGAUUUCGAGCUUCUGAGAAUGCUUCAAAUAUUGCGACUUUGUCAUUCAACUCUCCGUUCAAGUCACUUUGCUCCUUUAAGCUCGAGCCCACUUCAUUAGGACGCCCUUUCAGGUUUCCAUCCUAAUUCUUUUUGUUUAUCAAAACGCCCUUUUCAGGUUUUCAUCUUGAUUUUCUUUUUCUUUUCUUUUUUCUUUUUUUGUUUUUGUUUUUGUUUUUUUUUGUUCUUUUUGUUCUUUUUGUUCUUUUAUUUUUUUAUUUUUUUUUUGUUUUUUUAGGCAUAAUAUUUCUUUACAGCAUCUGAGUUCACUGGAUUAGGUAACUCUUUCCCGUCCAUCUCAGUGAGAAUCAGAGCCCCUCCUGAGAAUGCCCUCUUUACAACGUAUGGUCCUUCCCAAUUUGGUGACCAUUUUCCUCGAAAGUCCUUCUGUAUUGGGAGAAUCUUUCUCAGUACGAGCUCUCCUUCGCGAAAUUCUCUUGGCCGCACCUUUUUAUCAUGGGCCGUAAUCAUUCUCUUCUGGUACAUCUGUCCAUGACAAAUUACCUUCAAGCGUUUCCCUUCAAUAAGGUUUAGCUGAUCAUAUCGAGCUCGAACCCACUCUGAUUCCUCUAACCUUGUCUCCAUCAAGAUGCGCAGGGAUGGGAUCUCUACUUCGAUAGGCAGAACGGCUUCCAUUCCAUAGACUAGAGAAAAAGGAGUUGCCCCCGUAGACGUCCGUACCGAGGUGCGAUAUGCGUACAAAGCGAAUGGUAGCUUAUCGUGCCAGUCUUUAUAUGUCUCAGUCAUCUUCCCAAUAAUCCUCUUAAUGUUCUUAUUAGCGGCUUCUACUGCUCCGUUCAUCUUUGGGCAAUAGGGCGAAGAAUUAUGAUGUUUUAUCUGGAAUUGCUCACAUACUUCUUUCAUCAUCUUAUUGUUCAAAUUUAAAGCAUUAUCUGAAAUGAUUCUUUCAGGCAGACCAUAUCGGCAUAUAAUCUCCUUUUUUAAGAACCUACAGACUGUAGCCUUUGUCACAUUAGCAAACGAAGUGGCUUCUACCCAUUUUGUGAAGUAGUCUAUAACCACAAAGAUGAAUCGAUGCCCAUUGAAAGCUUUCGGGGAAAUUGGCCCUAUAACAUCCAUGCCCCACAUAGAAAAAGGCCACGGAGAAGUCAUGACAUGAAGGGGUGACGGAGCUGCAUGAAUUUUGUCGCCAUAAAUUUGACAUUUGUGGCACUUUCGUGCGUAACCAAUGCAAUCCCUUUCCAUCGUCAGCCAAUAAUAACCAAGUCUCAUAAUCUGCCUGGCCAUGGUGAAACCACUGGCAUGUGUUCCACAAAUUCCUUCAUGAACCUCUUCAAGUAUCUUUCUAGCUUCAACAGCGUCCACGCACCUCAGGAGCACUUGAUCUUUUCCCCUUUUGUAUAGAAUAUCCCCGUCAAGAACAAAUCCAAUCGCCAUUCUCCUGAUUGUUCUUUUGUCAUUCUCGUUUGCUUGCUCGGGGUACCUUUGAUUCUUGAUAUACUCCAAGAUAUCAUGGAACCAUGGUCGUCCAUCUGACUCCUCCUCAAUACUAAAGCAGUGUGCGGGGGUCUCAUAUAUACUCAUUUGGAUGGGCAUUAUCUCAUUUUCUCUGUUUGCCUUGAACAUCGAAGCCAAGGUGGCUAGGGCAUCAGCCAGUUGGUUCUCCUCUCGUGGAAAGUAGUUAAAAGUCACUUUAUAGAACUCCUUGAUCAGCUCUGCAACGAGAUCAUGAUAUUUGACUAAUUUUGGAUCUCUCACUUCCCAAUCUCCACGAAUUUGAUAAAUGACUAAUGCUGAGUCCCCGUGUACCUCUAAAAUUUUGAUUUUUCACUUGAUAGCUGCACGAAGUCCCAUGAUGCAAGCCUCAUAUUCCGCUAUAUUAUUUGUACAGAAGAAAUUCAAUCUGGCAGUAAGCGGGUAAUGGUCCCCUUCAGGUGACACUAAGACUACUCCUAUCCCAUGCCCCAAUACAUUUGAUGCACCAUCAAAGCUCAUCUUCCAUGACUUUCCUUUUGAUGACUCGCCCUCUUUUUCUGAAAUACACAUCAAAUCUUCAUCUGGGAACUCAAAUCUCAAAGGCUCGUAUUCCUCCAUUGUUCGACUUGCCAAGAAGUCAGCUAUUGCGCUUCCUUUUAUCGACUUUUGGCUCACAUAUACAAUGUCAUACUCAGUCAAUAGGAUUUGCCAUCGGGCCUUUCUCCCUGAGAGUGCAGGUGACUUCAUCAUGUACUUUAUUGGGUCCAGUUUUGAAAUUAACCAUGUCGUGUGAUACAGCAUGUAUUUUCUGAGCCUUCGAACUGUCCAAAUCAAUGCACAACAAAACUUCUCAAUUGACAGGUACUUUGCCUCAUAUUCUGUGAACUUCUUGCUGAGGUAGUAAAUUGCCUUCUCUCUUUUCCCUGACUCAUCAUGUUGUCCCAGUACGCAACCCAUUGAGUUCUCAAACACGGUCAGGUACAAUAUUAAGGGUUUUCCAGGGGUCGGCGGUACUAGCACAGGAGAAUUAGAUAGAUACUGUUUUAUCUUGUCGAAGGCCACUUGGCACUCCUCGUUCCAUUCUCCCGGAUUACGUUUUCAAAGGAGUCGAAAAAUUGGGUCACACUGAUUGGUAAGUUGAGCAAUGAAUCGAGCAAUGUAAUUCAACCUUCCUAAAAAACCUCUGACUUCCUUUUGUGUACGCGGGGGAGGCAAUUCUUGUAUAGCUUUUAUCUUAUCUGGAUCAACCUCGAUACCUCUUUCACUAACAAUGAAACCUAGCAGUUUUCCUGAGGUAGCCCCAAAUGUACAUUUGGCCGGGUUAAGCUUCAACUGAAACUUUCUUAAUCUUUCAAACAACUUCCUAAGACUCCCAACAUGCUCUCUUUCUUCCCGAGAUUUGGCAAUCAUAUCAUCGACAUAAACUUCUAUUUCUUUGUGCAUCAUAUCAUGGAAUAACGUCACCAUGGCUCUCUGAUAUGUUGCCCCAGCAUUCUUUAAUCCGAACGGCAUUACCUUGUAGCAGAAGGUUCCCCACAUUGUUAUGAAUGUAGUUUUCUCCAUAUCUUCGGGAGCCAUCUUUAUCUGAUUAUAUCCUGAGAAACCAUCCAUGAAAGAAAACAGAGAAUGCUUUGCCGUAUUAUCCACCAAAGUGUCGAUGUGCGGUAAAGGAAAGUUAUCUUUAGGGCUUGCUUAAUUCAGAUCAUGAUAAUCCACGCACAUUCGCACCUUGCCAUCUUUCUUCGGCACUGGGACUAUAUUAGCUACCCAUUCUGGAUACUUUGAGACUUGUAGGAAGCCAGCGUCAAAUUGUUUCUUGACUUCUUCUUUUAUCUUUAACAGCAUUUCGGGUCUCAUCCUUCUUAAUUUCUGCUGAACGGGCUUGCAUUCUGGUUUCAGUGAGAGCUUGUGGACCACAAUAUCCGUGUUUAAUCCUGGCAUAUCUUGAUAAGACCAGGCAAACACAUCCUUGUAUUCAUGGAGCAAGGCGAUCAAAUCUUGCCUUGUGUUUUUUGAAAUCGAAGUCCCAAUCUUCACUUCUUGUUUCUCUUCUUCAUUCCCCAAGUUCACUACCUCAACAGAUUAUUGAUGGGGUAGGAUUUGUUUCUCUUCUUGUUCCACCAUUCUCAGUAAGUCAGGAGAUGAGACACAAUCUUCAACAUUUUCGUCAGCUUCGAAUUCUCCUAAACAAAUAACCUUCUCAAAAUUGAUUUCAGGAUUCAUAACGGGAUUAUUCAUGCCAUUGAUAUCUGAACACCUGAAAGGUGAAUGGAAAAAGGAUAUAGAAGAGUAUUGAGGUAUUGUAAUCAACACACAAUGAUAUGAGAUGAUAUGAGACAUAUGCCAGAAAAGGAUAUGAACAGAAGGAGUAGUCGCAAAGUUAAUGAAAAGAAUAUGACAAUAUAAAACAAAAUGCAUCUUCAUUAAUGUUCAUUGAAAUGAUAAAGAGCAAACAUAAGCUCUUACAAAAGGAACCCUACUGUUUAAGGACACACAAAAUGAAGGGUUAACAUUGAGCAUUACUCUGAAGGGGACUUAAAAACUACAAGGAGGUCCUCAGCAGUCCAGUUGUUCAAAACAUAUCCUGGAGGACAAUGGCGUAUCAUUGAAGCAUUCUUAAUUUCAUCAUUCUCAUUGUCAAUAGCAUUUAGGCUGAGAUUCUGAAGACCCUUUUCAAUCAAUAAUGUGGCUUGCAAAUUGUUCUGCCCUGGGUACAUCACUCCUGCUGAUGUAAAUGUUCUCGACAAAGGAGGAUACGCCAACGGCCCCCAUUCUAAUUCCUGGCCCGAAGCUCUUGCGAUUCUUCUUUCUCGAUUUUUCUGAAAUUGUUUUUAUCUUUGAUGUACAUCUGGCUUGAACCCCAAACUGUAUCGACCCUUAUGGUGCGUUGGUUUCAAAGCUCUAACCAUCCUUUGUUGAUAUUUUCCCAAACCUUUCCUCGCUCGAGCUCCUUUUCCCACAGUCAGCUUAAGUCCCAUCUUGGUAUUCCUCGACAGUUUGGGAAUGGGGAUCUUAUUCCCUUCAGUAACAAAUGCAGCAUUGAUAAAUUUCAAGAAGCGAAAAGAACAUUCUACAGCAUCUUCGCUUAUUUCGAUGUAGGGUGCAUCAGUAGAGAUAGAUGCGACGAUGUCUUCCUCGCCACCAACAGUAAUCAAACGACUAUCCAUGAUGAACUUUACUUUCUGAUGGAGAGAUGAAGGAACUGCCCCAGCAGAAUGGAUCCAAGGUCUUCCUAACAGGCAAUUGUAUGAAGGUGUGAUGUCCAUGACCUGAAACUCGAUAUCGUAUGCACAUGGCCCCACUUUUAAAGGAAUUUCGAUAUUUCCCAUGACCUCUCGCCGUGUCCCAUCAAAUGCCCUUACUAUAGAAUGACAAGGCCUCAGAUAGGACAUAUCAACCGGCAUCCUAGAAAGCGUGGCCAAAGGCAUAACAUUGAGUGCAGAUCCAUUGUCGAUGAGCACAUUUGGUAAUAUGUAACCUUUGCAAUUGGUUGUGAUGUGCAAUGCUUUUAUGGAGCCCCUUCCAUUUGGCGGUAUUUCGUCGUCACUAAAGGAGAUGAAAUUAUCUGCAUUUAGAUUAUUUGCCCACCUAUCAAGCUUUUCCACAGAUACAUUGUUCGCCACAUAAGCUUGAUUUAACACUUUUAACAAGGCAUUCCGAUGUGGCUCUGAAUUCAACAAUAGAGACAGUACCGAGAUACGGGCUGGCUGCUUGUUUAAUUGUUCUACAAUGCUAUAUUCACUGUGCUUAAUGAACUUUAAGAACUCACAUGCUUCCUCCUCAUUCACAGCCUUUUUAACUUCUUCCUCGGGUGGUAUUUCAACAUCAUCCUCAGCCUCAUACAUUGGUGCUUUUCUUUUUUGGCUCGGACCAGCAACCUUCUUCUUUGGCUCAACCGUCUCGGGAGAAUAACAUCUUUCGCUACGAGUAAAAUGUCCUACUCCGCUAACACCUUCACUCACAACCUUGGACUUUUCACCCUCAGGUACAAUGAUAUUGACAUCAUAAUUCUAAGGCACCGCCUUGUUGUCCUUAUAAGGGAAAGGAGCAGGUACUUCAAUUAUCAAACUUGGUUUAACUUCUCGACUAACUUCUUCCUUCUUUGUCCCGUAAUAAAUCACCAAAGGUCUAUCGACGCUAUAAAGGGAAGCCAUUGAUUGAUUAUUAGAGGCACAUAUUUCUCCUUCUUCGGCCCCCUCCACCCUAUCAAAGACCUUGACCUCUUUGUUAUCCAUCAUGUCUUGAAGUAAUUUCCUAAAUUCCUUACAAGAUUGGAUGUCAUGCCCUUGGACGCCAUGAAAAUCACAGAAACUCUGGUCUUUUGUACUUUCUUCUUUAAGAAUCUUACUAGACGGACAGAGCAAGCCAUUUUCAAUCAUCAUCUCCCAUACCUUCCGUAAAGGUGUCUUUACUUCGGUAACACAACCUUUGGCUUGACAAUUGUCUUCAUUUGUCACCGCAUUUACAUUCCCGUCAGUAUGGUUAGGAAGAGGAUUUCCUGUCACAUUGCUAACAUCGUCGAACCGUAGAACACCGGCAUCAAUAAGACCUUAAACCCUCCUUUUAAAAGCAAGACAGUUUUCUGUAGAAUGUCCCUGAUUCCCAGCGUGAUACAUGCAAUUAGCGUUAGGAUCAUACCACUUCGGGUAUGGAGGCUUCAGGGGUGCCAUGUAAUGUGGGGAUAUUAAUUGUUUUUCCAACAGCUUUGGGUAUAAUUCUCCAUAUGAUACAGGAAUUAGAGUAAACUGAGGUCUUUCAAGAUUGGGUCUUGCCGGUCUUUGUUCAUUUUUGGGUUGGCUUUGUACAGGUAUGGUGUUUGGCGGGAACACGGUGAAUGGUCUUUGGUUAUUCACAGCAUAAACGGGGUAAGAUAGGGGUGCUUGAUAGUAAGGACUUUGAGGAGGAAAGUAGAAGUUUGAAGGUGGGCGGUAAUGAGGUCGUGGUUGGGUGAGGUACGGAUUAGGGGUACAUUGGCUUUCAGUCCCAACCAUAUGGGCCUCUGCCUCCUUUUUCUUUGCGGGUACUGUCCUCUUCGAACUCUCAGGACCUUCCAUUCUCCCACUCUUGACGGCGUUUUCGAUAAGUUCCCCGGAUAUUACAAUAUCUGCAAAGUCCUUUGUGGCACUUCCCACCAACUUAUCGUAAAAUGGCGCUUUUAGAGUGUUGAUGAAGAGGACCGUUAUCUCUGUCUUAGUUAACGGAGGCUCCACUUGAGCCGAGAUAUCCCUCCAUCUUUACGCAUAUUACCGAAAAGUCUCUGUCGGCUUCUUUUCCAUCAUUUGUAAGGUUAGUCGAUCAGGCACCAUAUCUGUUACAUGCCUAUAUUGCUCACAGAAUGCUGAAGCCAAAUCCUUCCAUGAUCGGAUUCUCUCUCUACUGAGUUGAUUAUACCAUCGAAGGGUUGAGCCAAUCAAACUAUCUUGAAAGUAAUGCACCAACAAUUUAUCAUCGUUUACAUAACCAGUCAUCUUUCGGCAAAACAUGAUCAGAUGCGCCUUUGGACAUCUUGUUCCGUCAAAUUUCUCAAAAUCAGGUGCCUUAAAUUUUGGUGGUAGGACCAAAUCAGGUACCAAACUGAGCUCUUUGGCACUCAAAGCAGAGAAAACUUCAGCGCCUUCUACUGCCUUGAUCCUCUAUUCCAGGACUCUAUACUUAUCCUGAGCGUUAUUGUCAUCAAUUCUCAGCCUUGCUACUUCUACAGGAUCAUCUAGGUCUGGAACAAUUGGAUCUGAAGGAUUAGCCCCAGGGUUCGAUACAAACAUUCCUUGUCCUAAAUGAGCAGAUGGAGCAGGAUGUUGUUCCAGGCCUGUAGGUUCCCUUUGGGGGUAUCCUCUUUGCAUUGCGUGGACAUGAGGUGGAGUAAAUCCCGGGGGAUAAAGUGGGUCUUGAUUAGCUCUUGACUGAGGCGGUUCUACGACAUUAGGGCUCUGUAUAGGUCCCUUUCCUUUGACCAAAGCCGUCAUCAUUUCUAUCAUUUUAGCCAUUUGAUCCCUUUGCUCGAGCAAUUCUUCUCGAGAUCUCACCAUCAAAUCUCUUGCCUCUUGCUGCGACUUGGCCAGUUGCUCCUGCAACUCUCUUUGGGUUCUUUCCAUCCUUUCCAUCCUUUCAUUGAGUUCAGCAUCCAUAGCUCUAGCUCUUAAGCGCGUCCUAUAAGAGUGACGUGAUUCCAGACUCGUAGUGUAGUAACUGUGGAUUAGAUGGUUUUACCCUUAGCGAAUGAUUAAGGUGAUAUGAGAAUACAAUGAAUAAAUGAAUGAGUAACUAAUGAAUGUUAAUCAUGCGUAAAUAUGCAAAAAAGGGUGUUGAUUCCAAAAUGGCCCCAUACUUGGGCGUUUCAUUUAUCAAAAGAGUCCGUUACAAAAAGUUUUGCCAUCCUAGUUCAACAAUUACACGAAUUUCCUAGCCACAUCGCCUUGCUUCUUCAUACGUUCCAAGAACUCUGAUAUGCUUGAUCUUUGGCUAGGAGGGUAUUGGCAACUGAGAACUUCCGCUUCAUCUGAUAAUUGUACUAUUUGUGCAGCCGCCUUACGAAUUUCAUUGAUCAACCUACCGAGAUGCAUAUCCUUUUCUUGGAGGGCUCUUUCAUAAGCACGAAUGUCUCUGUCAUGCUGAUCAUUCUUCUCUUCUAAAGCUCUCAAGAGGUCAUCCAGAUGUUGCUGAUGAGCUUGCAGUGUACUCUCUAGACUUCAGAUUUUUCCUUUUAGCCCUUGAUGCUCAGACUGACUAGCCGUUAGUUCUGCAGUCACAGUUUCGUAUUCAACGUUCUUCUUCCUCAACUCUAUCAUAGCACAUGCAGCUCUUUCCUCUUCUUUCUUUGCUUUGGCUUUCCAGAAUUCCAUCCCACCUUUGAUAUUACUUAGUUCCUCUUUCCAUUCUGCUGAUGCUUUGCCCAAUCCACUAUUUCUUAUAGUGCCCCUUAAUUUCUUGUUUUCCAAAUGAAGGUCCCUUAAAUUCUUUCUCGUAACUUGAACUUCUUUUUGGACUUUUUCGGCUCUGGAUUUUUCAAUUUCGACAUCAAUCUUCAGCUGGUAGUUCUCCUCCUGAAGAGAUUAAUAUCUCGCAACAUUUUGGCCUUUUCACGUUCAAAUUCAUGUCUUGCAAUUUCUAGCUCGGAUGGGGUUUUCUCUGAGAACGGAUUCUGGCAAGCUUCAUUAAUUGGUGGGGUUACUUGACUCUUCACUCGUUGUUGCCUCCAUAGGUCAUAGUCUACAGUGAUAGUAUCAGCAUAUAGAGCCAAUUCCAUUAGGUAGAUUCGCCUCCAAGAAUUCGCAGUAUCUCAAACCUUUUUCAUGUAACCCUCACCCAUAAAGGCAAACUCCGAUUGUGCCAAUCCAUCGGUAACUGGUACAAACUGUCGCGAAGCGAACUGUCUUUAAACCAACAAUGGAGCAUAUCCAACUCCUCCCCAUAAUCCUAAUAAAGGUAUCCAGUCUUGGUUUCCACACUUGUAUAACAAGACAGAGGGACGAAUCCAAGGUGCUCUCCAAGUUAUAUCUUCGACACGGAGGUUCUGAAAGACCGAGACCCAGUGUUGUUCAGUGACAUCUUUCGGCCAAUCUUUUCCAAGGUGUGCUUCCAACGGGGCGAAUGUCUUUGAAAACAUGUGGAAAGGCGUACGCUCCACCCUCCAAAAAUGGCUAAAGAUCCAAACAUUCAGUAACUGAGCGCAUUCGAUAAAACGUCCUUCCCCUUUUCUCCUACAAGCAUUUAGAGAUCUAAAAGUCUCAGCCAAGAUGGCUGGGACCGGGUUAACUCUUUGCCUCAACUUUUCGAAGAAAUCCACAACCGCAACUUCAAUAUGCCCAAGAACCUUCGGGAAGACGACCAGUCCGUAAACAGCCAAGGCAAACAAAUCUACUCUUUUUAACACAUCUGGAUGAUUCUGAACUAACUCCCGCAGAGAAAACCACGGGACACAACUGACUUCAUUCUUCUUCUUUAUCUGUUUUUCAGCCCAUGUAUCAGUCAUUCCCGUCAACUUCAUUAGCUUUUUCUUGAAGGUCAUUGGUUUAGGCUCCUUCACAUAUAUCUUGUUGAGUUGCACAUUAUCGAUGCGAAGCAAAGCGGCAUACUCUUCUAUGGUCGGAGUCAUAUCUUCCUGAUUGAAAGUGAAACACUGAUAGGCUGGGUCCCAGAAUCGAACCAUGGCUUGGAUCAACUGCUCGUUCACAUCGAUUGCUAUCAAGUGAGCUAUAUCCCCAUACUUUUCAGUGGAGAUGCUUCUAGUAUCUGAGUCCCACUGCUUCCAAAUCCUAGUCAAGUCUUCGAGAUCAUUUUGACGAGCAUUCAAAGUCACACGCUCGGGAAGAUCAGAGGUGUAUCCUUCCUUCAAACUGUCCCCUUUCACUUUUUGAGUUCUCAAAGACCAAUCUCGGACUACAGCAUUUUUCUCGGUUACUCGUGUAAUUGACUCCUCCAUCAGAAACCCGUUUUUGGCAACCAAUAUUUAACCAACACCUUCCUAAUGAGAUGUCUACGAUGCAUGAUGGAAAAUAAGAUGAAAAACAAAUAACCUUGGUUAGAGAUCACAACAGAUAUAAACAAAAGAAAAAUGAAAAAUAAAGACUAUGGAAAAUUUAACAAAUUAAGCUAUUCAAUCAUGCAAUUUGGUGGAACAGACCCACAUUUUUUUUUGCCCCAACAUGCUUUACAAGAAACCUACCCCACAUACCAUCAGACCAUCUAUCCGACCCAAUUUAUUGAAUAGACUCAAUUUAUCUGCAAAUAAGUGUAAAUGUAAAAGAAAUAAAAGGUAAGAGGCGUUUCUCCCGUGCACUUAUUUUGGUAACUAUCAAACGGACAGAGGUUCUGUAUGGCUCUACUCGGGUGGCCUAUACGGUUCACUAUAUGUAGUUUCGGUUUUAGAAAGGUACUCGAAUUGUCCAUACUAUCACCUACUAAGGUUAGUACAGAGCUUCGGUUAUCGCCCGUCAGGGCUCGCGAGCUCAAUUCGAGGGAUUACAUUUACUUAUGCCUAUGCGGAGGGACAAGUUAACUCACGAAAGCAUAAGUCAUAUGUAACCCGAAAGUAAUUACUAGCCUGUGCGGAGGGACGAGUUAACUCACGAAGGCGUAGCGUUUACUUCCACUUAAACGGACAGAGCCCGGGUAGAGAGCUCAUGUUAUGCAAAAAAUGCAAGUGCACUGUGUGUGGAGAGAAACUCACAAACCUUUUUAUUUUUACUUUUACUAAAAAAAACAAACUAAAACCAUAAAACUUAAAGCUGAAAAAAACACGAAAAUAAAAAAGGUUAGAAAAAUAUUAAUUUCAAAACUGAAUACGGAUGCAUGAUUUUUUUCAAAACAAAAUUCAAGGAUCACGAUUAAAAAUUAAUUUGAACAAGAAAAUUUGAAAAUUUUGACAACACACGUUUAACAUCAGACUCGACUCUCAAAAAAAACUCCCCAGCGGAAUCGCCAGCUGGAGCGACCUAAAAAUUUCUGGGCACGGGCGCUAGUCGAAGUAAUUAUUUAAGGUUUGAAAACAGUGUCUCGAUUUUAUUCGAAAAAGGGAGUCGCCACCGAUCUUUUUUUUUAGGUGUGAUCGGACACCUACAAAAUUCUCUUUUUAGAAGAAAAAUUUAUUUUUAAGCUUUUCUAAAAAGAGGUAAUUUUAGGUCCACGUAAAAAUCAAGAGAAAAUUAGGGUUCUGGAGUCGGUUACGCGCGAGGAAGGUAUUAGCACCCUCGCGACGCCCAAAAUUGGUAUCUCGUUAAAUGCAUGUUGUCUUAACUUUCAAAAAUACGAGUUCCAUUUAAUAUUUAGUCAUGAUCCGAUUGAAACACGAGAAUUUUGAAACACAACAACCCCUUUUUUUUUUUUGAAAACACGAAAUUUUUUUAAAACGCAAGAAUUUUAGAAACACAAAAAUUUUCUUUAAAAAAACACGAAAAUUUUGAAACAUGAGAAUUUUUUCAAAACACAAAUUUUCUUUUUGAAACACGAAAAUUUUGAAAACACAAAAAAUUUGAUAAAUUACGAAACAUGAGAUUUUUUUGAAACACGGAAAUUUAUGAAACACGGUCAAUUUUUGAAAACACAAAAAUUUUUGAAAGACGGGUUUUUUUUUUGAAAACACGAAAAUUUAUAAAACACGGAAAUUUUUUCUGAAAACAAGAAAAUUUUCGAAAAACGAGAAUUUUUGAAAACACAAGAAAUUUUUGAAAACAUGAAAUUUUUUGUUAAACUAGAAUUUUGAAAACACGAAGAUUUUUGAAACAUGAGGAUUUUUGAAAACACGAAGCUUUUUGAAACAUGAGAAUUUUUUGAGAACAUGAAAACAUGAAAAUUUGUCAAACACGGGAAUUUUUUGAAAACACGAUAACAUCAAAGAGUAUUCAAGAGAGUUUUUUGAAACACGGAAUUUUUUUUUGGAAAAAAGAAACACGAAUAUAUUUUUUUGAAACACAGGAAAUUUUUUGAAAAAAAGAAACACGAAUAUAUUUUUUUGAAACACGGGAAAUUUUAUUAUUAUUAUUUUGAAACACGAGAAAUUUUGAAGACAUGAAAAUUUUUGAAACACAAUUUUUUUAAUAAUACCAUAUUUAAUACGAAUCGAUGAUAUUCACCCCGAUAUGGCGAUGAAAUCGUCGUAUUAGUGUCAAAACAAAUCAAAUUAAUAUUUAAUCGGGAUUCUAAUAAAACACGAGGAUUUUUAUUAAAACACGAGGAAUUUUGAAUAUUUUCUAUUUUUAGAAGGGCGUCCCGUAUUUAACACGAGCCAUCAAUAUUCACCCAACAUAGAGAUGAAUUCAACGGCUUGAUGCUAAAUCGGUUCGUUGCCUUAUGCAUUAAAAUAUUUUUCUAUAAAAAAAUGCAAAUAAAAUUACAUAUAAUAAUAUUUCUAAACUAUUAAAAAACUAAUUUAAUUGUAAUGGGGAAAUAUUUAAAUAAAUGGACUUAAUUAGAGUGGGUUUAAAAAAUUACCAAAAGCCCAAAGUUAUGGGCUUGAAUUUUGGGCCUCCCUUUUUCUUUUUUUUUCUCUUUCUUUCCUGGGCUUUGGGCUGCCGGACUGGGCCGAGUCUGCUGGCCCGCUGGUUGCUGGAACAGGCUUGCUACCGCUGCUGGAUCGGGUACAGGCCUUCGUGCGGGUCGGGUCUACCUCCUGGACUGGGUCGUGGCCUGCUGUCACUGUUGGGCUGCUCUGCUGCGCGUGGGCCUGGGCUGCUGCUUAGCUGCUGGAGUGGCCUGCUGUUGGCCUGCCCAAGAUGGCCUAUUGCUUGCUGGGCCGGUCUGCCACUACUGCUGGUGUGGGUGGCCUGCUGCUGGCUUGUUGCUGGCUGCUGGCUGGGUCAGAUCCGGGUCGUCGGGUCGGGUUGGCCCGGCUGUUAUUUUUUUCUUCUAUUUUCUUCUUUCUUCUUUCUUCUUUUCUUUUUUCCUCCUUUUUUUUCUUUCCUUUUUCUUUUUCUUUCUUUUCUUCUUCCUUUCAAACCCUAGCCGCCGUCUUUUGCUUGGUGGCGCGACGGUGCCGGCGCUUCUCCCUUCUCCCUUCUCCUACUCUCUCUUCUUUCUCUCCUUUUCUUUUUCUUCUCUUCUUCCUCUCUUCCUUACUUCUUUACUGUUUGGGUUGCUGUUUUUUUUUGUUUUCUCUUUGCUUGUUUGUAUAGGUGCGACGGUGGUGGUGGUGUCACAACGGCGGUACGACGACGGUGGUUGCGGGAGGAUGGUGGUGGAGGCUUUCAGCUUGCUGCUAUUUUUUUAUUUUUGAAUUUUCUCUGCUCUUUUUCUUUUGGUUGCCGAAAAACCUUUUCUUUUUGUUUCGGUUUCCCUUGGCUUUCUAGGUGGCGGUGCGGUGGUUGCGGUGGCGGGGUAGUGGCACGACGGUGGCGAUGGCUUUUGGGCUGCUGUUGUUUGGAUUUUUUUGAGUUUUUCUCUACUCUUUUUUUAUUUUUUUUUGGUUGCUAUCCGACCCCCUUCCCUCUCUUUUGAUUUUCUUUUUAAUCUCUUCAUUUUUUUGUCCUCUUUCUUCUUGUUUUCAGAUGGCAUGGAGGUGGGGAGCAUGGCUGAUUGGCGGUGUCAGGCGUAGGGUGCGGUGCACGCCCGGAUGCUGGUUGGGGAGCAGUCUUGUCAUGCCCAGAAGGACUGAAUUGUAGAGUGUGCAAAGUUUUUGGGGCAAAAAUGUGAUUUUAGGAAAAUAUAGGGCCAAAAUGUAAUUUCUAGAAAGUUUAGGGGCCAACUAUAAUUUACAAAAUAUUAGGGGUCAAGAUGUAAAUUUAGAAAAAGUUGGGGGUCAAAAAAUAAUUUUUGAAAAGUUUGGAGGCCAAAAUGUAAUUUUUAUUUUUUGUAUUUUUUUUAUUUUUAUUUUUUUUUCAAAAUUUUAUUAUGACUAUUUUAUUAAUAUUUAAAACAAAAAUUAAAAACGGACUAAAGCAAUUCCAAAAUUAAAUCCUAAUGGGCUCGAUCAGUGGGCCCAUACGAGACCGACCCGGCCCAAAAUUCAAACCGGGCAAAAUUCAGUGAUUACAGUUAUUUUAUUAUCUUAAUUAUUUUUCAAAAUUAAUAGAAUUUUAUUAUAAAUUAGGGCAGUUCUCAUUUAAUUAAAAAGUUUAUAUAUAUUAAAAUUAUAAAAAUAUAUUAUUUAGUAAAUUAAAAAAUAAACAAAUACAUAGUUUAAUUAACAGUAAUAUUGUAUUUUCUCCAUUAUGUGGUAUUUUCCCUAUAAAUACAUAGUUUUAGGUUUAUACCUAGAGUUAGCCACCUUAGUAUUAUUUUGCUUUAGUGUUUUCUUUUGUCCAUGAAUUUCUAAAUCAUCUUUUCUAGUCAAAGGGAUUUUGAACUUUGAUUGUAAUAGUUUGUAAGAUCUAAUUGCUCUUCAUCUAUUCUUUGUUCUUUAGCGCUUGCAUGUGUUCUAUUUUAAUUACAAAUAUUCAAGUUUGUUGGAUAUUGGUACCAUAUUCAAUUGCUUAGAACAUAGUGACAAAUAACAUGAUUACAUAUAAACUAUGUAUGCAAUUCAUGUUAUGUGGAUACCCGAUUUAAUCUAAAUGAACCCCGUUGGUGUGUGUUAGUUGGUCAGAAAUAGGUUUCUCUCAUUCUUAAUACUACCUAUAAUUAAGCUAAAUCCUAGGCACGAAGUUAUAGGGCCUCUUGGUUAUCGAAAGGUAAUGAGAGAUUGUUUAUAUGGUUCUUAAUGCUAGGUGCGACAUGGGCAACUAUAACUAAUUUAUUAAAAACACUAAAAUUAUAUUUGCAUCAUUGAUCAAACUCAUGAAUCAAAAUUGAGAUUUUACCUUAGUUAGACUCUCAUUAUAUUGAUUUUGCUAUAUUUUAUUUUGCAAUCUUUUUCUUUUACAAAGUUUUAAUUUUAAUUUUAAAAAUCCUUAUUUUUAUUUUACUUGUUUUUUUAAAGAAUUAGAACAAUCACUAGUCUUUGUGGAUAUGGCUCUACUCACAGUCAUCUACAAAUUUAUUUUUUUAGUAAGAAUUUAUUUUUCUAGGUCACAACAACCAUACAACUUUUGACACCAUUGUUGGGGAUUGGUGUCAAUAAUUUUAUUUCCUUUUAAAUUCAAAUAAGAAUUUUCAAGAAGAGUGAAUGAGGUAAAUAUUUCUUUUUCCUAAUAAUCAUUGAGACCAAACGAUAACAUUAAUGAUGACCUUGAUAUUUGUGGGUGUCGAAAUAUCCCUUAAAAAAAUGUAUUUCAAAUUUUAACUUUCCUGAAAACAUAUAUUAUAAAUAAUAAAAUAUCUAAUAACAUAGUAAAAAAAAUCCAAGUUUUGGUUCCCCUAUAAUCGAUGGCCCAGUUUGCCUUUAACGAGCACUACACCAAAACAGGCUUUUAGCGGCGUUUGAAUAAAAAAUGCCUCUAAAGAUCGAGCAUUAGCGACUCUUUUCGGAAAACGCCGCUAAAUAUCGAACUUUAACAUCGCUUUAUGGAAAACGCCGCUAAAUAUAAGCAUUAGCGGCGUUUUCUAAAAAGCGCCGCAAAAAACCUAUGCUUUCGGGGUUUUAGCGGCGUUUUUAAUGAAGCGCUGCUAAUGCUCAGGGCUUUAGCGGCAUGUUUUGGGAAGCGCCGCUAAUGCUUAGGGCUUUAGCGGCGUUUUUGAGAAAGCGCCGCUAAUACUCUAUUUUUAGCGGCGUUUUCUAAAAUGCGCUGCUAAUGCUCAGGGAUUUAAAAUAAUCUAAAAUAUUUUUUAAAAAUGGAAAAAUUAAAAUACUAUAAGUUCUUUUAAACAGAAUAUAUGGCAUAACCUAUAAUAUGGAAUAAAAGGCGGCAUCACGUGUUAAUUUAAUUUAAUUAUUAUUUAAAAAUUUAUAUAAAUAAAAUAGACAUAAUGAUUUAUUUAUCCUUCUAACUUUACAAAAAAACCAUUACAACCCUUUAUUUAAUUUUUAUCUUUUUAACCCUUAAAUUUAUAUUAUUUAUUAAAUCAGCUCAAAAUAGAUGGGAAAAUUAUUCUUUAUUAACUUUACUAAACAUGGAAGCCAAAGGCCCUGAAAUGAAAACAAUUUUCACCAAAGCGUUUUUAUAACUUAUACACUUUUAAAUUAAUAAUGAUAAAAUUACAUGUUAACCCCCUAAAAAUGAUAAAAAUUUUAUUUAAUCCUUAUAAAAAUAUAAUUAAAAUGGUAAAAUUACAUUUUUAACUAUCCUAAAAUAUACAAUUUAAUUCCAUCUCCUCCAAAAAAUAAAAAUAAAAGAAAAACAUUACCGUUAACCCAGUUCAUAGGAGGCUGAAAGUGAUACCCGGUUCGAUGAAGUUGUUUUACAGUAAAUGCAGUUUUAGAUUAUAAAUGUGGAUGAAUCUUAUGAAAUGCUUCAACGAUGCCAUUCUUACUUAUUAUCUCACAAAAACACCCAAUUAUUAAAUAAACUAACAAAAUAUUUUUUGUAAACUCCAUUGAAAUUUCGAAAGCCGAAUGUUGAAACAGGAUGGUGAUUCAUUUAUAUAGGACUGAAAUUUAACAAUUUCAAAAAAAAAAUAUAUAUUUUAAAAUGUUUAGAUAAAAUAGUUUUUUAUUUGAAUUUACCAGUAAUUUAUAAUAUCAACAUUAAAUCUACAAUUCUUGAUUUUCUUUUUUUAAAAUAAUUAAAAUUUUAUUCUUAUAGUAUUUAAAUAAUUAGGGAUUAUGAAUUGUGGUUUAUGGUUUAAGGGUUGGGGUUUAAGGUUUAGGGGUUAGGGGUUAGGGGUUUAGGGGUUAGUGCUUGCUGAUUUUUUUUAUUGAUCUUCUACCCCUUGUACCUGGAUCCGACCUGACCUGGAUUGUUCCUUGUGUUCUUUUUCUGCUUUCUCAGCAGGGAGAUCCCAUUCUGCAGACAAAGAAGAACACAAAAGAUCAAAGGUAAUUUUAUUUCAAUUUGAUCCAUUUUUCUUGGUUAUCUUUUCCGUGUUUUUUUAUUUGUAAUUUGUUAUGUUUUCUGGGUUUUGCUUAUAAUGUCUGCAUUAAUAUUCAUUUCACAUUUUUUGUUUGUAUUUGCUUUUGUUUCUUUUUCCCAUCACAAUCAAAGUUCUAAACUAAUUUUUUCCCUGUAAUUUCAUUUUUAGAUUCAAAGUUUCUUUUUUUUUUUAAAUUUUUUUAUUAAUAGCAUUGACUUUUAAUAUUUAUUUUGAUAGUUUUUUUGGGGGAAGUGUGGGGGGGGGGGUCAGCAUAUUUGCUUUUGAACAUAAGAUUGAUUCUGCCUGUGUUGUGUAUUUGCCAAAUUCCAGUCCUGGAUUCAAAGUUUGUAUGUGUUUCUUACCAUUUUCUAAGAAAUAAAAAAUAUGUUAUUAAUAUUGUCUUUGUUAAGUCUUUUUCACAUAAUAUUCUUUGAAGUUUGAACAUUGUUUUGCUCCUUUUCAUUAUGGAAAAACAAAUCUUUUUUUUCCAAUUUAGUCUUUGUUUUUAAUUAUUUUAUAUAAUUAAAUUACUCAAAGUUUAUUUCCCUUUUUUUGAUCCAAACUUUUCUUUUGUACAAAAUUACUCUCUUUCUUAACUUUUUAUAUUAUAUAUAUGUUUUAUAAUAUUAGCUUUAGCUCUCAGUUUUCACUUUCACAUUGAGUUAUUUGAGCAUUUUUCAUAUUUCUUGCUAAUGUGGGACAGAUUUCAUUUUCUUAAAAGGAAAAAAAUUAUGUUGUUUUUGUUGCCUCAAUCCUCUUUAUUUGUCUCUUUAACCUCAUUGGAUAUGGAGUCUAUGUUGUCUUUUCUUUUCAGUUUUUCCAUUUUAGAUUUAUAGGUAAACUUCAAAGUGGUUCUUCUUCAAGUUAAAACAGUGGGGUUUUUUACAUUGAUCAUCUUAAGUUUUCAGAAAAUAUUUUUCCUGUUGAUUUGGAUUUUUUAAGGUUAUUUUUGUCUUUCCUUCCUAAAAUACUUUUUUUUGGAUGAUUUAAUGAAUAUGGCAGGAUUAAGCUUUAGAAAUCCAUGAUUAACUGAGGACUCUAUAUUGGGUCCUCAGUUCAGUUGUUUAAAAUCUAUAUAUUUUUUUAUAAUAUGCUAUGUUAUUCGGACUUGGAUAUGUCCUUGGAGGAUCAUAUCCCGGUACUUUUGUUUGCAUAUGUGCUGGACACAGAUGCUUUAAAUAAAAUGAAGAGUGCUUGCUGUCAACUAGGAGUUUUGAUGAUUAUGAUCAUGAUUGUUUCAUAUAUAUAUAUAUAUAUGCUCUAUUUUUCACCUAUAGUAACAUUAAUUUUGUAAAGAUAUUUUCUUCAAUUCUGAAACUGCUUUAAUAUCUCUUAUCUUAAAAGUUUUGUUUAUCUUGGUAAACUUAAUUUUGCAGCUGCUACUGGAUUUUUUGAGCUUCUCUGCUUCUAGCUUUUCAUCUAUGGCCAGAUACUCAGUUGUGACUGAUAAGGUCUCAAUAGAGGUUGUUGAAGAAUUCAUUCUAGUACAGUUGAAUCUGACAAAAGGCACAAUAUCUGAAAUUAAGGUACCUAAUUCUUUUUUUUCCUUCUUAGCCAUUAAUCAUUAUUGAGUGUUGACAUGGGGGAUCUAUGCUACUAUAUCUAUGUUACUCUAACUCAUCAUUUUUUCUGAAGUGCUCAUGUUUGACACUUGUGUUUGAUGCAUAUUUGGACAUGGAUACAUGAACAUGAUCCUCCAAAUAUAUGAAAAUCCUUAAAAAAGUUGAGCAUACCUAUGUGGGAUAUAUACCUUAUCUGAAAAUAAAGGUUAUGCCUUUUUAAAAACCUGUUUAAUACAUUAUAUAAAUUUCUUCUUAAAAGUUUGUUAGGGCUGAAGCAUGCAUUAGUCUACUAUAAUUUGCUGCAUAAAUGGAAAUUAGCUAGGUGUCCACUGCACAACCUUCAAUUAGACUUUACAUAAAAAAAUUCAUUAUUCAAGGCAAACUGCCUGGCUUGCUGAAAAAUGAUAGUUACAAACUGCCUUCAUUUCUCCCAUAAAGAUCUGCCGAAAUAUGUUUCAUCUAACAAGAUUUUGAUUGACAGCACAUUCAUUUGACAGGAUAAUUUGGAAACCCUGUUGCAAGAGGACAUUCAGGCUGAUCUAGUCUGCUGCUUGCAGCAUUUGCAGGUAUUUUGUGUAGUUUAAGUUGUGAACAUUGGGUUUUGAUUUGUCAUGUGAACAAAUAUGAUGAAUCUGAAGUGCAUUUCUAUUCUUCUAUUUGCAGUUAAGAUUUGAAAUUGAAGACAAAGCAAGGAGACCUCUAAGUAAUGUGUCAUUUUUGUUGAAACCAGGGGGUUAUUUUUUCGGUAUUACUCCUGAAAAAGUGAUUGCCAAAAACUGUUGUUUCUGGAUUUAUGUAUUUUCCUUUUUUUUUCUUGUGAUUACUGCUGCACCUGUUUCUGGGAGGUGAUUGUGUAAACAUUUUAGUGUGCUUUAAUUAUUGUAAGAAUAUUAAAUUUUAACAUUGUUAAUUUUAAUAUUAUUGUAAGAAUAUUUUGAAUUAUAAUUCAGUUAUCAAUUAAUAUCAUAUAUCUUUCAUUGAAUUUGAAGUAUCAUUUAAAUUUACUGUUUUUGGUUGGAUUUUAUGUUACAAGAAGAUUUGUAUAUGGAUGAAAAUCGGCAAAUUUGUCAAAAUUAGUGGCGUUUUCCCAUAAACGCCGCUAAAGUACGUACUUUUAGUAGCGUUUGUGAUGAAAGCGCCGUUAAAGAUAAUGUUCUCUAGCGGCGUUUGUGGGUCAAGCGUCGCUAAAGGUCAUGUUCUUUAGCGGCGUUUGUGUGUAAAGCGCCGCUAAAGCUCAUGUUCUUUAGCAGCGUUUGUGGGUAAAGCGCCAUUAAAGGACAUGUUCUUUAGCGGCGUUUGUAGCUAAAGCGCCGCUAAAGGUUAUGUUCUUUAGUGCGUUUGUGGCUAAAGCGCCGCUAAAGAUUAAGUUCUUUAGCGGUGUUUUUUUCACAUAAACGCCGCAAAAGUUAGCGACGUUCUCAAUAGCGGCAUUUUUUGCGGCGCUUUUGUGUAGUGGAGGAUGAUGAGGAAAGUCUUGACGAUGUUGUGGAUAGCUCGGUUCAAGUUUAGGGUGCUUCUAAUAGUGCUAAUGUUUCUUCUAUUGUUCCAUCGACUGGGAAUCCUUCUUCUAUUAGUGUAGCUGCUGAUACAGUUACCUCUACUUCAAUAAGAGAUGAGACAAUACAGAUUGCCUGGGUCAUGUUUAGUCUUUUUGUAAAACUUUGGUAUUUAAUGCAAACUUUAUCCCUUAUUUGGAUUCCGUGUUUAUGUUAUGCAUCCUUGCAUUUCUUUAUCAACUUAUUGUAUUGAUCUUGUGUAGCUUUAUCAAGCUUUUAUUUUUACUACUUGGAAGAUGUAGGGAAUUUUAUUCUUUCCUUAUUUGUUGUAUUGUGCUUUUAGAUUAACUUAGUGAGAAGUACCCUUGGCUAAGUCUUUCAGAAGGCUAGUAGUUUUAUUUGCUAUUAAUUUAACGGGCAGUAUCCUUGGAGGGUCUGUGCUAAAUUAAUGGGCAGUAUCCUUUUUUAGUUGCAAUGUGACACCUCACACUCGAUUCGGACGACGAAUUUAUAUAUAAAACAUCACAUUCAUUAUCGAAACAACUCAAACAAACAAGAAACUGACGUCAAAGCCAAAUCAAGAAGCAUAGCACAUAAUUCAUAAUUUCCAAAACGCUAAUAAUUAAUUUGUAACUUUUUUUAAUAUAGUUAAUUUAAUGACUAAUGCCGUAAUUAGUCUCACUUAAAAAGAGCCCACCAUUUGACUUGACGCAGAGGUCAAGAGAUAUCUCUAAAAAUGGGAAGCAAUAUAUGAUGUUUAUGGUUGAUAUUGUUCUAUGUGAGGUGUUCAAAUGGUUGAUUGAUCAGUUAACUAAAUCGAACUAGUAUUAAUUGAAUUAAUCUAACUUUUUAAUCUUUAACUGUUAAUUAAAUCGAUUUUUUUUCAAAAAGAUUAACCGAACAAAAAAUAUUUCAAUUAAUUCAAUUGGUUAACCAAAAUUUAUAUAUAUUUUUUGUUUAAAAUGAAUAUAAAACAUAUAAAAAAAUUGAUAAUGUUCAUUUGACUGAAUUAACCUAAUUAAUCAAAUUAGUAAUAGCCUAAUACAUAUGACAUAUAAUAUUAUUUAUUAAGUUCAGUUAAUUCGGUUAAUUACUCGAUUUCGAACUGAAUUAACCAUUAACUGAAAUUCCAAAAAUCAUUUAAUCGAUUUUUAACCAAAUUAAAUCAGUUAACUGAUCAAUUAACCGAAUUAAAUCAAUUUAAUCAAUUAAUUUAAUUUUAACCGAAACUUAAACACCUUUUUUAACUCUAUGAAUGCCAAAAUCCAUAUAUAGACUUAUUUCGGAUGUUAGAAUUUUCCACCAAAAACCAAGUCUUUGUGGAAUUAAAGUUUUGUUGCUAAGACCCACUGGAUUUUUCAUAACCACUAUAAUUAGAUUAGAACUAUCUCUCCGCGUAUGCUCGAGUUUAAAAUUUUUUAAUUAAAUUUUAUUAAUCUAUUUUUUAAUUAUUAUAAUAUUAACAUAGAAAUUAAAAUUGUGAUUAUUGUUUAUAAUAGAAUAUAAAGUCUUAAAUUAUAAUGAUAAAAUCAUGGAGAAGAUAUUUUAAUUUAAAAAAUGUAUAAAAUUUAUAUAUUAUCUCUUCAAUAAUUUAAAUUAUAAUGAUAAUUUUUAUAUAUUAAAAUUAAUAUAUUAUCUCUUUUACAAUUACAUAAAAAAUUAUAUUAAUAUAUAAAAAUGAUAAAUUAAAAGAAAUUCUCUUUUAAUUGUUUGCCAUUAGAUAUCUAGUGAACUGAUGCCACUAAUUUAACUCUCAAAAAAUGGAAGUUUGAGAAAGCUAAAGGUUGUUAAAUUAGACAAAAAGAAACAAGAAGCCAUGCCAAUAAUUCCGUUAACAAUUUAACCGGACCAAAGUAGAACUAAAUGAUAACAUUAAUGAUGAAAUUAAAAGUUUUUUGUAGUUCAAUGACAAAACAAAAAUACGCUAAUAAUUGAGCCAUUCAUUGUGCAAUUUAGACUUAAUUUAUUUUUGGAAGAAAUUGUAUUUAUGUGAUAAUAAUAAAUUUUAAAAAAAUAUUUAUUUUGUCAAAAAUUUGUAAUUAUAAUCAUUUAAAUAUAUAUAAAAAAGUAUCCAACAAAUAUAUCAAAUUAUUGCAAUAAAAGGAUGAAGAAAUCAUAAUAUAACAAGACACCAAUUAGAAAUAACUUCAUUUCAAAUAUAAAUGAAAUUUAAUAAUGAAACAAAUUUUAUUAAAGGCAAGGACUAAAUUAAAAAAAUUAAAAUCAAUUAUAGACUAAGGGUGAGUUUGGAUGGGCGGUGUGUUUACCUGUGGUUAGAGUAAAAACAGCGGUGGUGGUGAGAUUAGAUACUGUAGCGAUACUGUAGCGUGAGACAAAAAAUAAGUUAAACGCACCGCACCGCACCCAAUCGCCCAUCCAAACUCACUCUAAGAUAUGAAUAUAUAAAUAGUGAAAAGCGUAAUCAUAAACUUUUAAAAUAAAAAUAUUCUAGAAAGCAAUUAUUUCUAAAAAGUAAAAAUCAUCCACCCUCUUUUGUUUAUUAUACUUUUAUAUUGAAUAUACUAUGUCUUUUUACUUGCUGAAAAGGUUACAAAGUUAUCAUAAAUUUCCUAAAAUCUUAUAGCACUUUUCCAAAGAUCCAAUACAGCAUGAUACAAUAGCUGAAUUAUACCAUUAAUUAUUAAAUUAUAGAUAAUCAAACAAGAUUAUAAUUUAGUCAUUAAUAUUUUCAAAAUUAUUUUUAUGGUCACCUGAUUAAGUGGCACUUUUUUUUGUUAGUAUGAUAAUAAUUUUAUUCUUUGAUUUUUCUAUUAAUUUGACUCUGAUUCUAAAUAAAAAUUAUAAAUAAAUAAAUAAAAAGACAAUUUCAAAAAUAGUGGUAAUCAAAUUGUAACGUUUUUAGUUUAAUGUCAAAAACAAAAAUUUAUCUAUAAUUAAUUUAACGCAUAUAUACCCUUUAUUUUUUGAAAGGAAAUCUUACUUAAAAAUAUCCCACCACUUGACUUACACACAAGUCAAGUAAGGAAAGCAAUAUUUGAUGUUUACUGUUGAUAUUAUUUUAUGAAUGCCAAAAUCCAUAUAUAGACUUAUUUCGAGUGUUUGAAUUUUCCACCAAAAACGAAGUCGCUGUUGAAUUAAAAUUUUGGUGCUAAGACCCACUGGAUUUUUCACAACCACUUUUAUUAGACGAUAAUUAUCUCUUCACGUAUGCUGGGGUUUAAAAAUUUUUAAUUAAUAAAUAAACAGAGAUAAUAAAGAACAAAGAAUAUGAGAGUUAACAAAAGAGAGUGUGUGUUUUAUUGAUCAAUCAGAAUAUUUACAAAACUUUUUCAAAAUCUUUAUUUAUAGGUAUAAAAAGUAUAAAUGAAGUAGAGAUCUCCGGAUGACUAUUAAAAUUUAAAGUACAUCAAAACUUUUCUCGGUUUUAAUGGAUAUCCGUUUAAUAAUAUAUCCAAAACAUUUAUUUAUUUUUAAAAAAUAUUAUAAUAUUAACAUAGAAAUUAUAUUUGUGAUUAUUGUUUAUAAUAUAAUAUAAUAUAAAUGAUAACAUCAUGGAUAAAAAUAUUUUAAUUUAAAAAUUGUAUAAAAUUUAUAUAUUAUCUCUUCAAUAAUUUAAAUUAUAAUGAUAAUUUUUAUAUAUUAAAUUUAAUAUAUUUAAUCUUCCUUUAAACGAAACAAAUUACUUGUUGAGUUAUUGUAUUUAUUCUAUGAAUUAAUUUUAAAUUUUAUUUGUUAAUCUUCACAAAAUUAUUAGACACUUUGAGCAGUUUAGAAAAUCAUUUAAAAGUAGAGAAAUUCUAUUGAAGAAUGAUAUUUUUGAUUAUUGAAAAUAUUUGCUUAUUGAAGAAUGAUAUUUUUGAUUAUUGAAAAUAUCUGCUUAUUAUCAGACGGAUGAUAUUUUAAAAACUCAAACUAAUAAAACAAUAAUUUGAAACAGUGAAGAAACUUAUAGAAAGGGUGUAGCAAGAGAGCUAGAGGGUUGACACCAGAAGUCAAGAGAUAUCUCCAUAAUGGUCACUUGUGUUGAGUGGUCUGGGGUGAUUGAAUUUUGUACAUUGAAAACGAAGGUAGAGGACAAUUGCUUUCUUGUCACUAUUGCUACAAAUGCCAUUGAAUUUCCACAAGAAAUUUAUCCCAUAUUUAGUUAAGGGAACCUCACUUGACUUGACACGUGACACAAGUCAAGAUAUAUCUCUGAAUGUAAGUAUUAUAGAUUUUUAUUUUUUUUCUAUUAUAUCAAGUAAAUUUUUUAUAUUUAUGUCAUGUAAUUAUAUUAUGCAGUAAAACGUACAAGUCUAAUUCAUAAUGACUUUCGAUAUUGCCUCACGUAUCAUCAUGCCUAUGCUAUUUUUGUAUUAUCCUUGUUUUGAAGGCUAUAUAUAUUUAUAUAAAUUUUGUUUUAGGUAGAUUUUAACAUGUUUUUUCUUCAUCUCAAGUACAUUUUUUUUUAUUUUUUUUUUCAUAUUUUAGUUAUUGAAUGUUGGGCUUAAAAUAUUAUAAACAUUCCUAAUUAUAUAUUAAUUUUACAUUAAGUUUUAACAGAUAAAUUUAGCAUUAUUAUAUUAUACUAUAAUAAAUUUCUUAGGUCAAAAUUAUCUUUGAUUUUUUAUCCAAUUAGAUAUUCCUACACCUUUUUUUUUAUUUCUAAUAACAAAUUCAAAAUUAUCUAUAUCUAUCUAUAGUACAAACUGGCUCUUAAGAGAGUUUUAAGAGUAAAUGGGUUGAUAAUAGUGUUUUUCAAUUUUAUACAUAUUCACAAUUUUUAUCUUUAAAGGUGUCAAGGUUCGUUCAUUUAUUUUCAUAUAAUUAUGUUCAUUUAUCUUCAUACCAGGCUUUCUUGCAGGCUUACAAUCUACUCUAGCUUAUUAUUACUUUAAUGCAAGCUGCAGGACAGGAUUAUGAGUGUAACACCCUAAAUUCGGCCUAGACGUUAUAGUCGUAUCUGGUAAUGUCACACGAUAGUGUUUUUGAAACUUCAUUGUUACGAUGAAAACAUUCCAUAUUUUUUAUUUUAUUUUUUAUUUUAGUAAACCUUUGUUAGAACUUAGGAAGUCGUCUUUACUCAUUUAAAACAUUUUUUUUGAAACAUCCCUCGUUAUAAAUUCAUAAAGUAAAAUAAAUAAAUAAAAACCCAAAUUUAAAACCAAAGUCCCAGAGGGUCCUUAAAUUACAACCCAAAUAAUCAAUAAUAAUCAAAUCGUAAAUCGUAAAUUGAAAACCAUGAAGUCCAAAAAUUACUAUGGUCACCGCUGAGUCCUCCAUCACACCUAUUCAUCUAGGUCUGGGGAUUACCUGUGCACAGUAAACAAAAAGGCGAGUUUAUGUAAACUUAGUGUGUAAUCCCAUAGAAACAAACAAACAAUCAAUAUUCACAGUGCACAGUUGAAUAGUCUUGGGCCUAAGCCCUUUUCAGUAUCAGUGACAGUUUGGGCCUUAGCCUAUCUCAAUACAAUGUCAAAAAUGCAAUAGGACCUUAGCCCAUUACAGUAUUAGUAGCAGUAACAGUUAUGCAGUAGUAAAAUCCUACCUAACCAGCCUCUACACACCAUCUCCGUCCAACCCUACACUCCAUAUAGGGAUAUAAUCAACUCACUCAUCUCUACACUCUAAGUAGUACCGAAUGAGGCACAAAACAGUAGUUUGCAACUGAGCUGCCAGUAAAUUUGGCUAAAAGCCUUUCAGUACACUUCUUCCGAAUAACAACCCCCAAUCCAAUGCAAUGCAACAUACAAUGGAUGACAUGCUAUUAUGCAAUUUCAGUACAUAUAUUCAAUUCAAAUAUUUUCAUACUCAGUACAGAUAUCAUUCAGUCAAUUUCACACAUUUAGGGAUCUAAGUAGCGUUUACCGACCCUACAAUAGGUUCACAGUCGACUUGGGUGACCCGUGCAACCUUAGAAACAUUUCGAUGAAAAUGGGCUCACAUACCUAUGUGAUCUGCCCCUGUGGGCCCACAGGCCUGUGUAGCCCACUCGGCCCAAAUUGGCCUUGGUCGUGUGAUCUAUUUUUAAUGUAACCCAUGCUAGCUAAAUAUUCAUAUAUGUUUUCACUAUUUACUUAUAUGUUCAUUCAAAGUUGUCUACUUGAGUCAUUGUCACUAAAUUAUUUAUAUCUUGAGUUACGAAAAUCCAAAUUAAGACCCGCUUGAUGUUUUUGAAACUAGACUCAAAUACCUUUCUACCAUAAAAUUUUCAGAAUUUAUAGUUUAUCAAAUAAGUACAUUAAAAUCUUCAAAUUUAUCCCAAUUCUGCUAUUUGACAGCUUCAACUUUUUCUUACUUAAAAUUAUUUAUCUCUUAGUACGGAAUUUGGAUGAUGUUUCUAUUUGUUUCUCUUGAAAAUAGACUCAUUAACGAUUUAAACAUAUAAAUUUAAGCCCUUAUUUAUUGUUUUUCAAUUUUUGAUGAUUUUCCAAAGUCAAAACAGGGGAACCCGAAAUUAUUCUAACAUUGUCUCACAAAAUUUAUUAUAUCUCAUAAUUUACAAUUCAAUUGCUUACAUUGUUUCUUCCAUGAAAAACUUAAUAAAAUUUAAUUUCUAAUUUUAUUCAACCUCUAACUCAAUUUCCACUUAUCUUGAUGAUUUUUCAAAGUUAGACUACUACUGUUGUUCAAAACUAUUUUAGUGCAAAAUGUUGAUUUCCAAGUUUAUAACACCCUUAUUUCCUUUCUCUAUAAGUUUUCACAUUAUUUUCCCUUAUUUCUCUUAUUUCUCGAUAGCAAGCAAUUUCGACUUUUCGCCGAAUCCUAUUUUCUGCGUUUCGGGUACACACCUGGUAUCGUUUUGCUGCAAAUACGCUCUCAGGCACUCCAAGACUUAAAAAUCGAUAAUUAGAGCCCAAUUUAGAUCACUAACGAAAACUCAAAACUAAAAAUCAUCUACAUCAAAAUCAAUAGCAAACCUAAACACUUACCGACAACGAACUAAAAUUUCUAACGCUCAAUUUGCUUGUGAAGCCGCAACUGAUUUCUGAUUUUCGCCUAAACCAAGAGAGCCAAAACAAUCCUUUUUAGGAACUAGCUAAGAAACGAUAAAAUAGAGACAAUUAGAUACUUACAGAACCAGUGUAUACAAUUGCUAGUUGGAAAAUAGGCUAGUAAAAAAAUCAAAUAGAGAGGGUGGGCUAGGGAACAAAAAUUUGGCAAAGCAAAGAAGAAGAGGACGGUAGAAAAAUUGGGGAAAAAAAGAGAAUGCCGAAAUUUAGGAAAAAUAAAAACCAAAUAGAAACUUAGAUGAUAUUAAUAACUACCCUACAUCCCUAAAUUUUCUCCCACCAAUCCUACUAACCUACAACCACUCCAGAAUUCCACUCUGCCGAAAUACUUGUCCAUCAUUGCGUAAAAAUAACGCCUAUGCUCCAGCAUAGAUUCGAACUCAGGACCUCAUAUAAUUAAACACUCUACUUAACCACUAGACCAGCAGACCCAUUUUGUUAUUUAAUUACCAACUAUUAAACUUAAGCUUUUUAGGCCAGGUUAAGGCUUUAUUUAUAAAAAUACUAAUAUUUGCCCAAGUCAUGGCUUGAACUUGGGACCUCCCACACACUUCCAAAACACUUACCCAUUGAAGCAGACAAGUACUUAUAUCACAAAAACAAGAAUUAAAAAUUUUGGUGCAUUAUAAUUCUACCCCCAAGAGAAAAUUUCAUCCUCGAAAUUUACCUGAUCAGAACGAAUGAGGAUGCUGCUGACACAUCGCAUCCUCAAGCUCCCACGUUGCCUCCUUAGUAUUAUGGUUACACCACAGAAUCUUCACCAGAGGGAUAGACUUCCUCCUCAAAACCUUUACGUCUCAAUCCAUAAUCUGAACCGGCUCCUCCUCAAAGGUUAAAUCUGGCCUAACCUCAAUCUACUCUAUUGGAACAAUAUGUGUAGGAUUAGAGAGGUAGCACCUCAACAUAGAAACGUGAAACACGUCAUGAAUUUGAUCCAACUCUAGAGACAGCUCCAAUUGAUAAGCGAUCGGUCCCACUCGUUUCAAAAACCUAGAGCUCAACUUGCUCUUACGACCAAACCUCAGACUCUUCUUCAUUGCAAAACCUUGAGGAACAUGAAGUCCCCCACGGAAUACUCAAUCUCUUGACGCUUUAGAUCCGCAUAGGAUUUUUAUCUGUCUGAUGGCAUUUUCAGACGAUCCCGAAUCAGUCUAACCUUAUCUUUAGUCUCCAAUACUAACUCAGGAUCCAGAACACGUCGUUUGCCCAACUCAGUCUAACAUAAAGGAGUGCGACACUUAUGACCAUACAAUGCCUCGUAAGGUGUCAUCUAGAUGCUAGACUGAAAACUGUUAUAAUAGGUGAACUCCGCCAGUGGCAGAUAAUCUUUCAAACUACCUUAAAAAUCAAUAGCACAGCUCUUGAAUUUGAGCCUUAAGCUCCACAAGCUCCUUCCGUGCCUUUCGAUAGGGAGCGAUGGACACCAGAGCUGUACCUGGAAGUAGCUCAAUCCCAAAUUCCAACUCGUGAUUCGGAGGUAACCCAAGUAGCUCUUAAAAAAAGACGUCUAAAAAAUAUUUUACCGUUUCAAUAUCCUUAAUUGUAGAAUCCUUAGAAUCCAAAACACUUACGGAAGCUAAGAAUGCCUCACAUCCCUUAUGAACUAUUUUCUCUGCCACCAGUAUAGAGAUCACAUUAGAUAAGUAAUUCUGGCAUUCUCCAAUCAUGACUACCUCUUUAUCCUUCUUAGUCCUUAGUACGACCCUCUUAGUCGCACAGUCUAAGCUAACACGAUGCUUGACCAAUCAGUCCAUCCCUAGAAUUAGGUCAAACUCCCCAAAUAGAAGCUCCAUCAAAUCAGCCAAGAAGAUUGCCCCUUGUACCUCUAAAGGAAUGUCCUUAUACAGUUUACUAACUCUAACAGAUUGCCUUAAUGGGAUCAGUACCGUAACUUCACUCGUAGUGCUCUCAACUGGAAUUGUUGACACCAUUUUUGGAUUAAAAACGGGGUCGACUUGGGUUUUGAAAAUGAAAAUGAAUAGAGGAGUCGCCACCAAUCCUUUUUGAUGAGGUGCGAUCGGGUCACCUCGAAUUAAUCAUUUUAAUAAAAGUUAAGAUUUACUAAAACGAUAAUUUUUUUUGGUCUACGAAAAUCAGAAAAUGAGUUCGGGAGUCGGUUACGCACGAGGAAGGAUUAGCACCCUCGAUACGCCCAAAAAUUGGUACCUAGUUGAUUAAUUAGUGUCUUAGUUUCGAAAAUUGAAAACUUAAAAUACUUUGAAAUACGAUCCAUCUCUUUGUAAAAAAAACUCAAAUAUUAAAGACCUUCUCAUCUCUAAGUGAUAAAAUAUCACAUCCAGUAAGUUAGGACACGACAUCUCGAGCUUUUGAGAGUGAGUUUGUCUUUAUUUAAAAUUCAUGCAUUUUAACUUUUUUUUAAAAAGGAUGUUCGGUUAUUUAGGGUAAACGAAGAAAGUCGAAACCCAGUAAGUUAGGGUACGUUUUCUCGAAUUUCCUAAAAACGAAAUAUUGCCUUAUUUUGAAUUUUUUUUUGAAUAAUAGCAAAUGCAACAUUUAGAUAGUGUGCAUUAUUUGUUUGGAUUAAAAUAAAACAAUUUAUUGGAUAAAUGCAACGAGACUUGAUUCAUGAAGCGAUGAUAUAAAAUAAAAAUAUAGUAAUAAGCCUAGAACAAUGAUACAUGAACACAACAUUAUAUGGAUGAAUCACAAUAAUGCAAAAAUACGAAAUAAACAAAUUAAAAUACACAAAGACAAUAAUCAUACAACAUUUAAAUAAUAACAUCGAUAGAUAAAAGACCAAUGAAUUAAAUAAUAAUUUUUUAAGAAAAUAAAUGGCAUAAAAUAAAUUAAAAUAAAUAAUAUAAAACAUUUUAAAAUGACAAUAAUAAGUUUGAAAUAAAUAAUGUGAAAAAGGAAAUUUAAAAAUCAAUAACACACUAAACGAUAAAAAAUAUGUUUAUACAAAAAAUUAAGAUAAACAGUAUGUAUAUAUAUGUAUAAAAGUAUGAAGUGAAUGAUAUAAAAAGAGCAAAUAAUAGCAGUAAAACAUUUCGGAAUAAAUAAAUAGGAUUCAAAAUAAGAUACGUAUAACAAUUUAAAAUAAGCAAUAUAUAAAUAAAUAGAGUUUAAAAUAAAUGAUGUAAAAAAAAAAAUUUAUUUAAAAAAAAGGAACAAUAAUAUACGAAAAAGAAAAAAAGAUAUAUGAAGAAUAGAAAAUAUUUAUAUAAUAUGUGCAAAGAAACCAAAAUAAAUAAUGUAUGUAGAGUAGUUUAGAAUAAACAAUAUAUGCAAAACAACUUACAACUUUGAGUAAUUGAUACAUAAAAUUGGUUAAAAUUAAUAAUAUAUGAAAAUGAACCGUAUAUAGAAUAUUUUAAACACAUACAAUAACAGUUCCUUUUUUAAGAAAAAGAAUUAAACAGGUGAAGGAUUAAUUCGAAAACAAUACAAAAUUCUAGGUAAAAAAUAAAAAGAUACUGCCAGGAUUAAAAUGAAGUGCACCUAAAAUCAUAAGGACCAAAUGGGAUAAAAACCAUAGCCCUAACAUGCGCAUGAGGCCCGACAGAUCAAAAGACUGAUUUAAAAAACAAGCAAAAUCUAACAACUAAAUUAAGAGAAAAAGCAAAGAUAAAAUAGGGCCUGAUCAAAGGACGCUAAAGAUGGAGGGACCUCGUGUGCAAAUAUCCUAAUAAUUGAGGAUACAUGAAUCCCCAUCCCCACCAACGGCACCGUUUUGUUUGGUGUUUAAAACACCCAUUCUCUUUAUUAUUUCAGCCCUAAUUUCAUAGAAGAAAAGAAAAAAAGAACAAAAAAAAUAGAAUGUUAAAGCUUCUCUCCCUCUCCUCUCUUACUGAAUCGUGAGCCCGUCGCCGUUGCAUCACCGCGCCCCCACCGUAUCGGUGGCUGGCGAUGCUCAAGGGUGGGUUUUUAGCCCCCGAUUCAACCAGGUAUGAAGGCUAAGAUUUUUUAACCAAGAAAACCCGAAAAUGAAGGGAUCUCCACCCGUUUUGGGUUCGGCUCCGACGACUGAGGGAACCGCCGACGGUGUGACCCAGGGGUUCGGGUAAGUUUUCUCCCCGUCUUCUUUUUAUUUCUUGUUCUUGAAGCUUAAAAGCAAAAUCAAAAAUGAAAAAAGAAAAAAAGAAAUCAGAAAUUGAAAAAACGUAACCUUUUUCUUUUGUUUUUGCUCUUUUAUUUCUGAAAUAUGCGUGUGUACAAGAAUGGGGAUCCCUUUUUUACAAUUGCUUUCGGCUUCUGUUUUUAGCCGAAUGAGAUAGAAUCCAAAAUCUCCCCCUUUUACAUUGAAAAUGAAUGGCUCUUUAUAGCCGAUUAUACAAAGUCCUAUUGUUGUUUUGUUACUGUUUGCUGCGUUUCUGUUUCUGUUGCUGCUUCCGUCAUGUUUGCAGGUGUUCAAGGAGGUGAUGGGAGCAGGUGGAGGAGAGAUGGCGAUGGGACGUGCGGCUGACAGAGAGCAGCGGCAAGUGGGAUACUAGGGUUUCAGUUUCUGAAACCCUAGUCUGAUGUGGGCUUGGCUGUUGGGCCAGGGUGCUGGGCCUUUUAUUUCUUUCUUGGGCCCGGGCAAAUGGGCCUGCAACAGCUGCCCCUCUUUGCUCGUUGUCGUGUAACGAUAACAGAGAAAAGACUAAGAAAGGCCCAUUUUGCCCGGUCUCGCCGAGUCUUGACUUGUUCUGGUACUUCUCCAUUUCAAGUAGUUUCAUUCCAGUCCACUAGGUCUUGUUGCUUCGAUCCAUUCCACUGCAUUUUAGAGAGAUGCGUCCUGUAGCCUUUAUCUUCUUCGUAGCAACUUCAGGGGGACGAGGUUUGUGGUUUUCAAUCUAUUCCACUGCAUCUUCAGGGAAAUAAGACUUGAUGCGACCUACUCUGCUGUAACCUCAGAGAGAUAAGAUCCUUUAUUUUAACCCACUCCACUGUAACUUCAGGGAGAUAGGAUAGUGUCUUCGAUCUGCUCCGCUGUAAUCUCGGGGAGAUAAGAUCUCUGGCUUCAAUCUGCUCCACUGUAACUUCAGGGGGACAAGAUCUGUAAUUUCCAAUCUAUUCCACUACAGGUCAGGGAUAUAGGACUUGUGGUUUGAAUCCGCUUCCUUACACUUGAAGAUAAGAUUUGCUGUCUUUGAUCUGCUCCGCUACGGCUUAGGGAGACAAAAUCUGUAACCUUUAACCAGCUCCAAUGCAACCAAUGGAGGCAAGGCUUUGUUUUUGAUCUGCUUUACUGUUAAUGCAGGAAGGCAAGAUCUGCUUCUUUAACUAGCUCCACUGCAAUCGAUGGAUGCAAGGCUUUGUUUUCGAUCUGCUUCGCUGUUAAUGUAGGACGGCAAGAUCUGCUUCUUUAACCAGCUCCACUACAACCGAGAGAGGCAAGGUUUGUGUCUUCGACCUGCUUCAAUGUCAAUGCAGGAAGGCAAGAUCUUUUGUCUUCAACCAGCUCUAUCACAACCGAAAGAGGCAAGGUUUGUGUCUUCGAUCUGCUUCGCUGUCAAUGCAGAAAGGCAAGAUCUUUUGUCUUCAACCAGCUCCAUCACAACCAAAGAGGCAAGGUUUGUGUCUUCGAUCUGCUUCGCUGUCAAUGCAGAAAGGCAAGAUCUUUUGUCUUCAACCAGCUCCAUCACAACCGAAAGAGGCAAGGUUUGUGACUUCAUUGAUCUGUCCCUUGGGGAACAUGACCUGUAUGUUCUAUUUUAUGAACCUAAUUGUGCCUAGUGAUUAGGAUGACAUAAUCAGAAUGAAUCAAAUGCUCCUAACUAGAUAUGUAUGAAUGACAUUUGAAUGAAUGCAAAAUGUCAUGAAGAUGAUUCCUUAAUGCUUAGGUUAACAUCACGUAAAAACUUAUUAAGGUUUUAUCACUGACGUACUACAACGCCUUUUUGCUCGUCUGGUAUAUCCAAAGAAACACUUAAUCUGGUUGCCCCCCACUGUAAACCUUAAAGUUUAAUCUAUUAGGGCACAAAAUUUGUACCAUCAUUCUCCCACUACAAUCCAAGGGUAGAAAUAUGGUUUUUCCUCAAUCCUCUUUUAUCACAAUUCAAGGAUAUAGGAUCUUAAUCUUUCUGGUCCCCCUUUACACCAUUUCCAGGGUGUCGUUUCAAAGACUCAUGCACAAAUGAAGGCUCUCUUCUCCGAGGUAACCUCUUCCUAUUGCCUAGUGAUCAUUGCUUGCUUGUUUAUUUAAGCUUUUUCAUUGACACGACAUCUUGUCAUUUUGUUCAAUCAAUGCAUUUGUCAACAAAAUCCAAAGAGAAAGUCUAAACUUAGACUCUUCCUUCUCAAAUUUCCAACCUUCAAAUUUGGCAUGUUCUAAACAAUAGUCCUGUUUUAGGUUCCUGUAUUAUUUAGAAACUUUUCAGAGUAAUAUGCAAAACUUCCUUUGUGAAAGUUUUAUUAGUCCAUUAAUCAUUAUUCCAAUGCUUGCAAAAAGGUCAUAACAAUGGAUAAGAAUAAAGUUGGUUCUGAGCAUAGCUCGAAAGAACAAAUUAUCGAAAAUAGUGAAGAAGGACAACAAAAGAAUUAAUUGGGAAUGUAUAUCUUGGAAAGAAAGAAAAAGUAUUCCAAGAACAACAAAUAACAUGAGAAUUGGGUGCCCCAGAUAUCACAGCUUGAACUUCUCUAUACAAACUUUCUGAAGACCCUUUUGAGUUGGACAUGUGUUUAGGAGAUCUACAAUGCUCUGUCGAUGCCCCCAAGAUGUCGCCUAUCCUUUCCUGUUGAUUCAGGCAUGGCAAGAUCAACACAUGCCUCAAUAUGAACAAAACUUGAGCAGCUUAUAUCACCCCAUGCCCCAUUUUGAUCAGUAUUUGAGCCGCCCUUUUCGGGUUUUCAGCUCAGAUCCCCUUUGGCCUAAGGCGCCCUUUGCGGGUUUUCCCCUUAGCCUCUCCAUUUUACUCUUUUCAUUUUCCAUUUUCAUUCUUCAUCUUUUUAUUUUUUUUGAACUUCAUUGUCUUACAAUACAGUGACAAACUGUGAUGUCUGAUUUUGAACCGAUUACAGCCCUCAACUAUCAUGUUGUCAUUCUAGUUCAAUACAUUUUCCCAUACCAUCGUCUCUAGAAUUCUAUAUUGGCAUAUGAUGACAUUGACGCAUGCUGUAGCCUUUAUCCAUUUGAUGAAGUAAUUAAUGAUCUCAAUAGUGAAGCAAUGCCCAUUAGAAGUCUUCGAUAAUGGUGAUGUCCAUGCCCCAUUUUGCUCAAAAUUUGAGUCACCCUUUUUGGGUUUUCCACUCAAAACCACUUUUGGUCACAAAGCGCCUUUUUGGUUUUUCGCCUUGGCCUCUCCUUUUCUUUUCUUUGCUUUUCGUAUUUUUAUUUUGACUUUGAUUGAUUUCUCUUUGUUUUUAUUUUUUAUUUUGAUUUUGAUUUUGAUUUUGUUUUUUUUUUUCAUUUUUCCUUGUUUUUUGAAUCGGAUCUAAACUCUUGGGAUUAGGCAAGUCUUUGUUAUCCCCUUCAAAGGAUCUUCUCUGAUAUCGAAUUUCCUUUAUAGAGCCUUUUAGGGCAAAACUACAACUGGAAACUUUUGAUCUUCUUCUUCCAUCGGGAUAAAAUCUAGCAACAUCUUGAAGGAAUAGAAACUCGACUUCAAACGGGCAAAGCUAUGCUGAAUUGACGAGAACGGUAUUGCCCCGGCAAAGAAUUGUAUCAUUCAUACGAGUUUGGACAUCGUGUUGUUGUGCAGAUUUCAUUAUCAGUGCUUAACCCAGCAUAUCCUGGUAUGAUCCUACAAAGACAUCUUUGAACAAGGUCUUGCUUCAUUUUUAAGGACAAGUCAAUUCCAAGCUCAGAAUUCCUAGUGAUCUGUCUAUCCUCCUACUCAACCAUCCUCAAUAAGUUUGGGGGUAAGCUACUAUCUAUGUCAUUUCCAAAGUCAUGAGAUCCAUCUAAGCACAUGCCUCACUCAAGUGGAAAAUCUGAGUUUGCAGCAGUUUCAUUCAUGUUAUUGAUAUCUGAGGACUCAUAAUAAGCACCGAGGAAUAUACAAAAGAAUGUAUAAAUUUAUGAAUGAUUAUUUACAAUAUGAUUAUGAAUGAAUGUUGUGGAAGAAAAUCCAACAGAAUGAAAUAAUCAAAAAUAAUUAUUAAAAAGAAUGAAAGAAUAUUGGCUCAAAAAGGAACGCAAAGAUGUAUUUUAUUAGAAUAAUAACGUUCAGACAUUAGCCUAUUUCACAAAGGAAUUUCUAUCGCUUCAGGCUAAAAACAGCAAAAAUGUUCUGAACAUUACUCUAAAUAAGCUCUAAAAACUACAGGGAUUUAUUCUACAAGCCCAUUGCUUGGAACACUCCAGGUUUAUAAGGGCAGACAUCUAACAAGAUCCCUUUUCAAUUAUGCCUUCAUAUAUGGUAUUGAUGUGAAAACUUCCCAACACUUUCUCAUAUAUUGCGUUCACCCCAUUGUUAAUCAUGAUUGGGUGGCGAAUUUUCUGCAUUAGAUGAGUCACCAAACUUGACGACACCCAUGUUGAUGAGCUUUUCAACCAGUUUCUUGAAGGCUAUGCAGUUCUCUAUGGAAUGCCCCGUAUUUCCCGCAUGAUAUUCGCAAUGUGCAUUCGCAUCGUGCCAUUUGGGGUACGGUGGCUGUGGAGGUUUUGAGUAGAAAGGAGAAACAAUGCGUGCAUCGAAUAACUUUUGAUACAGCUCAUUAUACGACAUCGGGAUUGGCGUGAACUGGAGGUUCUCAGUACCUUGUUUCACACUAAUUUCUUGUCUAGAUGAACCUUGCUGACUAGCAGUCACCUUUCUUGGCUGUGUAAUCGAUUUGUUGUAAGUGUUGACAUUGCUCACAUCAUUUUCCUUCUUCUUUAAGUCUGACCUUCUAUUAUUCUCCCCAGCAUCAAUCUUUCCACUUCUCACGGCACUUUCAAUCAUUUCACCGCUCAUGACUAUGUCUGAAAAACUCUUCGAAGCACUUCCUAACAUGUGGGUGAUGAACGGGGCCUUCAAUGUGUUGAUGAAGAGCAUCGUCAUUUCUUUCUCUAGGAGUGGCGGCUGAACUUGGAUAGCGACCUCCCUCCACCUUUGUGCGUAUUGCCUAAAACUUUCAUUAGGUUUUUUCUCCAUAUUUUGCAGGGUUAUUCUGUCAGGGACCAUAUAAGCUACAUGACUGUAUUGUUUCAUAAAGGCUUGUGCUAAAUCCCUCCAAGAACUAAUCUGGAUACGCGUCAAUUGAUUGUACCACUUAGACGCUGUCCCUGUGAGGCUAUCUUGAAAGCAGUGUAUGAGCAGUUGGUCGUUGUUGACGUAUCCGGCCAUACGCCUACAGAACAUAGUAAUAUGAGCUUCUGGGCAGCUGGUCCCAUUAUAUUUCUCGAAUUCCGGCAUCUUAAAUUUGUAAGGGAGCACCAAGUCCGGAACCAAGCUCAGAUCCUUUGCAUCUAUUCCAUAGCUUUCGAUGCUUUCUAUUGCCCUAAACUUCUCUUCUAUCCAUUUCCAUUUCUCCUCAAAUUGUUUUGGAAAUUCCUCCUUCGCCUUAUCCUUUUCAACCAUCUCGUCAAGAUCUGGGACAGCAAUAUUAUUCGGGCUAUCACCGGGAUUAAAGCCCGCUCCGGGUUGAAAAUUCAUUGGAAUUGAAGCAUCGCCUUGGAACUGCUGGGGCCUAACCGACACAGAGGGUCUCCGCGGAUGCAGCUCAGUCUGUACUUGCGCAUGCGGAGGCGUGAAACCUGGAGGAUAAAGUGGUUCACCAUUGUUUUCUUCUUCACUAACAAUCACAGGACCUUUACCCUUGUCUACUCCCUUCAAUAAUUGCGUCAUCUUAGCCACCAGAUCAUUUUGGGACUCCUCCAUCUUUUGCACCAUGUCACGCUGAAUCUUUUCUAUUUGCUCUUUCAUUUGCGCCUGCAACUGGUCUUGCAUUUCUUUUUGAAGUCGCUCUAGCUUCUCCAACCUUUGGUCCAUAAUUUUUGUCUUAGCUCGGGUGCCGUAACUUUGUUGGUUUUCCAGGUUAACUGAAAUGAUUUUAUUCGAUUAGGUUUUUAAUGGUCAUUAAUGCAUGUGAUGUGAUGCAAUGCAUGAAAAGAAUGCAAAGAAAAAGAGGCACUGAUUCUAAUUCAACUUCAUUAGAAAACUUUACUAGAUAAAGAGUUUCUUUACAUAAAAUAGACUACAUAUAUGGCUUUGCCCUCACACUCAAAGCCUUAACCUUUCUAAGAAGCCAAGCUAAUUCUCGGCCCCUGUCCGACUCUGACUCAUACUUCAAACUUAAUAGAUCAGCCUGAACCGCUAGAGUUUGCAGAUGAUCAGCUACUUCGCGCACUUGAGUCACCGCCUCUCCCAUAAUAUAAUCUCUUUCUCCAAUCUGCUCUUGAGACCGACGGAAUUGUCUUUGCCACUGCUCAUUACUUUCUUCCAGAAGCUCUAUCCGGAUUUCACUAUUUUGUAAUGCAUUCUCUAGCCCUCAUAUCUGUCUUUUUAAUUCUUCAAUUUUGUCUAAGCUCACCCUUAAUUCAACCGUAGCAUUACGAUUACAGUACUGGUGAAGCGAUCUUUCUAGUUCAGUUAUCCGGACCUUCAACACCGUCUUCUCGUCUUGGCAAACUAGUAGACUCUUUCCCAAGGCGACUUCUCGAGCCCGAGUAUCCUGAAAUUUCUUUUCCCAUUGAUUAGCUUUUGUCUUUUCCUCCUGAAUUUCUUGUCGCCAUUGUUCUGGUGUUUUACCCAAGCCAGCGGCUCUUACCGACUUACGCAACUUCUUGUAAUCUGUCUUCAGGCUGUCCAAAUCUUCUUCUGCCUUGUUCUUUCCUUUUCUCAAUUUGUUGGCCUCUAAUCUUUGAAUGUCCACAUCCAGUCCUAACUGCAUUUUUUCUUCCUCUAGUUGUUCUAUCUUCUUCCCUAAUUCUAAACUUCUUUUUUCGAAUUCUUGUUUGAUGAUUUCUAUUUCAGAAGGCAAAACUUGUAAGUGUUCCUCUAAAGAUCGAGCAGUUUCUGAAUUUGACGCCGGGAUGUUGUCAUUGAUCCUUUGAUCACGCCACUGACCAUACUCGGGGGUAAUUGUCGGACCCACGGCUAAGAUCUUCAUUCGACGAGUCUGGUUCCAGGCACUAGAUAUUUCUCGAACCUUCUUCUUGUAAUUGUCCUUCCUAUAGGAAAAAUCACUAUAAGCCAACCCCUGGGUUGCUGGUAUGAAUUGUCGUGAUCUAUACUGUCUUGAUACGAGUAGAGGAGCAUAUCCGAUAGCUCUCCAUAUCCCGAGCAGCGGAACCCAGUCAAAAUCUCCACAUCGGUACAAUAUCUCAUCAGGAAUUAACCAAGGAGCCCUCCAUUCAAUAUCUUCAUCUUGGAGAUUCUGGAGUAUCUCUAUCCAUUUUUCUUCUGAAAUAUCAUCUCGUCUUGGCGUGGCCACCAAUUCUCCUAGAGGGGAGUAGCUAUCAGAGAAUACCCGAUAAGAGACCUUUUCGACUUUCCAGAAGUGGCUAUGGAACCAUGCCAAUAAGAGCUGCGCGCAUCCAAUAAACCUUCCCUCCCCUACUUUUCGACACGCAUUCAAUGAUCUAAAAGUUUCAGCGAGUAUUGCCGGAACCGGUGUAACCCCUUUACUAAGCCGAUCGAACAAAUCAGAUACAGCCUCGUCUAUGUGUCCUAAAGCUUUGGGGAAAACCACUAGUCCAUAGAUACCUAAAGCGAAAACAUCGACCCUUUUCUUUAAGUCAGGAUGUACAAGCACCAAAUCUCGCAAACUUUUCCAAGGAACACAUUUACUGUCGCCCUUCUGUUGGAUCCGGGCAGCGACCCACUGCUCGCUCAUUCCAGUGAUGUUCAUUAAUUUCUUUAACAACGGAGGGACACAAGCAGCUCUGGAAUAAGCCUUGUCGACUUGAAUCUUUGGGCACCGAAGCAAGGUCGUAUACUCCUCCACAGUAGGCGUCAAAUCUACCUUCCCAAAAGUGAAACAACUGUAGGCAGGAUUCCAAAACUGAGCAAGGGCUCGGAAUAAAUACUUGUCCACUUUGACACUAAGCAGGUAAGGUAGGUCACCGUAGUUACAAUAGAACAGCUGCUUGGCCUCGACAUCCCAUUGAUCCCAGACUUCUUUCAUUUCUCGAAGGUCAUUUUGGAUUACACUGAUACGGGUAAAAUCCCACAAUUCUGACACGUACCCUUCGGUAAGACUAUCGCCUUUCUCCCGUUGUGUCGUUUCAGCCCAUAUUCGCACAGCCGCAUUAUCCUCUACUUUAUCAACAAACCCCUUUUCCAUGAUAAGCUUUCUACCAAGAAACUGAACGUAAAUCGACACCUCUUUUAGAAUGAAGAUGCCAUGCAAUCACAAACAAAGUAAAUUAGCAUUAAACACAGAAUAAGAUUUAAAAUAAGCGACAAAUAAAUACAACAUUCAUUUAGGUAAGCACUAAAAAUUUAGAGUAGCUCUACCUAGGUUGGUUCCUAUGGCUCAUUACAUGUGGUUUGGUUCUAAAGUAGGGUACCUGAACCAGCAAAUUCCUCGAUCCUCACCCAUUAUAGGCUCAUACGGACCAAGUUCGAUUCAGGGGGAUACAUUUCCCUAUGGCCAUGCGGAGAUGAAAAUCUCACGAAGACAUAGGUACGGAUGUAUCCCGAAAGCGAUUCACUAUCCCAUGCGGAGGUGAAAACCUCACGAAGGCGUAGUUUCUCACUCCCACUUAAAAGGGUGUGACCAACGGUCAUGCAAUGCAAUGUGCAGAAAGAUACAAAAACUUAAACUAACACAACAAUUAUAAACCACAACGAUGAAAAUUGUAAUAAAGAGCAAUGAAAUGCGAUGAAAGGAUCGUAUAUUUAAACCAAGUUUUGAUUUUCGACAAAAAGACAAAAAAUAAUCAACUCGUGGCCCGACUCACUUAUUGUGGUUGUCCCCAGUGGAGUCGCCAAGCUGUUGACACCAUUUUUGGAUUAAAAACGGGGUCGACUUGGGUUUUGAAAAUGAAAAUGAAUAGAGGAGUCGCCACCAAUCCUUUUUGAUGAGGUGCGAUCGGGUCACCUCGAAUUAAUCAUUUUAAUAAAAGUUAAGAUUUACUAAAACGAUAAUUUUUUUUGGUCUACGAAAAUCAGAAAAUGAGUUCGGGAGUCGGUUACGCACGAGGAAGGAUUAGCACCCUCGAUACGCCCAAAAAUUGGUACCUAGUUGAUUAAUUAGUGUCUUAGUUUCGAAAAUUGAAAACUUAAAAUACUUUGAAAUACGAUCCAUCUCUUUGUAAAAAAAACUCAAAUAUUAAAGACCUUCUCAUCUCUAAGUGAUAAAAUAUCACAUCCAGUAAGUUAGGACACGACAUCUCGAGCUUUUGAGAGUGAGUUUGUCUUUAUUUAAAAUUCAUGCAUUUUAACUUUUUUUUAAAAAGGAUGUUCGGUUAUUUAGGGUAAACGAAGAAAGUCGAAACCCAGUAAGUUAGGGUACGUUUUCUCGAAUUUCCUAAAAACGAAAUAUUGCCUUAUUUUGAAUUUUUUUUUGAAUAAUAGCAAAUGCAACAUUUAGAUAGUGUGCAUUAUUUGUUUGGAUUAAAAUAAAACAAUUUAUUGGAUAAAUGCAACGAGACUUGAUUCAUGAAGCGAUGAUAUAAAAUAAAAAUAUAGUAAUAAGCCUAGAACAAUGAUACAUGAACACAACAUUAUAUGGAUGAAUCACAAUAAUGCAAAAAUACGAAAUAAACAAAUUAAAAUACACAAAGACAAUAAUCAUACAACAUUUAAAUAAUAACAUCGAUAGAUAAAAGACCAAUGAAUUAAAUAAUAAUUUUUUAAGAAAAUAAAUGGCAUAAAAUAAAUUAAAAUAAAUAAUAUAAAACAUUUUAAAAUGACAAUAAUAAGUUUGAAAUAAAUAAUGUGAAAAAGGAAAUUUAAAAAUCAAUAACACACUAAACGAUAAAAAAUAUGUUUAUACAAAAAAUUAAGAUAAACAGUAUGUAUAUAUAUGUAUAAAAGUAUGAAGUGAAUGAUAUAAAAAGAGCAAAUAAUAGCAGUAAAACAUUUCGAAAUAAAUAAAUAGGAUUCAAAAUAAGAUACGUAUAACAAUUUAAAAUAAGCAAUAUAUAAAUAAAUAGAGUUUAAAAUAAAUGAUGUAAAAAAAAAUUUUAUUUAAAAAAAAGGAACAAUAAUAUACGAAAAAGAAAAAAAGAUAUAUGAAGAAUAGAAAAUAUUUAUAUAAUAUGUGCAAAGAAACCAAAAUAAAUAAUGUAUGUAGAGUAGUUUAGAAUAAACAAUAUAUGCAAAACAACUUACAACUUUGAGUAAUUGAUACAUAAAAUUGGUUAAAAUUAAUAAUAUAUGAAAAUGAACCGUAUAUAGAAUAUUUUAAACACAUACAAUAACAGUUCCUUUUUUAAGAAAAAGAAUUAAACAGGUGAAGGAUUAAUUCGAAAACAAUACAAAAUUCUAGGUAAAAAAUAAAAAGAUACUGCCAGGAUUAAAAUGAAGUGCACCUAAAAUCAUAAGGACCAAAUGGGAUAAAAACCAUAGCCCUAACAUGCGCAUGAGGCCCGACAGAUCAAAAGACUGAUUUAAAAAACAAGCAAAAUCUAACAACUAAAUUAAGAGAAAAAGCAAAGAUAAAAUAGGGCCUGAUCAAAGGACGCUAAAGAUGGAGGGACCUCGUGUGCAAAUAUCCUAAUAAUUGAGGAUACAUGAAUCCCCAUCCCCACCAACGGCACCGUUUUGUUUGGUGUUUAAAACACCCAUUCUCUUUAUUAUUUCAGCCCUAAUUUCAUAGAAGAAAAGAAAAAAAGAACAAAAAAAAUAGAAUGUUAAAGCUUCUCUCCCUCUCCUCUCUUACUGAAUCGUGAGCCCGUCGCCGUUGCAUCACCGCGCCCCCACCGUAUCGGUGGCUGGCGAUGCUCAAGGGUGGGUUUUUAGCCCCCGAUUCAACCAGGUAUGAAGGCUAAGAUUUUUUAACCAAGAAAACCCGAAAAUGAAGGGAUCUCCACCCGUUUUGGGUUCGGCUCCGACGACUGAGGGAACCGCCGACGGUGUGACCCAGGGGUUCGGGUAAGUUUUCUCCCCGUCUUCUUUUUAUUUCUUGUUCUUGAAGCUUAAAAGCAAAAUCAAAAAUGAAAAAAGAAAAAAAGAAAUCAGAAAUUGAAAAAACGUAACCUUUUUCUUUUGUUUUUGCUCUUUUAUUUCUGAAAUAUGCGUGUGUACAAGAAUGGGGAUCCCUUUUUUACAAUUGCUUUCGGCUUCUGUUUUUAGCCGAAUGAGAUAGAAUCCAAAAUCUCCCCCUUUUACAUUGAAAAUGAAUGGCUCUUUAUAGCCGAUUAUACAAAGUCCUAUUGUUGUUUUGUUACUGUUUGCUGCGUUUCUGUUUCUGUUGCUGCUUCCGUCAUGUUUGCAGGUGUUCAAGGAGGUGAUGGGAGCAGGUGGAGGAGAGAUGGCGAUGGGACGUGCGGCUGACAGAGAGCAGCGGCAAGUGGGAUACUAGGGUUUCAGUUUCUGAAACCCUAGUCUGAUGUGGGCUUGGCUGUUGGGCCAGGGUGCUGGGCCUUUUAUUUCUUUCUUGGGCCCGGGCAAAUGGGCCUGCAACAGGAAUCCCCAAGUUUCUAGAUAUGUUGCUAGCUAUGUAUGAGUGAGUAGACCCUAUGUCUAUCAAGGUAAUAUAUAGUACAUCAAGAAUAAAGAACGUACCCGUGAUGACGUUCGGAGCAUCUCUAUUCUCUCGGCGACAAGCAACAUAUACUAGGGCCGACUGCCUUGCCUCAGCCUGUCCAACACCUCUGCUUCGGUGCUCUCUACCUAUGACCCAUACCAUUACCACAUCUGGCCUGUCUAUGGCCCCUCGGUGGUUACUGUACUACCUUUUAUAACUAUACCGUACCAGUACCCGAAGUUUUCAUCUGAUCGGCCCUUAACGAACACUCCUUACAGUACUCUAAUGACUCAUACCGCAAGCACACCUCAGUCUUUCUCUAACACUCGCCCUGAUGGCGUCUACCACAAUCAGUACUUAGCUGCAGUUCAGUAACAGUAACAGAGGGCCCAGCUCUAACCGACCCAUCAACUCUGCCCUUUUUCUUAGGCCUCUGUGCAGAACUCGAAGGCUCUAAAUCCCUCUUAUUCUUACCUCUCUCACAGUAAUAGUUCUGGCGCUCAGCGCGCUUAAUCUCAUCGGUGAUCUUCGCCUUCUCCACUAGUGUAGAAAAAUCACCUCUCUCUACGGAGCUAUCAAGACUCUCAAAUUAUCUCUGAGCCCAUCCUCAAAACGAAUACAUCGCUCAUACUCAGAGGCCACCAUACCUCGCGUAUAGCGGCUCAGUCACAGGAACUCAGCCUCAUACUCGGCCACUGAUCAAUUUUUCUGAGUCAAAUUUAAGAAGUUCCUUUUACGGGUAUCCACGUAGCUCGCCCUCACAUAUUUCCCCUAAAAGGCAGUUUUAAAGAACUCCCAGGUUAGAUGUUCGGGCUGAGUGCCCUCCUUAACAAUGAGUCAUCACUGAUAAGCCUCAUCCCUCACCAGUGAGACUGCACCCUUUAAUUUCUGCUCUAGGGUGCAGUCUAAGUCAUCCAUGAUCCUCUCCGUGGCCUCAAUCCAGUACUCGGCCAUAUUAGGGGCAACUCUAGUGACACCCCUGAAAAGCUCAACUCCAUUGGACUAGAGUCGUUUCGUAUUCGAUCCUCGGACCCCUAAUCUAGUAUUGAUCCGAGCGACCCUCUCCAAAAUCCUUAGCAUAGCUUGGGAUAAUGCGUCGUCCUCAGCCAUGCGAUCUUGAGACCCAGUCUCAGUAGUAGGCGACACUAGCGUCUCACUAGUAUCCAAAUUCGGUAUGCUACCCAAUGAAGAGGACUCAGAUCGAGCUCCUUUGUGACCUCUACCUCAGCCUCUAGUACCCCGUCCACAGAUACAUCGUAUGCUCAUUGUCUAAUCACGUUUAUCUGUAUUAACAGUUUUAUGAAUCAGUUACGGUUUCAGUGUUUAUUAACAAAUGUUUUAUGUAAAAUAGUAUCGGUUAUUCAAAGUUCGUUUUGUAAAUCACAGUCUUACUAUAGUUUUUAGUUUUUUUACAAUUUUUAUUAUACACUAACUAGAGUGUUUUCAGUACAGUUUACUACCUAUAGUAGAUUCAGAAUAUACUAUCCAUAACAGUUUCAGUUUAAAACAAAUCACAGUUCAAAAUACUUACAGAAUCGACACCGGAGACUCGGUGUACCACUUACUUAGUACAAACAUUUCAAAUCAUUUAGAAAUUAAUCAACUUUUCGAAAGCUCAAUUUUUACAAAACCCAUAAUCCACUAUCGAGUUCUGUAACUUGGCUCUGAUACCACUAAAUGUAACACCCCAAACUCGGCCUAGACGUUAUGGUCGUAUCUGUUAAUGUCACAUGAUAGUGUUUUUGAAACCUCGUUGUUACGAUGAAAACAUUUCAUGUUAUUAUCUUUAGUAAACCUUUGUUAGAACUUAGAAAGUUGUCUUUAUUCAUUUAAAACAUUUUUUUUGAAACAUCCCUCAUUGCAGAAGCUUUAAUAAAAUAGUCUAGGUGAUCAUGCGUUUAGAAAAUAUAACUUUAUGAAAACUGAAUUUCCUACGACCAGCAGGUAUAAAUCUAUAAAGUAAAAUAAAUAAAUAAAAACCCAAAUUUAAAACCAAAGUCUCAAAGGGUCCUUAAAUUACAACCCAAAUAAUCAAUAAUAAUCAAAUCAUAUAUCGUAAAUUGAAAACCAUGAACUCAAAAAAUUACUAUAGUCACCGUUGAGUCCUUCGUCGCACCGAUCUGUCUAAGUUUGGGGAUUACCUGUGAACAUUAAACAAAAAGGGUGAGUUUACGUAAACUCAGUGUGUAAUCUCGUAGAAAUAAACAAAUAAUCAGUAUUCACAGUGCACAGUUGAAUAGUCUUGGGCCUAAGCCCUUUUCAGUAUUAGUCAUAGUUUGGGCCUUAGCCCAUCUCAGUAUAGUGUUAGAAAUGCAAUAGGGUCUUAACCCAUCAUAGUAUCAGUAGUAGUAACAAUUAUGCAGCAGCAAAAUCCUACCCAACCAGCCUCUACACACCAUUUUCGUCUAACCCUACACUCCAUGUGGGGAUAUAAUCAACCCACCCAUCCCUACACUCUAAGUAGUACUAAAUGCGACACAAAACAGUAGUUUGCAACUGAGCUGCUAGUAAAUUAGGCUAAAAGCCUUUCAGAACAUUUCCUCCGAAUAACAACCCCUAACCUAAUGCAAUGCAACAUACAAUAGAUGACAUGCUAUUAUGCAAUUUCAGUACAUAUAUUCAGUUCAAAUAUUAACAUGCUCAGUACAUAUAUCAUUCAAUCAAUUUCACACAUUUAGGUGUCUAAGUAGCGCUUAUCAACCCUACAGUGGGUUCACAGUCGACUUGGGCGACCCGUGCAAUCUUACAAACAUUUCGGUGAAAAUAGGCUCACACGCCCAUGUAAUCUACCCGUGUGGCCCACUUGGCCCAAAUUGGCCUUGGCCGUGUGAUCCAUUUUUAAUGUAACCCGUGCUAGCUAAAUAUUCAUACAUGUUUUCACUAUUUACUUAUAUGUUCAUUCAAAAUUGUCUACUUGAGUCAUUGUCACUAAAUUAUUUAUAUCUUGAGCUACAGAAUUCCAAAUUAAGAUUCGCUUGAUGUUUUUGAAACUAGACUCAAAUACCUUUCUACCAUAAAAAUUUUAGAAUUUAUAGUUUAUCAAAUAAGUACAGUAAAAUCUUUAAAUUUAUCCCACUUCUGUUGUUUGACAGCUUCAACCUUUCCUUACUAAAAAUUAUUUAUCUCUUAGUACGAAUUUGGAUGAUGUUUCUAUUUGUUUCUCUUGAAAAUAGACUCAUUAAAGAUUUAAACAUAAAAAUUUAAGCCCAUAAAUAUUUUUUAAAAAUUUUUGGUGAUUUUCCAAAGUCAAAAUAAGGGAACCCAAAAUUAUUCUGACAUUGUCUCACAAAAUUUAUUAUAUCUCAUAAUUUAAAAUUCCAUUGAUUACACUGUUCCUUACAUAAAAGACUAGACUCAAUAAACUUCAAUUUCAUAUUUGAUUCAACCUCUAACUCAAUUUCUACUAUUUUUGAUGAUUUUUCAAAGUUAGACUACUGCUGCUGUCCAAAACUAUUUUAGUGCAAAAUGUUGAUUUCCAAGUUUAUAACACCCUUAUUUCCUUUUUCUAUAAUUUUUUGCAUCAUUUUCUCUUAUUUCUCUUAUGUCUCGACAGCAAACAAUUUUAGCUUUUCACUGAAUCUCAUUUUUUGCAUUUCGAGUACAUAACUGGUAUCGUUUCGCUGUAAAUACGCUCCCAAACACUCUAAGACCUAAAAAUCGGUAAUUAGAGCCCAAUUUAGAUCACUAACUAAAACUCAAAACUGAAAAUCGUCUACAUUGAAAUCGAUAGCGAACCUAAACACUUACCUGCAACGAACCAAAAUUUCUAAUGCUCAAUUUUCUUGUGAAGCCGCAUCUGAUUUCUGAUUUUCGCCUAAACCAAGAGAGCCAAAACAAUCUUUUUUAUAAACUAGCUAAAAAGCGAUAAAAUAGAGAAAGUCAGAUACUUACAGAAUGAGUGUAUACAAUUUCUGGCUGGAAAGUAGGCUAGUAGAAAAAUCAAACAAUGAGGGUGGACUAGGGAGCAAAAAUUUGGCAAAGCAAAGAAGAAGAAGACGACAGAAAAAUUGGGGAAAAGAGGAGAAUGCCGAAAUUUGGGAAAAUAAAAACCAAAUAGAAACUUAGAUGAUAUCGUUAGCUACCCCACAUCCCUAAAUUUUUUCCCACUAAUCCUACUAACCUACAACCACUCCAGAAUCCCACUCUGCCGAAAUACUUGUCCAUCACUGCGCAAAAAUAACACCUAUGCUCGAACAUGGAUUCAAACUCAGGACCUCAUGCAAUCAAACACUCCAUUUAACCACUAAACCAGCAAGCCCAUUUUGUUAUUUAAUUACCAACUAUUAAACUUAAGCCCUUUAGGCUAGGUUAAGGCUUUAUUUAUAAAAGUACUAAAAUUUACCCAAGUCAUGGCUUGAACUUGGGACCUCCCACACACACCCAAAACACUUAAGCAUUGAAGCAGACAAAUACUUAAUAUCACAUAUACACAAAAACAAGAAUUAAAAAUUUUGGGGCGUUACAAUGAGAAGGAAAAACUUAACGAAAGAAAUUGAAGUUUCUUGGGGCUACCUUUGUAGAAAUAAGAGAUCAAUAGAGUUUCUUGGAAUUGAAGUUACAGUUUCAAAUUGUAUUAGCUUUUAUGUAGUACAACAUCAAUAUCAAUGUCCAUCAUCUUAUGUACUUUUUUAUUUGUUUACUUUUGUACAUUGAGUUGAAUGUUAGUGGUAUAUGUUAGUGGUAUACAUUUUAGCUAAAUGUUAGUGUAUUUUAAUUGUUGGAUCGAUUUUUGUAGUGAAUAUUAAAUCUUUAUUUUAAUUUUAAUUUUAUAUUUUUUUGUUGUAUUUAUAGCACAAUUCCUAUCAUUAUUCACUGUAAAUAUUUAUAAAAAUAUAUUAAUAUUGAAAUAAUAAAAAAUAGAAAAAAUUACAUUAUACGUGUCUAUUCCAAUCUUUUUAAGAUUACCUUAGACGGGUUUAUCCCAACCUUUUUUUAAAGGUUGCCUUAGACAAGAUUUAUCCCAACCUUUUUAAGGUUGCUCUAAACGGGUCUAUCCCAACCUUUUUUAAAAGUUGCCUUAGACAAGGUCUAUCCCAACCUUUUUAAAGUUGCCUUAGACGGGUCUAUCCCAACCUUUUUUAAAGGUUGCCUUAGACAUGGUCUAUUCCAACCUGUUUAAGGUUGCCUUAGAUAGGUCUAUCCCAACCUUUUUUAUAGGUUGUCUUAGACAAAGUCUAUCCCAACCUUUUUAAGGUUGUCUUAGACGGCUCUAUCCAAACUAUUUUUAAAAGUUGCCUCAGACAAGAACUAUAUCAACCUUUUUAAGGUUGUCUUAGAUAGGUCUAUCUCAACCUUUUUCAAAGGUUGGCUGUAACUAGGUCUAUCCCAACCCUUUUUAAUGGUUGGCCUUGACUAGGUCUUUCCCAACCCUUCAAUAAGGGUCGGCUUAUGUUGACUUAUGCUGACGUUUUUUCAAAAGUGUUGUGGAGCCUACGCCAACUGUAUUAUAGACAACCUUUUCGAAAGCAUCAGGAGAACCGUCGCGAAACUUAUGCCAACCUUUUUUACGUUGUCUUAGGUCAAAAAAAAGUGUCACGAUAGGCUUAUUUUAUUGUAGUGAUAGUAAUAUUUUUAGCUCUUAAAAAUCUAAAUUAUAUAUAAUAUGUAUUUACAACUCUAAAUAUUAAAGCUUGAUUAGAUAUAGGUUAUUUGAACUUUUCAUCUUAAAUAAAUUUGAGGAAAUUAAAUAUGGAAAUUUUAAUUAAAUUAUUUUAAUAUAUAUACACACCAUUAUUUUCAUUCAUUAAUAAUUUUAAACUAACAUUUUUUCUUCAGUAAAUUUCACUUUAAUCCCUUUCUUUACUUUUCUAAUGUUAUUUUUAUUUUUUUGUCCUUUAUUUUUCUUCUAUUUUAUAAAUUCUUUGAUCUUAUAUGUUUCAAGUAUCAAAGUGUAAAUAAAUAUAAAUAUUAAAAAAUGCCAAAUGUAACUCUAUGUGAUAUUAUUUAAUUGCUACUCAUUUCUUUUUGUUUCAAAAAACAAUGGAAAACUUAAGAAUUUUAAAGUUUUUGGUAUCAAAUAUAUAUAUCUAUACAUUUACAUUUUAAACUCCAAACUUAAAUAAAUAGAGAAAAUCUAAAAAUUUAAAAUAAAAAUAAAUAAAAAAUGAAUAUUUAACUUUUUUAGUACACAUGUAUCAUUCAGACAAUUUUAAUAUAACAAAUAAUCAAGUAAUUGGGAUUUAAUAUUUAAUUAAAAAUAUUCUUCUAAAAAUUGUAAAUCGCAUAACAUUGAAAGUCUUUAAAUAAUAUACUAAAGGGGUGAGCAUUCAAUCAAAUCGAAUGAAAAAAUUUUGAGUUAAUCGAGUUGACGAAUAAUAUUUUAUUAUCCUAACUAGAUUUAAAUUUUUCUCGAAUAGAGUCUAGUGAGAUGGAACUCGAAUCGAAUCGAAUAUAUUUGUUCGAGUUAAAUUAAGGUCCUUGUAAUCAUUGUCACCCACCGCAAUCAGAUUUGUUAUUAACUUUCACUCCCUCAUAAUUUAUUUAUUAAUCUUUUAUAUAGGGUUAGAUUCUUUGCUUGCUUAGUUGCUUCAAUUAUCUUCUGAUUUUGUCACUAUGUAUUCUGAAAUUUAAAAAUAUAUUAAAUGUAAAAAAUGUGAUUUUUUUAAUAAAAAAAUAUCUUAAAGGUAAAAUAUAAAAUUGAUACCAACAUAAAAUUUUAGCACGAAUAUUUUAUGCCAUCAUCAAUAAUUUAAUUUUAACAAAAAAAAUUAUAAAGAUUCAAUAUGAUAAAAUAAUUCAAUAAUAUUGAUAAGCUAUAAAAGUAACAUAUUUUAAUCUCAAUCUUAAUGUGUUUUUAGAUGAUUAAUUAUGCAAAUUAGUGAAUUUAAUGCUCCUAAUCCAUUAAAAUAAUGCAUGGUACUUUUGAUAUUGUAUAGUUCUUUUGAUGUCAAAAUAAUGCAUUAAAAUUUAUUCAACUGUCAAUUUAAGUGGAAAAAGUUGGAGAUGAAAUUUGUAAUUAAACCUUCUUUAAUUUACGUCUUUUUCCCUAAAAAUAUAUUUUUUAAAAAUAUUAAAUGUUAUAAAACUUGGGACAAAUAUUAAAUGUUGGAAAGUGGUUAAGAAAAUCAUUAUCAUUAUAAUUCAUCCUCAUUAUUGAUCAGUGUCACUGAAGCAAUGAAUUUCAAUGGGUUUGGUAAUGGAUGAGAGUUUGCUAAAAAUCUUCCUUUUGGUUUGUAACCAUUUUCACUUACAUAGUCUAGGAUAAGAAUGUUAAAAACCUAUGUUAUAUCCAUAGAAAUUGAGGGCUAUAUUUCUUAUCAUCACAACAAGCGCAAGCAUUGUUGGGGUAUAUCCACUUGUCUUAAACCACUAGAAUGUACAAGUAGCAAAAGAUAAUAAUGAUUAAAAGCUUGGGUAAUUAAUUUUGUAGUAUAUAGUCGGUCCAACACUGACUUAUAUCUAAGCAAAGUGCAUGCAUCAACUACAACAUUUUUUCUCUGAUUACCUUCUCCUUUCUUCUAUCAUUCUAGAGUGUAAACAAUUCACUCAAAGGCAAACAAUUUAUAGAAUUGUCUAACCAUGUGUAUUGCUGCUUUCAUUUGGCAAGCUCAUCCACUCUACCCUCUACUGCUUUUACAAAACAGAGAUGAAUACCACAACAGGUAUGUUUCCAUUUCACUUCAAUCAUUCUUCUCUUGAAAAUAUAUUUAUCUUAUUAAUAUAUAUGGGUGGAAUUGAAGGCCUACGAAGGCACUUGCAUGGUGGGAUGUUGAUGGUUGUGAGAUAUUAGGAGGAAGAGAUGAAGUAGCAGGAGGGACAUGGUUGGCUUGUUCAAGACAAGGCAGAGUUGCUUUUCUCACCAAUGUGUUGGAGCUUCAUCCCCGUCCCGACGCCAAGACCCGCGGUGAUCCCCGUCCCGACGCCAAGACCCGCGGUGAUCUUCCACUUCUUUUCCUGGAGGUAAAUAAAUCUAUAUGCCUUUUUUUUCUUCUUUUUAUUUGGUCGAAGCCAGCUCACCUAUCAAAAACGGUGGUCAUUCAUUAAAAGUAAACACACUGUUGUUGAUACAGAGCACAAAGAGCCCCAUGGAAUUUGCGGAGCAACUGGCCACCGAUGCUCAUCAGUACAAUGGAUUUAACCUCAUAGUGGCUGAUAUUCCUUCCAAAUCAAUGGUUUACAUCUCGAACAGGCCAAAGGGGGAACCCAUUAACAUUCAACAGGUUUCUCCGGGGCUUCAUGUUCUUUCAAAUGCCAAGCUUGACUCUCCCUGGCAUAAGGUACAUUAACUUGUUUCAUGUGUUAUAUUCCUAUAAAGUUAUGCCCAAAGGCAGAUGGACGCUGGAGAAUUGAUUCAUCCACUCCCAUUGUGCAGGCUUGGCGGUUAGGUAAAGGCUUCAAACAGAUGCUCAAUAGAUACGGUAAAAAUGAAGUAAACGUGAAAGAAAUGGUUGAGAAACUUAUGAAAGAUAAAGUGAAAGCUGAUAAAAGUAAGUUACCUGGCAUAUGUGAUCUCGACAUGGAGUUCAACCUUAGCUCCAUAUUUGUUGAAAUGGACACCCCACUGGUAAAAUUCCAAGUUCUAAACCAUCCUCCUACUAAAAUUUAUGUAGAACAAUGUUGAAGCCAAUAAAAAUUGUGGUUGUUUCAACUUACAUAUCCAUCUAUUUUCCGGAAUACAGGGGCUUUAUGGAACAAGGAGUACUGCAGCAAUAACCGUAGGUGCUGGUGGGGAAAUUAGCUUUUAUGACGAGUAUCUAGAAAAGGGUGUGUGGUUUGAGAGAACAGUCAAUUAUCAUAUCCAGAAGCUCAAGUAGAUUGAAUCCAUGUCAAAGCAAGGGAUUUUACUACUCAAGUUAUUUAUUGAUUUGCGAAUGUUAUAAGCAUUUUAAGUUUAUACUAAUUGUAACAUAGGAGUGAUGUAUGAUGUAUCUCAUUCUUAAUACUUUACAUUUUCACUUUAAACUCCAAACUUAAAUAAAUAGAGAUAAUCUAAAAAUUUAAAAUAAAAAUAAAUAAAAAAUGAAUAUUUAACUUUUGUAGUACACAUGUAUCAUUCAGACAAUUUUAAUAUAACAAAUAAUCAAGUAAUUGGGAUUUAAUAUUUAACUAAAAAUAUUCAUCUAAAAAUUGUAAACCGCAUAACAUUAAAAGUCUUUAAAUAAUGUCACAUACAUGAUUUUUUUUUUGUAAAUAUACAUGGUCUGUUUUUAUUUAUAAAACUUCCUUUUACCUCAUUUUUCUUCAUUAAUGUCUACAAAUUUGAAGGGAGUCAUGUACCGAUUAAAUUUGAAUCCUAUCAAGAAUGAGCUUUUGAUUGUUAUAUUUGAUGUUUUCCUAUUAGUUUAAGAUCCCCAAUAAUUAAGCAUGCUUUCUUAAUAAUUGGAAAAUAUUUAUUUAAAAUAUUACUGUAACAGCUUAAUUUUAGGCCUAGUCGGAACAGUAGUUUCGGGACCACGAAUCUGACGAGGAAAAUUUUAUUUUUUAUUAUAUUUUUAUAGUCUACAAUUUCACAGAAUGAUUUCGUGAAAAUUUUGUUCAAAAAUUUCGACGUUUGUGCACUCAAUUUAGCCAAAAGGACUAAAUUGUAAAAAGUGCAAAAGUUGAGUUCUACAUGUUAGAAGUGUCCAAUUGUUAUGAAAUUUUAAAUUGGAGGUCCUUAAAUGGUAAUUAGACCAUUGGUUAACUUUUUGGACAAAAAUGGACAAGAGAUAAGUGAAAUAAGAUAUUUUUAAGUUUGGGGCAUUUUGGUCAUUUAGUAAUUAAAAGAAUUAAAAAGGCCAAAAUAGCCAAAAAUUUGUCCAUCUUCUCCAUGGUGAACGAAAUCAGCAAGGGGAAGCCAUGGUUAGGGUUUUCAAGCUUCCAAGCUCCAUAGCAAGUGAUUCCAAGCCCCAUUUUUAAUGUUCUUUACAUUUUUGGAGUCUCAGUAACUUGAUUUAGCUUAUUCUAACAAUAAUUUAACCUAGGGUUCAUAUUUGGAAAAAUACCCAUAGGUGAAAUGUGUUUAUUUUGAUGUUUUAUGGUAGUGUAUGAAGCUUGAAAUUAUGUUAAAUAACUUUUGCUAGCCGAUUUUAAGUGAAAACGAGUAAAUUGACAUAAUCGAUAAAAAUACCUAAUGUUCAUAAGUAAGUGUUAGAGUGAGAAUUUGAUGUUGCCAUAGAAGGGAAAAAUGUUCAGCAUGUCAUAAAACAUAAGAAAAAGGAAUAACGUUUAAUCUCCGAGCCUAGGGGCAAAAUUAUAAUUUUGUAAAACUUUAGGGGCAAAAAUGUAAUUUUGCCAAAAUGUGAUUUUUGGACUGGAUUGAAUAAUGUGAGUGUUAAAUAAGUUAAAUAUGUUAUUAUAAGUCAAUAAAGACAAGGAAAUGACUUUGAUUAGUGAAAAAGAAAAAAAAAAGAAGAAAAACUGAGAAAUUUCCCGAUUGAACAUUCGGAAUAAAAAGGGAUAUGAAUGAAGUGACAGAAAUGAUCACAUGCGUGGCAUGGACUGUGUGUAGGCCACUAUGUGAAAGUGAAAGUGAUGGUCACGUGUGUAGUACUAUGUGCAGGCUACUACGUGUACCAGAAUGAUAGGUCGCAGGUGUAGUACUAUGUGCAGGUUACUAUGCGUACCGGAUAGCUUCGAUCACGUGUGUAGUACUAUGUGCAGGCUACUACGUGUAUCGGAUAGUGAUGGUCACGUGUGUAGUACUAUGUGCAGGCUACUAUGUGAACCGGUAUCAUUAAUUAUAAGGUGGUUGCUAUGUGUUAAUCCCACAAGAUAUCAUUGAUUACAAAGGGUAGUUGCUGUGUGCUGAAUCCAUCGUAUAUAUGUUAUUAUUCUAAACUGUUCAUCAGGAAAUUGACUAAGUGAAAAUACAUGAGAUCAUGUAAUGAUUAAGUGUGAUUGAAUGAUGAAUACAUGUGUGGAAUUGAAUUGAAUAAUGAUUGAAAGUGAAAAGUGAAAUUAUGAAAAAGUAAAACUAGCAACAAAUAGUUUUAGACAGUAACAAUAGUGUGACUUUGAAAAAUCACCAAAAAUGGUGGAAAUUGAAUUAAAGAGUGAAUAAGAUAUGAAAUGAAAGCUUAAUGAGUCUAUUUCUACAUAAAAGAAACAGAGCAAGCAAAAGAGUUAUAUAUUUUGAGAUAUUUGAAUUUUAGUGAGGCAGGGUUGGAUUGAUUUUGGAAUCCCCUAUUCUGAAUUUGGAAAAUAAUUAAAAAUUGUAAAAAUAAUAAUUAUGAGUUAUAAUUUAUAUUCUUAGAAUCCUUAAUGAGUCUAUUUUCAAAGGAAAUAAACAUAAAUAUCAUCUGAAUUCUGUAAAAUGAGAUAAUUUAUUUUUAGUGAAGAGAUGUCAGAGAUGCUAAGCAGUGAAAUAGGGGUGAGUUUAAAGAAUAAACUGUACUAAUUGGCUAAGAAAAAAAUUCUGAAAAUUUUAUGGUAAGAAUAUAUGUGAGUUUAGUUUUGGGUAAAAUUAACGGAACUUAAUUUGGAGCUUUGUAGCUCAGGAUAAAAAUAAUUUAGUGACUGUAACUCGACUAGAUAGCUUUUGAAUUUAAAUAUAAGUGAAUAGUGAAAUUAUGUAUAAUGCUAUUUAAGCAUGUUAUAUACAUAAAGGAUGUGGGAUGGAGAGGAGGAGGAGGACAAUAAAGCAUAUGCGUGUGGUAGAUUAGCAUGAAAUGAUGUCGUGAGUGGCUCAUGAAUUAACUCAUGUUGGUAAGUUGAUGCAUAAUUAUAGUAUUCAAAUAUAUUACAUAUUUGUAAUAUUUUGCUAUGUGAUUCGGAAAAAGGGGAAUAAAUAGCAUAAUGAAAAUUCGGCCAUGGUGCUAGUUUAUGUUAAAGGAGUGUUUUAUGGCAUAUCUUAAGUAAUGGAAUGUUAUGAAUUUUGAGAUUAAUUUGCUAGUCAAAUAAAUGACAAAUGAAUUGAUUGCGUAUUCGUAAUUUUGACAUAUGCUUGGUAUAUGAAACGUAAUAAUAUAUGCUUGAACAAACUUUAAGUAUUCGAAUGACAUGGAUUUGAUGGUGAUAAGAUUCGAACAUUGAAUUCAUGAAGCACAAGUGAUGUAUUAUUGUUGUGUGAUAGCUUGGUUUGAGAAAUUGGUUAGGUAAAUGGUAAGUUAAAGCAUUUAUGGAUAUAGAAGAAAAUUUGGAGUGAAUAUGAAAUUUAGCUCAAUUAAAUGAUUUCAUCAAUUAAACAUUGUGUAUACCAGAAUGUGUUAGUGAAUUACAUAUUCAUAAAUUGACAUUCGAAGUUCAGUUAGUGAUAUAUGAAAAUAACAUGAAAAGAUUUAUGAUUGUGAUUAAUAUUGAUUCUAACUUAAAGUGGAUUCUUCAAUAUUGGAUUGAUUUAACGGAUAUAUUGAGCAUAUGAAUGGGUAUGUAUUGGGCCUCGUAAACCUUAAUUAGCGACUCAAAGAUAAUAAUUUGAAAGUUUUUAAUUUGAAUGAAAUUUUAUAACUCAGUUUAAUAUGUUUAUAAGUGUAUUUAUUCUAAUAAUGCCUCGUACCCUAUUCCAGCGUAGAAUACGAGUAAGGGGUGUUACAAUGUGACAUCACUAGAUUCGGCCCUAAUGUUUAGGCCGGGUUUGGGGUGUUACAAUUACUUUUGAAAGUAUUUCUAUGAAGCGUGUCUCGUAUUUUCGGUCAAGCUAAAUGGCAAAGCAAAGGCAACAUUGAGACAUGGAGCAUAGGAUGUCACAAUGACGUGACGACAUUCGAAACUAAAUCGAAGCAGGGCCGACGUCACGAUGAGGGGACCUACGAUGUCGUGACGAUGCAACGAGGCAGCCACGUCUCUUGACAACUUAAUGGAUUUUCCUUCUCCCAGUUGAACUUUGAUUUUCGGUUCUCUUUUCUCAAUUUAACUCUAACUAUUCUAGGGAUAUUUUUGUAAUACCCUAUAUGUAGCACCUUUAACCCGUAUCCAUUGUCAGAUUAGAGUUACGAAAUAUUACCGAGUAAAACAAAACAUUUAACUUCACAACAGAAACAAUUAUAUUAAUUAAAUGUAAUCAUGGUAAAAAUAUAAUUACGGGUCUUAACUCGAGUUUACAGGGCCUUAAAAACAGUUUUGGAACAUUCAGGGAUCAAUUCGAACAAAUCAGAAAAUUUAAAAAAACAGGAAAAUUUUGAAAACAGGAAUCACACUAUCGUAUGACAUAGUUCAGAUCUUGUGGACAUUCGAAGUCUAGACACACAGCUUAUCCCAAGCCGUGUGAGUAUUCGGAAUAAGGCUACACGGACAUGUCAUAUGUCGUGUGCCAAAUCAUGUGUACUGUAAUAACCAAUUUUACCCGAGCUUAUUAAAAUUAAAUUAAAAUAAUAUAAAAAUCAAAUAAUAAUAAAAUGUCCAAUAACAGUCCAAUAAAAUAAACCCAUAAACCGAAUACACCCCAGCCCAAUAACCAAUUACAGGCCCAAUUCAAACCUAAUACCCAAAUUGCAACCCACAAGCCCAAAAGCAAGAAAAAUAGAAAACCCUAGACAGUAGCAGCUUCCAGCGCCGUUCUCCCUAUGUAGCCUCCGCGCGUGCUACGCCACCACCACGCGCGUUCCUCACAUGUGAACUAGGCCUCCACUCCAGCUUGCACCUGUAACAGACGUAACAAACUAGUAGAGAAAGCAAAGGAAAAAUGACAGCAAGGAAAAGGCAACACAGCAAAUAGGAAAGCAGUAAAUAAAAAAUGUAAAAAAUAUAUUUCGAUUGAUUUUAUUUUUAUUUUUAUUUUUAAGGAUUUCGGUUAUAAAAAGGCCAUUUGAGCACUAUAAAUGUGGACGCAUACAGAGAUUGAAUACAAAAAACAAAAAAAAAAUUCAAAGAAAAAGGUAAAUAGAGUUUUGUAAGAAAAAAAUGACAUUCUGCAUUCAUGCAAACAUCAUUCAUACAUUUGAAUUAUACAAGUCAUGUUCCCCCAGAGAACAAACCGGUGAAACUAUAAAGCCUGAGCAGCAGUGGAAUAGGUUGAAAAUAGCAGAUCUUGUUUUUCUGUACUGGCAGCGAAGCAGAUCGAAGAUAACAAGUCUUAUCUCCCUGACUUGCAGCGGAGCAGACUGAAGAUAGCAGAUCUUGUCUUCCUGUACUGACAGUGAAGUAGAUCGAAGACACCAGUCUUAUCGCCUUGAUGUUGCAAUGGAACAGAUUAAAGCUAAAGAUAGCGAAUCUUGUGUCCCUGCCGUUGCAACGGAGUAGAUUAAAGCUGAGGGCAGCAAAUCUUAUCUCCUUAGCGUUAAGACUUGGAUUAGCUGAAGUGGAGCAGAUUAAAGCUGUAGGCAGCGAAUCCUAUCUAUUUGGCAUUACAGUGGAAUAGAUUGAAGCUACAACAGCGAAUCUUACUUCCCUGGUGGUGUAGUGGAACAAAUUGAAGCUACGAUGGCGAAUCUAGUUUCCCCGACACUGCAGUUAAAUAGAUUGAAGCCAUAACGGUGAAUUUUACUUCCCUGGCGGUGUAGUGGAACAUAUUAAAGCUACGACGCCAAAUCUUGUUUCCCCGACAUUGCAGUUAAAUAGAUUGAAGCUACAACAGCAAAUCUUACUUCCCUGGCGGUGCAGUGGAACAGAUUGAAGCUACAACGGCGAAUCUUGUUUCCCCGACAUUACAGUUAAACAGAUUGAAGAUGGCGAAUCUUAUCUCUCUAAGGUUACAGUGGAGCAGAUUAAAGCCAAUAAUCCUAUCUCUCUGAGGUUGCAGUAGAGCGGAUUGAAGUGAUGAUCUUAUCUCUCUGAAGUUACAGUAGAGCAGAUCGCAUCCAAUUUUAUCUCCCUAAAGUUGUAGUGGAGCAGACAGAAGAAACCAAUCCUAUCUCCCUGAAAUUGCAGGGGAGCGGAUUAAAACUACAGAUCUUAUCUCUCUGAAGUUGCAAUAGAGCAUAUCACAACAGACUUAUCUUUUUAAAGUUGCAGCAGGACAAGUUGAAGCUACAAGUCUUAUCUCCCUGAAGUUGCAAUGGAGCAGACUGAAGAUAGUAAAUUUUUUUCUUUUGAAAAGACUACAAGUUACAAAUUGCAUCUCCCUAAUGUUACAGUGGAGUAUAUUGAAGCACCAAUUCCUAUACUUCUAAAGAUGCAGUAUGAUGGAAUGAGGCUACUUGAAGAAGAAGAGCACCAAGGUCCAGCAUGACCAGGCAAAAUUGGUCAUUUUUAAAGUCUUUGCUUUGUUCCCGUUACACGACAACAAGCAAAGAAGGGCAGCUGUAAUAACCAAUUUUACCCGGGCUUAUUAAAAUUAAAUUAAAAUAAUAUAAAAAUCAAAUAAUAAUAAAAUGUCCAAUAACAGUCCACUAAAAUAAACCCAUAAACCGAAUACACCCUAGCCUAAUAACCAAUUACAGACCCAAUUCAAACCUAAUACCCAAAUUGCAACCCACAAGCCCAAAAGCAAGAAAAAUAGAAAACCCUAGACAGCAGUAGCUUCCAGCGCCGUUCUCCCCAUGUAGCCUCUGCGCGUGCUACGCCACCACCACGCGCGUUCCUCGCAUGCAAACCAGGCCUCCACUCUAGCUUGCACCUGCAACAGACGUAACAAACUAGCAGAGAAAGCAAAGGAAAAAUGACAGCAAGGAAAAGGCAACACAGCAAAUAGGAGAGCAGUAAAUGAAAAAUGUAAAAAAUAUAUUUCGAUUCAUUUUAUUUUUAUUUUUAAGGAUUUCAGUUAUAAAAAGGUCAUUUGAGCACUGUAAAUGUGGACGCAUAUAGAGAUUGAAUACAAAAAACAAAAAAAAAAUAUUCAAAGAAAAAGGUAAACAGAGUUUUGUAAGAUUUUUUUAAAUUUUUCUUCACUUUUCUUUGUUUUUUUUUACUGCUUUGUUCAUUAAUAAUAUGUGUAAGGCCCAAUUUUUGUCCGGCCUGUUACAGAAAUAAAAAACCAAACAAAACCAAAAUGUUUCAGUCCAAUUUUGCUAAGCCCAAUAACCCAAUAGCACAGCCCAAAUCAAUUUAUCCUAAAACUAACCCAGCUACAAUCACCGAAACCCUAAAAUCCCUUAGCCACCGCCUCCAGCAAGUGUCCAAUCAGCGCACGUUUCGGAACCAGCCCUCUUCUCCGCGUCGUGCUCUCCACGUCUACCUGCGAAAACGGACUAAAAGAGUCCCAAUAUUGUAAAAUAAAAAUACAAAGUAUUUUCUUAGGCUAUAAAAAGCCUAACUUGUACACUGAUAAAAAUAAAAGAAUAGAGAACAGAAUAAAUAUUUUUACAAAGGUGAUUUUUUUUUGUUUUAUUCCGCAGUGACCAUUUUUUAUUUACAUAUGUUUUAUUUUCUUUUAUUUUCAUUUAUUUCGUAUAAAAUAACAAAGAAAAAAGAAAAGGAAAACAUACCUUUUGUCGGACUUGCCGGAUUGUUGCCAUCUCCAGCGCUAGGAGUUAGGGCUGAAAACCCUAGCAGAGGGCAUUUAGUUUUUUUUUUCCUUUCAUUCUGCUGCAAAUGUUUUUUAGAGAAAAAAAUUGUUUUAAAUAACAGAGCAAAACGGCGCCGUUUUACCCAGGCAUGACCCGCGCGGUGACCCGACCCGGAGGGAGGAUUCGCGCGUUUUGGUCGAAGGGAAAAUUUGCGCAAUUGGUCCCUCCCUUUUGCAAUGCGCUUCAAUUAAACCUGUUUUGUUUUUUUUAAUUUGGCCGCAUAUUUUAUUUUUGUUUCAAUUUGGUCCCUUGCUGCGCAGCAUUUUGGAGGGUAGGAUUAAUUUCCCUUCUAGUCCCCCAUUGUUGUUCGCGCGUUCAAGUUGGUCCUUUUUUUAUUUAUUUUUGAAUCUACCCCAUCUUUUCGUUUUUAAGUUCAAUUUAGUCCAUUUUUUAGCUUUUUCUUUUUUAUGUUUGUCAUUGUACCAUUAUUAUUAUUAUUAUUAUAUUAUUUGCUAUCAUUAUUGUUAUUGUAUUUUCUAUACAUAUAAAUACGCAUAUUUUUUAUAUAUAAUAUAUAAGCAUAUUUUUAAUAUAUAUAUUUAUAAGUACGCAUCUAUUUUAUACAUACAUACUUUUUUUUUUAUUUCCUAACCUUUAUGUACACGUAUAUAUACUUCUAUAUUUUGGUUUCAAAAUUUUUUAUACAUAUGCAUGUUCGUUUUUUCUUAUAUAUAUUAUUUUUCAUUUUUUUUACAAAACGUAUAUAUAUGUGUAUACAUACACAUUUUAAAAUACACACAUGUUUCCCAUAUUUUACAAUUCAAAAUACACAUUUUUUAUAUUAUAUAUAUACAUUCUUUAUAUUUUUGAGUUAUUAUAGACAUUUUUAUUAUUCUAUAUAUACUCCGUUAUUUAUGUACAUAUCAUACAUAUAUAUAAAUUUUUUAAUAUAUGUAUACAUAUUUUCAUGUUUUACCAAUACAUAUAUACUUAUACAUUUUUUUUCUGUAAAUAUAUACACAUAUACAUACUUUUAUAGUUUUAUUUUAUUUUCACGGUUUUCAAAUGCACAUACGUGCAUUUUUUAUGAGUUUUUGAUUGAUAUAUUCCAUUCCAUUUUUUUAUAUGUAUCCUUGUAUAUGUGUGUAAAAUAUAUGCGUACACAUAUUUUCAAAUUUUCUUGUAUAUUGUACUUGUAUGUAUAUAUUUUGUAAAUACAUAUUCAUAUAUGUUUUAAAUUAACGUUUUGUUUCAUAUUGUACGUUAACUUUUAACAUACCUUUUGGGAAAUAUAUUUUGGUUUUGUCAGUAUAUCAAAAUCAUUUUCUCUUGAUUCAAAGUUUUUUUGAAUAAAAGCAAUAUUCAAGUUUGAGAUUUUUGAGGAAAAUUGAGCCCUAACGUAUUGGGUUCUGAUUUUCUUUGUUAAUCUUAAAUAACCGAGGAUAUUCUUUAUUCAAAAUGCAUGAGUAUAAAGAUCAUUUUUGGGAACUUAACUUGUUGUGUCCUAAUGUAUUGGGCGUGACAUAUUACUUUCUCAAAAUGAAGAUUUUCACAUAAAAUAAAAGUGAUAUUCAAAGUUCGGGGAUUUUGAGAAAUUGUACCCUAACGUAUUGGGACUCGAUUUCUUUACAUGACUUGAACAAUUGAUUAUCCUUUUCAAAUUUCAUCAUUUAAGUUGUUUUAAAAAAAAUUAGCCCUCGACAUUAAGACAUUAAAUAAUUAAUUUGGUACAGAUUUUGGGUGUCACGAGGGUGCUAACCCUUCCUCGUGCGUAACUGACUCCCGAACCCAUUUUCUCAAAUUUCGUAGACCAAAAUACGUUUUAAGGUGAACUGAUCACACCUCAAUAAAAGAUCGGUGGUGACUCCAAUUUUGUUUUUUUAAAAAGUCGACAACUACAUUUUUGAUUUAGAAAUGGUUUCGACAGCUUGGCGACUCCACUGGGGACACUAGAGAGUCGAGCCAUAAAUUGAUUAUUUUUGUCUUGUGAUUGAAAAAUCAAAUUUGUUUUAAAAUCAUGAUUUCCCUUUACAUUCAUUGAUUUUCAUCAUGAUAUAUUUGCAUGAUGGGUCCGAGUCGAUUAAUUUGUAUUUGCAUUAUGCAUUGCAUUGGUUGGUCAGUGUUACCUCUUUAAGUGGGAGCGAGAAACUAGUCCUUCGUGAGGUUUUGACCUCCGUGCAGGGUAGUAGACCGCUUUCGGGAUACAUCCGUACCUAUGUCUUCGUGAGAUUUUCAUCUCCGUGCAGCCAUAGGGAAAUGUAUUCCCUUGAACUGAACUCAGUCCAUAUGAGCCUAUAAUGGGUGAGGAUCGAGGAAUCUGCUGGUUCGGGUACCUUUGCUCUAGAAACUAAACCUCAUAUACUGAGAUUUAGGGACUUGCCCUAGGUAGAGCUAUACCAAACCCUAGAGGAGUCCUGAAUAGGUUUUAUUAUUUCCUAUGUACGUUGAAUUAUGAUUUUAUGCAUGAUACUAACUUGUGUGUUUUGUUUUGGCGGUAUGGCAUUUUGACUGCAUGGCAUUUCAUUAUAGAAAAAAAAUGUUGAUUCAUGUUUGGUUGUUAAAUAGAGAGCUUGCUACGGAAAAUAGAUUUCUUGAUAAGGUGAAAGAUAAUACGGUUGUCUGAGUAUAGUCUAAGAAAACGUGACGCGAAAGGUAAUAGCGUAACAAGAGGAGUAUACGACUUUGCUGCGUUGCCCAAGGAUUCAAAUUGUCAAAGAUUAUUCAAGAGUCAUCAAACGUCCUAACCUCUUAAAGAAGCUCAUGGGCAUGAGUGAGCAAAGAGAUACGACCUAGAUCAAACAAAAUGGAGCUAAGAUUCGCAAAAUGCAUCUUAAUGUUCGAAUGGUCGAUGCCUUCACUUGGAGUACGAGCACAAAGCCGUAUAUAUAUAUCCGCUUUGUGUAAAGAGAUUUGUUUUCUAGUGAAGUUUUUCUAAUAAAGAAUUGAACUAGAAUCAACGUCUCUUUUUGCAUUUAUUUCAUGCAUUUGCAUUACAUUACAUCACAUGCAUUAAACACCGUAAAAGGAUCCUAAUUAACUAAAUCAUUGCUCAGUUAACCUGGAAACCAACCAACCAACCAAACACCAUUAUGACACUUGAGCAAAGAUUAAAGAUAUGGAUCAGAGAUUGGAAAAGCUCGAAUAGUACCAGAAGAAGAUGCAAGACCGACUUCAGCUGCAAGUGCAAGAACGGUUGGACAAGAUGCAAUAGGAUAUGUCAGAGAAGAUACAGGAAUCCCAAAAGGAUAUGAUGGCGAAGCUGACCCAACUAUUGACUGGAGGAAGUGAUAAGGGAAAAGGGACCUGUAGCUAAUGUCGAAGAAGGCAACGAGGAUGAACCUCUCUAUCCUCCAGGCUUUACUCCUCCACAUGUACGAACUCAAGCUGAGGUAUACCCGCACAAAUCUAUUGUCACAAUCAGGCCUCAGCAGUUCCAGGCCGGUACUUCAAAUUUCCAAGCUGGAUCGGGCUCUAACCCCGGGAACUACCCUAUUAACUCUGCCAUUCCUGACUUCGAUGAAAUGGCUGAAAAGGAAAAAAUAAAUGAAGAGUUACCAAGGCAGUUAGAAGAGAGGUGUAAAUGGCUCGAAGAGAAGUUCAAGGCGAUGGAGAUCACUGAAAACUAUCGUGGGAUCAACGCUAAAGAACUGAGUCUAGUCCUAAAUUUGGUACUCCCUCAUAAGUUUAAGAUGCCGAAAUUUGAAAAAUAUAAUGGGACAAGUUGCCCAGAAGCACAUAUCACCAUGUUCUGCAGGAGAAUGGCUGGAUAUGUUAACAAUGACCAGCUACUGAUUCAUUGUUUCCAGGAUAGCCUUACAGGGGCAGCAUCUAAAUAGUACAAUCAACUGAGCCAUACCAUGAUAGGUUCAUGGAGGGACUUAGCACAAGCGUUCAUGAAACAGUACAGUCAUGUAACAGACAUGGUUCCUGACAGAAUCACCCUUCAGAAUAUGAAAAAGAAGCCAAACGAGAGCUUUAGGUAAUAUGCACAAAGGUGGAGGGAGGUGGCUGUUCAAGUUCAGCCACUGCUCUUGGAAAGAGAAAUGUCAAUGCUCUUUAGAAAUAUAUUGAAAGCCCCGUUCAUUACGCAUAUGUUAGGAAGUGCUACAAAAAGCAUUUCUGACAUAGUUAUGAAUGGUGAAAUGAUCGAAAAUGCUAUAAGGAGUGGGAAAAUCAAUGCAGAGGAGAGUAACAAGAGGCCAGUCUCAAGAAGAAGAGAAAAUGAGGUGAACAACACGGGUUACUCUAAAUCAGUUACUAUGAGUCAGCCAAGAAAGUUGGUUGCUAACCAACAAGGUUCAUCAAGACAAGAAGAUGGUACAAGACAAAACACUAAGAGGCCCCAAUUCACGCCAAUUCCGGUGUCGUAUAGGGAGUUAUAUCAAAGAUUUUUUGAUGCACAUGUUGUUUCCCCUUUUCAUGUAAAGCCUCUACAACCUCCGUACCCCGAAUGGUAUGAUGUGAACGCACAAUGUGAAUACCAUGCGGGAAUUACGGGACACUCAAUAGAGAAUUACACUGCCUUCAAGAAGCAAGUUGAAAGACUCAUCAACACGGGUAUUGUCAAGUUUGGUGACUCAUCUAGUGCAGAAAAUCCGCUACCCAAUCAUAUUGAUAAUAGAGGUGAGAUUUUCACAUCGACGCCGUAUGUGCAGACACAACCAAAAGGGUUAUUGUUAGAUAUUCACCUGGAAGGUGCUAUAAAUAAUGGGACUGCAGAGGAAACCCCUAUAGUAUUUAGAGUCUGUUAGGGUAAUGUUCAGAACACACUUGUUGCUUUUAGCCUAGAAGCAAUAAGAACUUCUUUGUGAAAUAGGCUCAUGUCUGAACAUUGUUAUUUUAAUGAAAUACAUUAUUGCAAUCAUCUUUGAGCAAAUGUUCUUUCAUUCUUUACGAUUCUUUCAUUCUUUUGGAUUUUUUUUGCCAAACCAUUUUUUUCAUUCAUUCAUAUUAUUUAUAAAUUCAUACAUUAUUUUGUAUAUUCUUUGGUACCUACUAGGGGUCCCCAGAUAUCAAUGACAUGAGUGACGCUGCUAUAGACUCAGAACUUCCUUUUGAGUGAGACAUGUGUUUAGAGGGAUCUCAUGACUUUGAUGAUGACAUAGAUUGCAGCUUAUCUCCAGAUUUGACGAAGGUGAUAGAAUAAGAGGAUAAGAUAGAUCAUACCUCAUAAGAAAUUAUUAGAAAUUGUAAGCUUGGUGAAGAUUAAAAUUGACAUGACCACAAAGACGAAGUGGGACCUUAUGAAUUACCCUAAGAAUUCAAUGAUGUCUUCACAUGGUCAUACCCAGAUAUGCUCGGGUUAAGCACUGACUUUAUAAUCUGAAUAACAACAUGAUGUCAGAAAUUUGCAGUAGGUUCAGCAUUAAUGUUAUGAACGAUGCAGUGAAAUUUCUUUAUUGGGGAAAUGUCCUUCUCUUUGGCUUAUCAUAGCUUUGCUCAUUGAAGUUGAAUUGCCAUUUCUCUGUAUUUUUAUCCUAAGAGGAAGAUCUGAAGGUUCGUCCUAGAGAAUUUCACAAGGGGGAGCUAGUGUUGAAAAUGAUCAUUCCUAUACAAAAGGGAUUUUAGAGGAAGAUAGAUGCCAAAUUAGGAGGGUCCAUAUGUUGUAAAGAAAGUCUUUUCUAGGAAAACUUUGAUCCUGAGUGAGAUGGAUGGUAAAGAUUGUCCAAGCCCUGUAAACUCAGAUUCAGUUAAGAAGUACUUUUCCUAAAAAAGGGGACCAAGGUGAAAGCCUACAAAGGGCGCCUUGAGUAAAAAAAAAUAGAGAGGCCAAGGUGAAAACCCGCGAAGGGAGGCUUGAGACCAAAAGGAUUUUAGUUGAAAACCCAAAAAGGGCGGCUCAAAUGUUGAUCAAAAUGGCAUUUGAAAUUAUCAGAGCAGCUCAAAUACUGAUCAGAAUGGGGCAUGCAGUGGUCUUGCUAUACCUGAAUCAACAGGAAAGGGGUAGGCAACAUCUUGGGGCAUCGACAAAGCACUGUUGAUUUCCUAAACACAUGUUAAAAUCAGAAUGGUCUUCAGAAAGUUUGCACAGAGAAGUUCAGGCUGCGAUACCUGGGGCACCGAAUCCUUAUACUAUUUUUGUUAUACUUGGAACACUUCAUUCAUUUCCAAGACACGCAUUCUUAAAUUAAUUUCUUUAUUAUCUUUGACAAUUUAUUCAUUUCGAGCUAUGUUCAGAACCAACUCUAUUCUUAUCCAUGAUCUUUUUGCAAGCAUGUUGCAUUAGAAUAAUGAUUAAUGGACUAAUAAAACUUUCACAAAGGAAGUUUUGCAUAUUACUCUAGAAAUUUCUAAAUAAUAUAGGAACCUGAAACAGGACUAUUGUUUAGAACACACCAAGUUUAAAGGUUGGAAAUCUGAUAAGGAGGAGUCUAAAUUAAGACUAUCCUUUUAAAUUUUGUUGUCUAAAACAUUGUUUGAACAAAAUGAUAAGAUGUCAUAUUGGUGACAAAGCUUAGAUGAAAGAAAGUAAUGAUCACCGAAUAAUAAGAAGAAGUUGUUCUUGGAGAAUAAAAUUUUUCAUUUGUGCAUUGGCAUUUGGUAUGACACCCAUAGAAUGGUAAAAGACCAAAGAGCUUCACAUUCUACAUCCUUGAAUUGUGAUAGGAGAGGAUUGAGAAAAUGCCAGAUUUUUCUUGGGUUACAGCGGGAGAAAGAUGGUACAAAUGUUACAUCCUAGUGGAUUGAGCUUUGAAGUUCACAGUGGGGGCAAUCUGGUCAAGUGUUUCUUUGGAGACGUUAGCCAAGCAAAAGGUGCUAUAGCACAUUAGCGAUAAAAUUUUAAUAAACUUUGAGUAAUGAUAACCUAAGUGAUAAGGAGGAAUCAUUCUCGAAAAAUGACAUUCUGUAUUCAUUCAAAUGUCAUUCAUACAUGCCUAGUUAGGAGCAUUUGAUUCAUUCUGUUCAUGACAUCCUAAUCAUUAGGUAUAAUUAGGUUCAUAAAGUGAAUUAUACAGGUCAUGCUCCCUAGAGGACAGAUCAGAGAAAUCAUAAAGCCUUAUCUCCCUGAGCAACGGUGGAGCAGGUUGAAAAGCAGCAGAUCUUGUCUUCCCGUACUGGUGACGAAGUAGAUCGAAGAAAGCAGAUCUUGUCUUCAUGUAUUGGCGUGAAGUAGAUCGAAGAAAGAAGAUCUUGUCUUCCCAUACUGGUGGUGAAGUAGAUCGAAGAAAGCAGAUCUUGUCUUCAUGUAUUAGCGUGAAGCAGAUCGAAGAAAGCAGAUCCUGUCUUCCUAUAUUGGUAGCGAAGUGGAUCGAAGAUAGCAGAUCUUGUCUUCAUGUAUUGACGUGAAAUAGAUCAAAGAAAACAGAUCUUGUCUUCAUGUAUUGGCGUGAAAUAGAUCGAAGAAAGCAGAUCAUGUAUUGGCGUGAAAUAGAUCGAAGAAAGCAGAUCUUGUCUUCAUGUAUUGGCAUGAAGUAGAUCAAAGAUAGCAGAUCUUGUCUUUCCAUACUGGUGGCGAAGUAGAUCGAGGAAAGCAGAUCUUGUCUUCAUGUAUUGGCAUGAAGUAGAUCAAAGAGAGCAGAUCUUGUCUUCCCAUACUGGUGGCGAAGUAGAUCGAAGAUGACAGAUCUUGUCUUCAUGUAUUGGCAUGAAGUAGAUCAAAGGAUAGCAGAUCUUGUCUUCAUGUAUCAGCAGUGAAGUAGAUCGAAAAUACAAGUCUUAUCUCCCUGAAGUAGCAGUGGAGCUGACAGAAGUAACCAAUCCUAUCUCCUUGAAGUUGCAAUGGAGUGGAUUAAACCUGCAGAUCUCAUCUCUCUGAAGUUGCAGUAGAGCAGAUCGCAUCAGAUUUAUUUUUAAGUUGUAGCAGAACAAGUUGAAGCUAUAAGUCUUAUCUCCCUGAAGUUGUAGUGGAGCAGAUUAAAGAUAGCAAUUUUUGUUCUUUUAAAAAGCUACAGUGUACGAACCCUAUCUCCUUGACAUUGCAGUGGGGUAGAUUGAAACACUAGUUCCUAUACUUCAGAAGAUGUAGUAGGAAAGAAUGAGGUUACUUGAAGGAAAAAGAACUGAAUAAGUCGAGGCUCAGUAAGACCGGGCACAAUUGGGCUUUUAGUAUUUGCUCUGUUCCCGUUACAUGACAACGAGCAAAGAGGGGCAGCUAUAGGGCCCAAUUUUUUCCUGGCCCGUUACAGAAAUAAAAAACCAAACAAAAACCAAAAUGUUUCAGUCCAAUUUUGCUAAGCCCAAUAACCCAAUAGCACAACCCAAAUCAAUUUAUUUUAAAACUAACCUAGCUACAAUCACCGAAACCCUAAAAUCCCUUAGCUACUGCCUCCGGCAAGUGUCCAAUCGGCACACGUUUCGAAACCAGCCCUAUUCUCCGCGUCAUGCUCUCCACAACUACCUGCGAAAACGGACUAAAAGAGUCCCAAUAUUGUAAAAUAAAAAUACAAAGUAUUUUCUUAGGCUAUAAAAAGCCUAAGUUGUACACUGAUAAAAAAAAAGAACAGAGAACAAAAUAAAUAUUUUUACAAAAGUGAUUUUUUUUUGUUUUAUUUCGCAGUGACCAUUUUUUAUAUACAUACGUUUUAUUUUCUUUUAUUUUCAUUUAUUUCGUAUAAAAUAACAAAGAAAAAAGAAAAGGAAAACAUACCUUUUGUCGGAGUCGCCGGAUUGUUGCCAUCUCCAUCGCGGUCGGAGCGUCGGCAUGGGCGAACGGCGGCGCUAGGAGCUAGGGCUGAAAACCCUAGCAGAGGGCAUUUGGUUUUUUUUUCCUUUCAUUCUGUUGCAAAUUUUUUUUAGAGAAAAAAAAACUGUUUUAAAUAACAGAGCAAAACGACGCCGUUUUACCCAAGCAUGACCCGCGCGGUGACCCGACCCGGAGGGGAGGAUCCGCGCGUUCUGGCCGAAGGGAAAAUUUGCGCAAUUGGUCCCUCCCUUUUGCAAUGCGCUUCAAUUAAACCUGUUUUGUUUUUUUUAAUUUGGCCGCAUAUUUUAUUUUUGUUUCAAUUUGGUCCCUUAUUGCGCAGCGUUUUGGAGGGUGGGAUUAAUUUCCCUUCUAGUCCCCCAUUGUUGUUCGCGCGUUCAAGUUGGUCCUUUUUUAUUUAUUUUCGAAUCUACCCCAUCUUUUCAUUUUUAAGUUCAAUUUAGCCCAUUUUUUAGCUUUUUUUUUAAAUUCUUUUUUAUGUUUGUCAUUAUACCAUUAUUAUUAUUAUAUUAUUUGCUAUCAUUAUUGUUAUUGUAUUUUCUAUACAUAUAAAUACGCAUAUUUUUUAUAUUUAAUAUAUAAGCAUAUUUUUAAUAUAUAUAUUUAUAAGUACGCAUCUAUUUUAUACAUACAUACAUACUUUUUUUUAUUUUAUUUCCUAACCUUUAUGUACACGUAUAUAUACUUCUAUAUUUUUGUUUCAAAAUUUUUUAUACAUAUGCAUGUUCGUUUUUUUUAUAUAUAUUAUUUUUCAUAUUUUUUUACAAAACGUAUAUAUAUGUGUAUACAUACACAUUUUAAAAUACACACAUGUUUCCCAUAUUUUACAAUUCAAAAUACACAUUUUUUUUAUAUUAUAUAUAUACAUUCUUUAUAUUUUUGAGUUAUUAUAGACAUUUUUAUUAUUCUAUAUAUACUCCGUUAUUUAUGUACAUAUCAUACAUAUAUAUAAAUUUUUUAAUAUAUGUAUACAUAUUUUCAUGUUUUACCAAUACAUAUAUACUUAUACAUUUUUUAUUUCUGUAAAUAUAUACACAUAUACAUACUUUUAUAGUUUUAUUUUAUUUUCACGGUUUUCAAAUACACAUACGUGCAUUUUUUAUUAGUUUUUGAUUGAUAUAUUCCAUUCCAUUUUUUAUAUGUAUCCUUGUAUAUGUGUGUAAAAUAUAUGCGUGCACAUAUUUUCAAAUUUACUUGUAUAUUGUACUUGUAUGUAUAUAUUUUGUAAAUACAUAUUCAUAUAUGUUUUAAAUUAAUGUUUUGUUUCAUAUUGUACGUUAACUUUUAACAUACCUUUUGGGAAAUAUAUUUUGGUUUUGUCAGUAUAUCAAAAUCAUUUUCUCUUGAUUCAAAGUUUUUUGAAUAAAAGCAAUAUUCAAAGUUUGGAAUUUUUGAGGAAAAUUGAGCCCUAACGUAUUGGGUUCUGAUUUUCUUUGUUAAUCUUAAAUAACCAAGGAUAUUCUUUAUUCAAAAUGCAUGAGUAUAAAGAUCAUUUUCGGGAACUUAACUUGUUGUGUCCUAAUGUAUUGGGCGUGACAUAUUAUUUUCUCAAAAUGAAGAUUUUCGCAUAAAAUAAAAGUAAUAUUUAAAGUUCGGGGAUUUUGAGAAAUUGUACCCUAAUGUAUUGGGACUCGAUUUCUUUACAUGACUUGAACAAUUGAUUAUCCUUUUCAGAUUUCAUCAUUUGAGUUGUUUUAAAAAAAAUUUUUUAGCCCUCGACAUUAAGACAUUAAAUAAUCAAUUUUGUACCGAUUUUGGACGUCACAAGGGUGCUACCCUUCCUCGUGCGUAAUUGACUCCCGAACUCGUUUUCUCAAAUUUCGUAAACCAAAAUACGUUUUAAGGUGAACUGAUCACACCUCAAUAAAGGAUCGGUGGCGACUCCAAUUUUGUUUUUUUAAAAAGUCGACAACUAUAUUUUUUAUUUAAAAAUGGUUUCGACAAUAUGAAAUAAAAGAAAAAUAGAGAGUAGGGAGAGAAAUUUACCUAAAAGCUGAGACGUCGUUCGUCUGUCGUAAUCGAAGUCGGACGAGGAAUCGGGGCCUCCAAACGCUGGUUUGUUGAGCGGCGCACGGAGGAAAAGUUGCUUAGGGUUUGUAGAUCUAUUAAAAUGGCUUAAUGCCUUGGUUUUUUUAGGUUUCAUGCGUGCAACGAAAUGGCACCGUUUGAACCCCGUUCUAAUGGCUCCAAAGCGAUGUCGUAUUGAGGCUCGACCCGAUUCGAACUAGGUUCCAGAUCUGCGUGUUUUACCUCAUAGGGGAGAAUUUCGCGAAUAGUCCUCCGCUUUUAUAGAACCUUCAAAUUGAUCCUUUUAUUUCUUUUAAAUUUGGCUGCUCAUUUUGUGCUUCAUUUCAAUUAGGUCCGUGCAAGGAUGCUGCGUUUUGAGGGAAGGGAUAUUUUCCCAUUCAGUCCCCAAGUUAUUCGCGCGUUCCUUUGUGGCCCUUAAUGUUAUUUUAUUUUUAUUUUCUCUUUUAAUUUUGAAUUAAAUGCAGUUUAGCUUGUUUUUGUUUAAUUUAAUGUAUUCAAUUUUUAUUUUAUUUUUAAUAUUCAUCAUUCUUUUUUAAAAAAUAUUUAAUUUUACAUCUAGAUUAUUUUAUGUUUAAAUUUAGUAUAUUUUAAAUUUAUUAACAAUAUUAUUUUAAUAUUAUAACAUAUUAUUAUUCUAAAUGUAACAUUAACAUUAUUUUAAAUUUAUCAUGUACAAUCUUAUGCAUUCUUGUUGUAGUUUCAAUAUAAUUUAUAGAUUUUUUUACAUUUUUAUUUUAUAAUACAUUUUUUAACUUCACUUAUAUAGUUCUUUGCUUUAAGAUUUGUACAUUAAUAUUCUUACAUAAUAUUUUUCUAUACAUAUAUAUAAUUUGUGUUAAAUUAUUUUUUAUUAUAUAUAUAAUAUAUUACCGAUUUCAUAUUAUUACAUAUCUUUUUACAUAUUUUUAUAUAUACAUAAUUUAUUUCUUUUAAAACCCUACUUUAUUAUGUACUUUGUUUAUUUCAACUUUUUAUAAUAUUAUAUAUAUUAUUAUUAAACUUUUCAUUUCAUAUAUAUAUUACUUAUUUAGAUUAAUGUAUGUAUAUUAUUUGGUAUAUUACAUAUAUAUAUAUUGUAGCAACGUAAAAAUUUUAGCUUAGCUUGGUCGCUAAUUGUGGCGAUUUAUUGAAAUUUUUUUUGAAAUUUGACGUUUGAUUUUUGAAAUAAAUAGGGAGUUGCCACCGAUCCUUUUUCCUAGGUGUGAUCGGACACCUAUUAGAUCUUUUAUUAAAACAAAUAAAAGGCUAAGUUUAGGUCUACGUUAAAAUCCAGAAAAAAUUUAGGGUUCGGGAGUCGGUUAUGCACGAGGAAGGUAUUGGCACCCUCGCGACGCCCAAAAUUGGUAUCUUAUUAAACACAUGUUGUCUUGAUUUUCAAAAAUACGAAUUCAAUUUGACAUUUAAGUGUGAUCCGAUUGAAGGAAAUGAGAAGUUGCAAGUUUUUUUGUUUUUUAGAAGGACGUCCCGUUUUUAACACGAGCCGAUUAAUUUCACCCAACAUAGGAUGAAAUCAAUGACUUAAUGUUAAAAUCGGUACAUUGCCUUAUUCUUAAAAUUAAAAUGUAAAAAGUUUUUAAAAUGAUAGUAAAAAAAAAUCCAAGAAUAUUAUUGUCAAAAAAAUGCGAAUAAUGAUGUGAAUAAUAAAAUAUAUAAAAUAUAAAAUAUCAAAAUAUCAAAAUAUUAGAAUAAUAAUAAUUAAUAUUGAAAAAUAAAAAAUAAAAUAGAAAUAAAAAAAAUGUACAUAAUAUAUAUUAGAAAUAAUAAUGAUGUUUAAAAAUCAAUACUAUUAAUAAUACUACAUUAAUAUGUACAUAUAUAAAAAAAAUACGUGAUAAUAUUAAAAAUAUGUACAUAAUAUAGUGUUAAAAAUACAUACAUAAUAUAGUUAAGAUAUAUACAUAAGAUAACAUGUAAAAAAAAUAUAUAAAUAAUAUAAUAUUAAAGAUAUAUACAUAAAAUAGUAUAAAAUAUAUAUACGUAAUAUAGAAUUUAAAAUAUACCUAAUAUAUUAAAAGAAUAUAUAUAAUAUAAUAUUAAGAAAUAUAAUAAUAACAAAAAAGGAGAGAGAGGGAGAGGGUGGAUGAUUUUCGGCCACAAGGUCGGCCAUCGUCCGGUCACUGGACCGCCGCCGGCGCCACCGUACACGGCAGCCGGACCUCAAAAAAAACUUUUUCGGUAAAAAUGGGUAAGCUUCCUCCUUUUAUUUUUUUUCACUUUCGUAUAAAAGAAACAAAAUAAGAUUGAAAGGAAAACAAUAAGUAAACAAAGAACUUAAAAUGAGAAUAGACAAAGAAACCUCUUUUGCUUUGAUCUUUAAUUAAUCUUCAAAAAAACUAGCUUCUCCAAAAACUAGCCUUCACAAUAACUCUUCUCCUUAAUUACUUUAAAAAGAAACCUCUCCAAAAAUCCUUUACAAUAACUUUCUCUCCCAAAAACUUUCCAAAAAAAAAUCCCCCCCCUUUUACAAAAUAUGAUAAGGCUUAUAUAGCUAUUUACAAAAUAUUUUUUUAUUGUUUAUGUCUUCAUUUGUAGGUACAAGUGGUGGUGGAGCAAGUGUGGUUAGUGGAGUAGGUAAUGGAGCAAGUGUGGCUAGUGGAUUUGGUGGUGGAGAAGGUGUGGCUAGUGGAGUUGGUGGUGGAAAAGGAGUGGCUAGUGGAGUUGGUGGUGGAAAAGGUGUGGCUAGUGGAGUUGGUGGUGGAAAAGGUGUGGCUAGUUGAGAAAAGUUUAAGUUGUGGGCUAGGUUUUUUUAUUUUGAUUUGGGCUUAGGGUUUGGGCCAUUGGGGUUUUGAUGUAAAUUGGGCUUUGGGUAGUUAAGAUUUUGGGUUUUGGGUUUAAUUUUGGUGGGUUAGGUAAGGCUAAAUUGGGUUUUGAUGUAAAUGGGCUAAAAUUGGCCUACAACAGCUGCCCCUCUUUGCUUAUUAUCGUGUAACGAGAAUAGAGCAAAGAUAUAAAGAAAGGCCAAUUUUGCCCGGUCUUGCUAAGUAUGGACUUCUUUGGUGCUCUUCUCAUCCAGGUAGUCUCUUUCCAGUCCAUCGCAUCUUGUAGCUUUGGUUCAAUCCACUGCAAAUUCGGAGAUAUGCCUUAUAGCUUCAAUCUGUUCCAAUGUAAUUCAAUAUGCUCUUCUAUCGCUUCAGUGAGAUAAGGUUUUGGGUCUUCUCUUCUGCCACUUUAGAAAGGCAAGAUCUGAUAUCCUCGAUCAACUCCACUGCAACUUCAGGGAGACAAAAUCUGGUGUCUUCAAUCAGGUCUAAUAUUGAUUCUUUACUCGGCAUGUGAUCCUGAGCUCAACUCAUUUCUCGCAAUAUGAAUUGACUCUGUAAAACUAGACAUUAAAAACAGAAAUUGAAAAUAGCUCAGCACGUGAGCCAAGGCUCAACUCACCUCUCGCAAAAGUAGAUUUUGAAAAUACCUCGACAUGUAAACCCAAGGCUCAACUCACAUCUCGCAAUAUGAGUUGAUUUUUGAAAAGCAGAAAUUGAAAACGCCUCAGCGUGUGACCCGAGGCUCAACUCACCUAUCGCAAUAUGAGUUGAUUUUUUUGAAAAGCAGAAAUUGAAAAUAGCUCAGCACGUGAGCAAAGGCUCAACUCACCUCUCACAAUAUGAGUUGAUUCUUUUGAAAAGCAGAAAUUGAAAAUAGCUCAGCACGUGAGCAAAGGCUCAACUCACUUCUCGCAAAAGUAGAUUUUGAAAAUACCUCGACAUGUGAACCCAAGGCUCAACUCACAUCUCGCAAUAUGAGUUGAUUUUUGAAAAAUAUAAAUUGAAAAAAAUAGAAAUUGAAAAGCAGAAAUUAAAAAGACCUCAGCAUGUGAGCCGAGACUCAACUCACCUCUCGCAAUAUGAGUUAAUUUUUGACAAACAGAAAUUGAAAUUACCUCAGCGUGUCCUGAGGCUCAACUCACCUCUAGCAAUAUGAGUUGAUUUUGAAAAACAAAAAUUAAAAGUACCUCAACGUGUCUUGAGGCUCAACUCAUCUCUCGCAAUAUGAGUUGACUUUCCUUGAAAAGCAUGAAUUAAAAACAUCAAAAUACCCAAAACCUAUCCUUUGGUAGAACUCGGGUGUCUUUUCCUUUGAUUCAGUGCGACUCUCAUUCAAGAUUUCUUGCUCUACUGGAGUACCUGUAUAUGCUAUGUAUGAUGUUAUCAUGAUAUGCACAUGUUUGUCUUAAAUGCUUUUAUGCCUACAUGAUUAUGCAGUGCUCCUUAAGCAUGUUUGUCGUAUGUCCAUUUAGCCACGAUUGUUGAGGGUCUGUGUUCAUUGCUUUGAUUCUCGACUUUCUCCUCAGGCCUUAUACCUACCUUCAAGCUUCACGAGUAAUCGACGUUCCUCAGAUAUCACUCUUCUGCCCCCGAUUGAACUUUGUUCUUACUUUGAGACUCUUGUGCUUAUCAAAUUUUCAUCCAGGUAAUGCUUAACAUUUCUCUUGUUUAGAGUAUGUCAUUUCUCCAUUUAUCAUGUAAAUAAACACAUAAUGAGAUGCAUGAAAAAGGUCAGGUAGGGAAAAAUGAUAUUUCAUAUUCAUCUAUUUCAAAUGUGGCAAACAAAGCAAGUUAACCAAUUAGAGUAAAAAAUGUCAAAAAGAAAGAAAGGAUCGUAUUCAACGGAUGCAAAUACUUUAGAUAUUCGACACAUGAACUCUUCCACGUUCCUCAAUCAAGAAUCUUUUCGAGUCUGGCUCUUUGCGUAGAAGAUUUCGAGCUUUCAGAAAUGCUUCAAAUACUGUAGUCUCACUGUUUGACCCGCUGUUAAAACGCCACGCUCUUUAAGCCAGGUUUACCUCAUUAGGACGCCCUCUCGGGUUUUCAUCCUAAUCUUUUGUGCUAAUCAAGACGCCCUUUGCGGGUUUUCGCCUUGAUCCCUCUUUUUUUUUGGAUGCCCUUUUCAGGUUUUCAUCUCAAGCAUAAUAUUUCUUCACAGCAUCUGAGUUCACUGGAUUCGGUAACUUCUUUCCAUCCAUCUUGGUAAGGAUCAAAGCUCCUCCUGAAAAUGCCUUCUUUACGACGUAUGGUCCUUCCCAAUUUGGUGCCCAUUUUCCUCGCAGGUCCUUUUGUAUUGGGAGAAUCUUCCUCAGUACGAGUUCUCCUUCGUGGAAUUCUCUUGGCCAUACUUUCUUGUCAUGGGCCGCGAUCAUUCUCUUCUGGUACAUCUGCCCGUGACAAAUUGCUCUUAGACGUUUUUCUUCGAUGAGGUUCAACUGAUCAUAUCGAUCUCAAACCCAUUCUGCUUCUUCUAACUUUAAUUCCAUUAAGACUCGCAGGGAGGGGAUCUCAACCUCAAUAGGUAGCACAGCUUCCAUUCCGUAAGCCAGAGAGAAAGGAGUUGCUCCCGUAGAUGUUCGCACAGAUGUGCGAUAUGCAAACAAAGCAACUGGAAGCUUCUCGUGCCAAUCUUUAUAUGUUUCAGUCAUUUUCCCAAUGAUCUUCUUAAUAUUUUUAUUGGCUGCUUCAACAGCCCCGUUCAUCUUUGGGCGAUAGGGCGAGGAGUUAUGAUGCUUUAUUUGGAACUGCUCGCACACUUCUUUCAUCAUCUUAUUGUUCAGAUUCGUGGCAUUAUCUGAAAUGAUUCUUUCAGGCAAACCAUACCGGCAAAUGAUUUCCUUUUUCAAAAACCUGCAAACUGCAGUCCUCGUCACAUUGGCAAACGAAGCGGCUUCUAUCCAUUUUGUGAAGUAAUCGAUGACCACAAAAACGAAUCGAUGUCCAUUUGAUGCUUUUGGAGAAAUUGGCCCUAUGACAUCCAUGCCCCACAUAGAAAAAGGCCACGGAGAAGUCAUGACAUGAAGGGGUGAAGGGGCUACAUGAAUUUUAUCGCUGUAGAUUUGACAUUUGUGGCAUUUUCUGGCAAAAUUGAUGCAGUCAUUUUCCAUUGUCAGCCAAUAAUAACCGAGUCUCAUGAUCUUUCUGGCCAUAUUGAAACCAUUGGCAUGCAUUCCGUAAAUUCCCUCAUAGACCUCUUCAAGUAUUUUUCUGGCUUCAACAUCAUCCACACAUCUCAAAAGCAUCUGAUCCUUUCCUCUUUUAUAUAGGAUAUCCCCAUCAAUAACAAAUCCCGCUGCCAUUCUUCUAAUUGUUCUUUUAUCGUUCUCAUUCGCUUGUUCGGGAUACCUUUGAUUCUUGAUAUAUUCUAAGAUAUCAUGGAACCAAGGUCGUCCGUCUACUUCUUUCUCAAUGCUACAACUGUGUGCAGGGACCUCGUAUAUGCUCAUUUUGAGGGGCAUUAUUUCUACUUCUCUACUUGCUUUGAACAAUGAAGCCAAAGUGGCCAGGGUAUCAACCAGUUGGUUCUCUUCUCGUGGGAAGUAAUGAAAAGUUAUUUCUUUGAAUUCCUUGAUCAAUCCAGCUACUAAAUCGCUGUACUUAAUCAAUUUUGAGUCCCUCACUUCCCACUCUCCACGGAUUUGGUAAAUCACUAGGGCUGAGUCCCUGUACACCUCUAAGAUCUUGAUGUUUCGUUCGAUAGCUGCACGAAGCCCCAUGAUACAGGCCUCAUAUUCUGUGAUAUUAUUGGUACAGAAGAAGUUCAGUCUUGCGGUGAACGGAUAAUGAUUCCCGUCUGGUGAUACCAGGAUUGCUCCUAUUCCUUGUCCUAAAGCAUUUGACGCACCAUCAAAGCACAUCUUCCAUGACUUCUCUUUUGAUGACUCGGAUUCUAUUUCUGUGAUGCACAUUAAGUCUUCAUCUGGGAAAUCGAAUCUUAAAGGCUCAUAUUCCUCUGUCGUUCGAGUUGCUAAGAAGUCAGCUAUUGCGCUCCCUUUUAUCGACUUCUGACUUACAUAGGUAAUGUCAUAUUCCGAAAGGAGGAUCUGCCAUCGUGCCAUUCUUCCUGAUAGUACCGGUGAUUCCAUCAUGUAUUUUAUUAGGUCCAGUUUUGAAAUUAGCCAUGUCGUGUGAUACAACAUAUAUUGUCUGAGUCUCCGAGCUACCCAAACCAGAGCGCAACAAUAUUUCUCAAUGGACGAAUAUUUUACCUCAUAUUCAGAGAACUUUUUGCUGGGGUAGUAGAUCACUUUUUCUUUCUUUCCUGACUCGUCGUGUUGCCCUAGUACGCAACCCAUUGAACUUUCAAACACAUUCAAAUACAAUAUCAAUGGUCUUCCAGGAGUUGGCGGUACUAGCACUGGAGGACUGGACAAAUAUUGUUUUAUCUUAUCAAAGGCCACUUGGCAUUCCUCGUUCCAUUCUCCCGGGUUAUGUUUUCGAAGAAGCUGAAAGAUUGGGUCGCAUUGGUUGGUAAGUUGAGCGAUAAAUCGGGCGAUGUAGUUUAAUCUCCCUAAAAAUCCUCUAACUUCCUUUUGCGUGCGCGCAUGUGGUAAUUCUUGGAUGGCUUUUAUUUUAUCUGGAUCAACUUCGAUACCUCUUUCACUGACAAUGAAGCCUAGCAACUUUCCCGAGGUAGCCCCAAAUGUACAUUUGGCUGGAUUAAGCUUUAGCUAAAACUUUCUCAGCCUUUCGAACAACUUCUUGAGGUUCACUACAUGCUCUUCUUCCCCUCGCAAUUUAGCAAUCAUGUCGUCGACGUAGACCUCUAUUUCUUUAUGCAUCAUGUCAUGGAAUAACGUUACCAUAGCCCUCUGAUAUAUUGCCCCAGCAUUCUUUAACCCGAAUGGCAUCACCUUGUAGCAGAACGUUCCCCACAUCGUUAUGAAGGUAGUUUUCUCCAUAUCCUCAAGGGCCAUCUUGAUCUAAUUAUACCCCGAGAAUCCAUCUAUGAAAGAAAACAAUGAAUGUUUUGCUGUGUUGUCCACAAACGUGUCAAUAUGUGGCAAGGGAAAAUUAUCUUUUGGGCUUGCUCGAUUCAGGUCACGGUAAUCCACGGACAUUCGUACUUUGCCAUAUUUCUUUGGUACUGGGACUAUGUUAGCCACCCAUUCUAGAUAUUUGGAGGCUUGUAGGAAGCCAGCAUCAAAUUGCUUCUUGAUUUCUUCUUUUAUUUUCAACAGCAUUUUGGGUCUCAUCCGUCUUAAUUUUUGCUGGAUGGGCUUGCAUUCUGGCUUUAAUGGGAGCUUAUGGACCACUAAAUCUUCAUCUAGCCCUGGCAUGUCCUGGUAUGACCAUGCGAAAACAUCUUUGUAUUCGCGGAGUAAAAUGAUCAAACUAUGUCUAGUACUCUCUGAAAUAGAAGUCCCAAUCUUCACUUCUUGUUUCCUCUCUUCAAUGCCCAAAUUUAUUAUUUCCACAGAUUCUUCAUGAGGCAAAAUCUGUUUAUCCUCUUGUUCCACCAUUCUUAACAAUUCAGGAGACGAGACAUAAUCUUCAGCAUUUUCUUCGGCUUCAAAUUCUCCUAAGCAAACAGCCUUCUCAAAAUCAAUUUCAAGAUUCGUAACGGGCUUAUUCAUAUCGUCAAUAUCUGAGCACCUGAAAGUUGAAUGGAAAAGGAAGCUAUAGAGGGGCAUCCAAGUAUUGGAAUCAACAAAGAAAUGUCAUGUCAUGGCAAUGAGGCAAAUGUGAGUAUAGGCUAUGAAAUGAGAAAAUGAUUAUGAAAUUAGUGAUAAUGCGAAAAAUCGUGACAAAAUGCAUCUUCAUUGAUAUUCACUUAAAUGAUAAAGAGCGAAUGCAAGCUCCUACAAAAGAAUUCUAUUAUAUCUAAGGACACAAUAGAAUGUUAAUGUUUGAGCAUUACUCUGAAGACUUAUAAACUACAAGAAGGUCCUCGGCAGUCCAAUUGUUCAACAUGAAACCAGGGGGACAAAGGCGUAUCCUUGAGACAUCUUUACUUGUGUCAGCUCCUUUGUCAAUGACAUUUAUACUGAUGUUCUGAAAACCCUUUUCGAUCAUUAACAUUGUGCCUUGUGCAUUGUCCUGCCUCGGGUAUAUCAUUCCCACAGACGUAAAUGUUCUUGACAAAGGAGGGAAUUCCAUAGGCUCCCAUUCUGGUUCUCGGCCUAAGGUUCUCGCAAUCCUUCUUUCUUGAUCUUUCUUCCACUGUCUUCUUCUUUGACGCAUGUCUGGCUGGAACCCCAAACCGUAUCGGGCCUUAUGAUGCACUGGUUUUAGAGCCCUGACUAUUCCUUGUAGAUAUCUCCCUAAACCUCUUCUCACUCGAGCUCCCCUUCCUACAGUCAACUUGACACCCAUUCUAGUAUUUCUCGACAAUUUAGGCACGGGAAUUUUGUUUCCCUCAGUGAAGAAUGUGGCAUUGACGAAUUCAAGGGAUCGGAAGGAGCAUUCCACUACGUCCUUGCUCACUUCAAGGUAUGGCGCAUCAGCAGAGAUAGAUGCGACAAUGUCUUCUUCUCCCUCGACAGUGACCAAACAGCCAUCCAUGAUAAAUUUCACCUUUUGAUGGAGGGAUGAUGGGACCGCUCUAGCAGAAUGGAUCCAGGGUCUUCCCAAAAGGCAGUUAUAUGAGGAUGUAAUGUCCAUGACUUGGAACUCGACAUCAUAUAUGUAGGGACCCACUUCCAGAGGGAUCUCAAUUUUUUCCAUGACUUCAUGCCUUGUCCUGUCGAAUGCCCUUACCGUAGAAUGACAGGGCCUUAAAUGGGACAGAUCCAUCGAAAUUCUGGAAAGUGUGGCCAAAGGCAUAACGUUGAGUGCCGAACCAUUAUCGAUGAGCACGUUCGGUAUUAUGUAGCCCUUGCAACGGGUUGUGAUAUGCAAUGCUUUCACUGAGCCUCUACCAUUGGGCGGUAUUUCAUCAUCACUAAAAGAAAUGAAAUUAUCCGCAUUCAAGUUGUUCAUCCACCUAUCCAGUUUUUCAAUGGAUACAUUGUUUGCCACAUAAGCUUGAUUUAACACUUUCAGCAGAGCGUUUCGGUGUGGUUCUGAAUUCAACAGCAGAGAUAAUACCGAGAUUCGCGCUGGCUGCUUACUCAAUUGUUCUACCACGUUGUACUCACUGUGUUUGAUAAAUUUUAAGAAUUCCUGUGCUUCCUCCUCGUCCACAGGAUUUUUAGCUUCUUGUUCAGGCGCAGUUUCAUGCUCAUCAUCGGUCACAUGCAUCGGUGCUUUUCCUUUCCGUUUCAAGUCACUGUUCUUCUUUAUCUCCUUCGAAUAACAUCUUCCACUAUGAGUGAAAUGACCUAAUUCCCCGAUUCUUCCAGUCAUGGCUUUGGGUUUUUCAUCUUCAGGUGUGACGAUAUUAAUGUCAUAUUUCCAUGGUACUGCUUUAUUGUCCUUGUAAGGGAAAGAAGAUGGUACUUCAAUUAUCAUUUUUGGUUUCACCGGCUCUUUCAUCGCAUCGUAAUAAAUUACUAACGGUUGAUCAGCGCUAUAAGGGGGACCUGAUGACUGGCUAUCAGAGGCGCAUACUUCUCUUUCAUUGGUCUCUUCCCUUUUGUUAAGGAUCUUAAUCUCCUUAUUAUCCAUCCGGUCUUGAAGCAACCUUUUAAAUUCCUCACACGACUGAAUGUCGUGUCCCACAAUUCCAUGGAAAUUGCAAAAACUUUGACCUUCUUCUCCGAGAAUUCUAUCGGGGUGACAAAGCAAUCAUUUCUUAACCAGUACCUCCCAGAUUUUCUGCAAAGGCGUCCUUAUUUCCAAAACACAUCUUCUGACUUUCCAUUCGUCCACUUUCCCCACUAUACUCACAUCCCUUUCGAUAUGGUUAGGGAAUGGGUUCCCAGUUGCAUUACUGGCACUAUCGAAUCGUAGGAUACCUGCAUCAAUGAGUCCUUGAACUCUUCUCUUAAAGGCUAGGCAGUUUUUCGUGGAAUGUCCCUGGUUUCCCGUAUGGUAUGCACAACUAGCGAAUUGUAUGUUUUAACCUCAGCGAACGAGUAUGGAAUAUGCAAUGAAUGAAUGAAUGCAUGAAUGUCAAAUGACUGUUAGUCAUGAAAGAAAUGCAAGAAAUUGGUGUUAAUUUCAAGAUAGCCCCUAUUUAGGCAUUUCCUUAAUCAAAAGAGUCUAUUACACAACGUUUCGGUCACUCGUGUAAUUGACUCCUCUAUCAGAAACCCCUUUUUGGCAACCAAUCUCUAAUCAACCCUUUCCUAACAAGAUGUAUAUGAUGCAUGAUGAAAAAUAGAAAUACAGACAAACAACAUUGGUUAGCAAAACACAUAUGAUCAGAGAAAAAUUGUGGAAAAUCUAACAAAUUAAGCUACUUGGUCCAAUGGACUCGAUUCCCUUGCAUAGAAAGUGAAAGUGCAAAAGGUAAGAGGCGUUCCUCCCGUGCACUUAUUUUGGUGACUACUAAACGGACGGAGGUUCAGCAUGGCUCUAGUUAGGUGGCUCGUAUGGUUCAUUAUAUGCGGUUUUGGUUCUAGAUAGGUACUCGAAUUGCCCGUACUAUCAUCUACUAAGAUUAACACGGAGCCUCGGUCAUAGCCUAUCACAGGCUCACGAGUUCAAUUCGAGGGGUUACAUUUACUUAUGCCUAUGCGGAGGGACAAGUUAACUCACGAAAGCAUAAAUCAUAUGUAACCCGAAAGUAUUCACUAGCCUGUGCGGAGGGACGAGUUAACUCACGAAGGCGUAGUGUUUACUUUCACUUAAACGGACGGAGCCCGGGUAGAGAGCUCAUGUUAUGCGAAAAUGCAAGUGCACGGUGUGUGGGGAACAACUCAUAAACCUUUACGUUUCACUUAAAGAAACUAAACCAAAAUUAAAACCAUAAAAAUUAAAAACUGAAAAACAACCAAAUAAGCAAGUUAGAAGAAAUAUUUACAGCACGAUACAAAUGCAUGAAUUUUGAAAAUGAGAUUUUCGGAUCACGACCAAAUAUUUACUUUGAACAAGGAAAUUUGAAAAUUUUGACAAAACGUGUUUAAUUCCAGACACGACUCUCAAAAAGGCUUUCCCCAGCGGAGUCGCCAGCUGUAGCGACGUAAAAAUUUUAGCUUAGCUUGGUCGCUAAUUGUGGCGAUUUAUUGAAUUUUUUUUUGAAAUUUGACGUUUGAUUUUUGAAAUAAAUAGGGAGUCGCCACCGAUCCUUUUUCCUAGGUGUGAUCGGACACCUAUUAGAUCUUUUAUUAAAACAAAUAAAAGGCUAAGUUUAGGUCUACGUUAAAAUCCAGAAAAAAUUUAGGGUUCGGGAGUCGGUUACGCACGAGGAAGUUAUUGGCACCCUCGCGACGCCCAAAAUUGGUAUCUUAUUAAACACAUGUUGUCUUGAUUUUCAAAAAUACGAAUUCAAUUUGACAUUUAAGUGUGAUCCGAUUGAAGGAAAUGAGAAGUUGCAAGUUUUUUUGUUUUUUAGAAGGACGUCCCGUUUUUAACACGAGCCGAUUAAUUUCACCCAACAUAGCGAUGAAAUCAAUGACUUAAUGUUAAAAUUGGUACAUUGCCUUAUUCUUAAAAUUAAAAUGUAAAAAGUUUUUAAAAUGAUAGUAAAAAAAAUCCAAGAAUAUUAUUGUCAAAAAAUGCGAAUAAUGAUGUGAAUAAUAAAAUAUAUAAAAUAUAAAAUAUCAAAAUAUCAAAAUAUUAGAAUAAUAAUAAUUAAUAUUGACAAAUAAAAAAUAAAAUAGAAAUAAAAAAAAUGUACAUAAUAUAUAUAUUAGAAAUAAUAAUGAUGUUUAAAAAUCAAUACUAUUAAUAAUACUACAUCAAUAUGUACAUAUAUAAAAAAAAUACGUGAUAAUAUUAAAAAUAUGUACAUAAUAUAGUGUUAAAAAUACAUACAUAAUAUAGUUAAGAUAUAUGCAUAAGAUAACAUGUAAAAUAUAUAUAUAAAUAAUAUAAUAUUAAAGAUAUAUACAUAAAAUAGUAUAAAAUAUAUAUAUACGUAAUAUAGAAUUUAAAAUAUACCUAAUAUAUUAAAAGAAUAUAUAUAAUAUAAUAUUAAGAAAUAUAAUAAUAACAAAAAAGGAGAGAGAGGGAGAGGGUGGAUGAUUUUCGGCCACAAGGUCGGCCAUCGUCCGGUCACCGGACCGCCGCCGGCGCCACCGUACACGGCAGCCGGACCUCAAAAAAAACUUUUUCGGUAAAAAUGGGUAAGCUUCCUCCUUUUAUUUUUUUUUACUUUCGUAUAAAAGAAACAAAAUAAGAUUGAAAGGAAAACAAUAAGUAAACAAAGAACUUAAAAUGAGAAUAGACAAAGAAACCUCUUUUGCUUUGAUCUUUGAUUAAUCUUCAAAAAAACUAGCUUCUCCAAAAACUAGCCUUCACAAUAACUCUUCUCAUUAAUUACUUUAAAAAGAAACCUCUCCAAAAAUCCUUUACAAUAACUUUCUCUCCCAAAAACUCUCAAAAAAAAAAUCCCCCCCUUUUACAAAAUAUGGGAAGGCUUAUAUAGCUAUUUACAAAAUAUUUUUUUAUUGUUUAUGUCUUCAUUUGUAGGUACAAGUGGUGGUAGAGCAAGUGUGGUUAGUGGAGUAGGUAAUGGAGCAAGUGUGGCUAGUGGAUUUGGUGGUGGAGAAGGUGUGGCUAGUGGAGUUGGUGGUGGAAAAGGUGUGGCUAGUGGAGUUGGUGGUGGAAAAGGUGUGGCUAGUUGAGAAAAGUUUAAGUUGUGGGCUAGGUUUUUUUAUUUUGAUUUGGGCUUAGGGUUUGGGCCAUUGGGGUUUUGAUGUAAAUUGGGCUUUGGGUAGUAAGAUUUUGGGUUUUGGGUUUAAUUUUGGUGGGUUAGGUAAGGCUAAAUUGGGUUUUGAUGUAAAUGGGCUAAAAUUGGCCUACAACAUAUAUAUAUAUUUUAUUUACUUUAAAAUUCAUUGUGAUACUAUAAUUUCACAUAGUAAUUCUUUUUAUCUUCCUUUAAAUCUAUUUCAAACUCGUAUAUAUAUUGUUUAUGAUAAAUUUUAUGCAUGUAAUUUAUUUUAUAUUAAUAAUUUUCAAUUUCCUCCCUUGCAUGUUAUUCUUUUUUUUGUUUUCAUUUUUUAAGCUUGUUCGUGUUAAUUUACUUGAUAUUCCUUUUAAUUCUUUAGCUUUUAAUAUUAAUAUUUACCCAACAUAUAAUAUGAGAUUCUUACUAUUGUUAUAUUGUAUUGUUUAUUUAUAUUUAUUGAUUGUUUGACAUUCAUUAGUAUACGCUUUAUUUUAUGAAUCAUCAUCUCGCAUUGUAUAUUAUUAUUCAAUCGUUUUUAUUCGUUCAAAAGAUUACGUUUAAUAUCAUUUAAGUAUCGAAAUUGAUUUAUUCAAAAACUUUCAAGAUAGCGUAAUAUUCGGUAUUUGGGUUCUUUGAUAGAAUUGAGCCCUAACGUAUUGGGUUCCAAUUUUCCUUGUUGAAUCUAAAUAAUCGAGAAUAUUCUUCAAUCAAAAAUACAUAAAUAAAAAGCUCAUUCUCGGGAAUUCAAUACGUUGUGUCCUAACGCAUUGGAUAUGACACGUUGUUUUCUUGAGAUGAUGAUUUUUCUAAAUAAAAAUAAAGGCAAUAUUUGGUAUUUAGGAAUUUUGUGAAAUUGAACCCUAAUUUACUGGGUUUUGAUUUUUCAUUUGACCAAAUAAUCAGAUAUCCUUCUCAAAAUGCAUAGGUUUUAAAAAAAAUCAAAAGAUAAACUUAAUUUUGAAGAUAAAAAAUGUAGCGCCCUAACUUACUGGGUGUGACAUUUUAUUUCUUUAAAAUAAGAGUGUCUUAUUAUUUAAUUCAAUUUAUUCAAAGUUAAAAGGAUCGUAUUUUAAAACCUUUUCAAAUUUUUGACACUAAGACAUUAAACAAUCAAUUCGGUAACAAUUUUGGGCGUUACGAGGGUGCUAACCCUUCCUCGUGUGUAACUGACUCCCGAACCUGUUUUCUCAAAUUUUGCAGACCAAAAUCGUUUUUAAGGUGAGCCGAUCACACCCCAAUAAAUGAUCGGUAGCGACUCUCAUCUUUGUUUUUAAGUCGACUACUAAUUUUUGUUUUUAAAAAGUGGUUUCGACAUGUACAUUCAAUGUAGAGUCACAUACAGCCUGCGACAAAAAUAAUAAUUAUACACCGCUGUGUGGGGUGACCGAAAAUUCAUAUAUAGACUUAUUUCGAACGUUCUAAUUUUCCAUUCCGAAUGUUCUAAUUUUCCACCAAAAACAAAGUCGCUUUGGAAUUAAAAUUUUGGUCCUAAGGCCCGCUGGAUUUUUCACAACCACUAUCAUUAGACUAAAAUUAUCUCUCCACGUAUGAUCGGGUUUAAAAAAAUUUAUUAAAAUUAUUUAUUUAAUUUGUUAUUAUUGUUUAUAAUAGAAUAUAAAGUCUUAAAAUAUAAUGAUAUCAUCAUGGAGAAAAAUAUUUUAAUUUAAAAAUGUAUAAAUUUUAUAUAUUAUCUUUUAAAUAAUUUAAAUUAGGGAUAAAUCUCGAAAUCAUACAUGGAUUUGAUUUAAUGUGUAAUUGUAUACAUGAACUUUAAUUUGAUUUAAUAAUUUACAAGAAUUUGGUCAAAAAUAAAAUUUCAUGUAUAAAAUUCUACAAAAUCAAAGUUCAUAUAUAUAAUUGCACAUUAAACCAUAGUUCAUAUAUAGUUUUGAGAUUUAUCCUUUUAAAUUAUAAUGAUAAUUUUUAUAUAUUAAAAUUAAUAUAUUUAACCUUCCUUUAAAUGAAAGAAGCUACUUGUUGAGUUAUUAUAUUUAUUAUAUGUGAUUUAAUUUUAAAUUUUAUUUAUCAAUCUUCACAUAAUUAUUAGAUGCUUUGAGUAAUUUAAAAGAGAUAGACACGAACUGGAAUGAGGUGAAGGAAUUUAUGGCCAUAAAGAGUAAAGGUAUAUGUAUCAACUAAAAAAUAAAAAAUCAUUUAAAAAUAUAAAACUCUCACGGAAGGACAAUAUCUUUAGUUAUUGAAGGGAUCUGUUGAUUAUCAAAUGAAAGAUAUUUUAAAAACUUCUCUUAAAAAAGUCUGAUAAUCAACAAUGCUGAUAGACCAAUAAUUUGAAGCAGUCAAUGAACUUGUAGAAAGGGUAUAGCAAGAGGGAUGGAAGCUUGACGCCAAAAGUUAAGAGAUAUCUCCAUAAUGGUCACUUGUGUUGAGUGGUCUUGGGUGAUUGAAUUUUCUACAAAUGCCAUUAAAUUUCCCACAAGAAUUUUUCUACAAAUGCUUUUCAAUUUUGAAUCAAGUUGGUUUAUGAUUGGAAUUACUUGCUGUAAUAAGUUAGUUAUUUCAUUUUUUUUAUUUAAUACCAAAAUUAAAUAAAUUUUUAUUAUUAUUCUCAUUAAAAACCCAUUAAAGUUUCAGUUUUUCUAUUUAAUAUUGUAACUUUAAUUCUAUUGAAUGUUUAGGUUACUCUUUGUUUUUCAUUAAUACUUUUGGUUUUUUUUUACUAUAAAAAGCUAUUAUAUAUUAGAUAUUACUUAUUAAGAUAUCAACAUUGUUAGAGCAAAAAAAAAAUCUGUGUGAUGGUACAUAUGUUUUUUUUUUGGUGAAGUAAAAUAACAAGAUAAAAUCCGAACAAUUAACGCGACUCGAAUCCAGGUCACACUUGAGGUGUAAUUAGGUGAGAAAGACAUUUUAUAUAAUAAAAUACAUGUGAAAAAAAAUAUUGUUUCAUUAAUUAUUAAUAAAACAAAAAUAUGAUUCAUUUGCAUUUGGUAAAAUUAAAUUAAACAAUAAAAUGUUUUUUUUUUAAUUCUCGUAGAAGUAUAUUUCAUUGAAUAAUUCAAUUGCUUUUAUUGAAAUUAUCGUGGUAUAUACGAAUGUUGCUUAGAAGUUUUUUUGUAACAAAUAUUUUUCAUUGUCAUAUAUUGCAUAUGAUAUAAAGGCAAUAUUUGAAUGGAGCAUUGGUUAGUUUUUCACGGUGAAUCCUCCACAAUAUUCCUUUGUUUGAAGUUGCGGAAAUAUAUAUGUCUCAUGUUUUUAUAAGAUGCAUGUAUUUAAGUUGCGGAAAUUGAAAAGUCUUGACCUGAGUAGCAAUGGAAUUGUAGGUGUUGUGAAUAACCAAGGUUUGUUGCUUUUCAUCUCUGCAAUGAUUAAUCUCUGAAAUUUAAUUUAAGUUUUUAUAAUUAAUUCGUUUAUUUUACUUUUCUAUAUUAGAACAGUAACUUUCUCUUGCAUGCAGUCUCUUUAUCAUCUGCUUUCAACAACUUAGAAAUCCUUGACUUAUCCCACAAUAACUUCGAUGCCAGUAUCUUAUCAAGUAAGCUUCAUCUCUCAAUUUCUAUCUAUGUCUAGUAACUAAUUGUAAGUUUAUGCAAAAAUAAUAUAAAAAUACCUACAUAAUUAACGGGAGAUUUGAAAUGCAUUUUACUAGUUUUUUUUUUUUAAAUAGUUAAAGUUGAUAUUUAUGUAUAUGGGAUAAACCCAAAUUUACGACCAACAAGAAAGAAUAGAGAAGAUUAGGCAUAUAAAUUUAUGUGGGAAAACUCUUUCAAUCAACAGGAUAAAAAAGGAGACUUCAAUAAUGAGCAAACAAACGAAGAGAAUAAGAUGGAGAUAUUCAAAAACAAACCCUAACCCUAAAAACAAAGUUCUUUGGCUAAAAUACAAAAUUCCCUCAAAGCUCUCUCGAAUUUUUCUCUUAAUCUUCUCUCAAUCUUGAUGUUAUGUGUAGAGCCCAAUUCUUGCCCGGGCCUUAACACAAAAAAUAAACAAAAUAAACCAAAAAAAAAAGUCCGUUACAGCAGUGGCCCAAACCCACAAAAUUAACCCUAGCCCGAAGCCCAGUAGAGAAGCAAACCCUAAUUUCCCUAAGGGCGCGCCACACGCUCUGUCAGGCUCCCUCGCGCACGCCACCGCCACCGUCGUCGCUUCCCAUCGCCACCUUCCCAUGCGCGUCAGAACACCUACAAGAAAACUGUAACACCCCUUAACCUCAAACCGUCGCUGAAACUGGGUUACGAGGCACUACCAGACAUAUCAAACAAUUUACAAUUAAUUCCUAGAUAAAUAACUAACAUAUUAAAAUAAAACAUAAAUUCUUAUAAAUUUUAACAGUUGACUUCAUUCAUUUUUUUUUAUAAAUUUCGGCAGCAUUUCUGCUUAUUUUUACAUAAAACCCCUGCAAAUUUCAAGAUUAUAACCUGACCAAUUCCAAUGUUUCAACCAACAUUUAUAUCCUCAAGCAUAAUUAAAAUCAUACUUAACAUUUUAACUACUAUCAUAUAGAUUGCAUAAAAAGAUUAAUCAAAUAACAUAUAUUACAUCUAGACUAAAUACUUUGUAACAUAAUACAUCAAAAUUAAGUCUUCCAUACAUGCCAUAAUUUUCGAGUGAUGAUUACAAAAUACCAAAAGUUGUGGAUAGUGUAGAUGAGUUCCCGACGAUUUCCCGAAUUCCAAGCUGAACUGGUAACACUAUAAAACUGGGAAAAACAAAGAGAAAUAAGCAUAUAGCUUAGUAAGUAGACAUAUGACAAAUAAACAAAUUUUUAACAUGAUUCCAUAGAAACAUAAUUUUAUUCACACAUAAAUUUCCUUGCUUGUUCAAUUUCCAGCAAGCUGUUUUUCUGUGUCACGGUCACUAAUUUAUUUUUAUCUGGAGCUGCUGGGCUCCAAAUUAAGUUCCGUAAAUUUUCCUUGAAACUAUACUUACAUACCUUUCUAUCAUAAAAUUUUUAGAAUUUUCGGUUUAGCCAAUUAGUACAUUUUAUUCUUUAAACUUUCCCUGUUUCACUGCUCAAUAGCUCUGACCUCUCUUUACUUAAAUUUACUUAACUCUUUGUACAGAAUUCAAACAAUGUUCUUGUUUGUUUCUCUUGAAAAUAGACUCAUUGAUAAAUUCAAGCAUGUAAAUUACAAGCCAUAAUUAUUUUUGUACAAUUUUUUGUAAUUUUCCAAAUUUGGAACAGGGGAUUUCGAAAUCAAUUCAACCCUGUCUCACUAAAAUUCAAAUAUUUCAAAAUAUAUAAAAUCUUUUGCUUGCUCUGUUUCUUUCAUGUGAAAAUAGAAUCAUUUAGCUUCAAUUUCAUAUAUUAUUCAUUCUCUAAUUAAACUUCCACCAUUUAUGGUGAAUUUUCAAAGUCGCUCAACUGCUGUUGUUCAAAACUGUUUUAUUUCAAAAUUUACUCUUUUGUAGUUUUGAUAUCUCAUACCAUCUUAUACAUGGGUCGAUUAAGUAUCAAACUCACUAUUCCUCACAUUAUCUUGUCCAUUUCAUAUAUACAUUCACUUUUCCAAUUUCCCUGUUGAACACUCGGAAUAUUAUCCGUUACUCGGUGGAUUAAGCACUUAGCAACCACCUUAAAUUCAGUGAUACGUGGAAUCAGCACAUAGCAACCCCUUUCACAGUCAAGGAUACGGUGGAAUCAGCACUUAGCAACCACCUCUAUAUUCAGUGAUACGGGGAAUCAGCAUAUAGUAACCCCUUUCACAAUCAAAGAUACGGUGGAAUCAGCACUUAGCAACCACCUCUAUAUUCAGUGAUACGGGGAAUCAGCACAUAGCAACCCCUUUCACAAUCAAAGAUACGGUAGAAUCAGCACUUAGCAACCACCUUUGAAGUCAAUAAUUCAGGGAAUCAACACUUAGCAACCCCUUGGGAAAUCUGCACUUAGCGACCCCUUUUUAUUCAAUGUUUUCCGAUCUAUUCCGAGUGUUCAAUCGGAAACCUUGUUUUUCAACACUUUAUCACCUUUCUCAAACUUAACCACAUUUUUCUGAUCUACAUCAAAUAUUUAUUCUAUAUUCAAUCAAAUCUCAACAAUAUAUUGAAUAACAUUAAAAUAACGCAUUAAUUCACAUGCAUACUUACCUUGGUGUAAAAUAUUGUAAUUUUGCAAUUUACUUCACGAUCUUUUCUUUUCCCUGAUUGAGGUUGUCUUUUCGUCUUUCUUGAUCUAUAAUAGAAAUUUUAGUUUAUUUAAUAUUCACAUUUAUUACAACAGUCCUCGACUCAACUUUUUGCAAAAUUAUGAUUUUGUCCCUAAACUUAUCAUAUUUACAUUUUUCCCAAAGCUCGAAAAUUAAAUUUCACUCCUUAUUCUUAUGUUUUACAACAUGCUGAACACUUUUUCCUUCUAUGGAAACAUCAAAUUCUCACUCUAACACGUACUUAUGAACAUUAAAUAUUUUUACCGAUUAUGACAAUUUACCCGUUUUCACUUAAAAUCGCUUAGCAAAAGUUGUUUAACAUAAUUUCUAGCUUCAUAUUCUACCAUAAAACAGAAAAAUAAACACAUUUCACCUAUGGGUAUUUUUCCAAAUAUAAACCCUAGGUUAAAAUAACAGUAGAAAUAGGUAAACCGAGCUACGAGAAUCUUAAAAAUGCGAAGAACAUUAAAAACGGGCUAGGAUGCACUUACUAUGAGCUUGAGAAAGUGAAGAAACCCUAGCUAUGGCUUCCUUCAAAUUUCGGCAGCAACUAAUGAGGAUGAACACCAUUUUUUCAUCUUUUUCCCAUUUUAAUUCUAUUUAUUUACUAAAUGACUAAAAUGCCCUUACUUAAAAAAAUCUAUUUCACCCAUUUCUUAUGUCUAUUUUUUUCCAUCAAUUAGCUAAUGGUCUAAUUACCACAUAAGGACCCCCAAUUUAUAAUUUCAUAACCAAUUAACACCUUUAACACAUAAAAUUCAACUUUUGUAUUAUUUACAAUUUAGUCCUUUUGACCAAACUGAGUGCCCAAACGUCAAAAUUUUUGAAUGAAAUUUUUACGAAAUCUUUCCGUGAAAUUGUAGACCAUAAAAAUAUAAUAACAAUAAUACUUUCCCUCGUCGAAUUUGUGGUCCCGAAACCACUGUUCCAACUAGGCCCAAAAUCGGGCUGUUACAAAAACAACAAAACAGAAACGACAAACGUACAAUCCAAAGCACAAAAAGACAAAAGAAGAGAGAUGUAGUUUUUUUCCGGUUAUAAAAGGCCGAAUGGGGCGAUUGUAUUUCUUCUUCUGUCAUUUUUGUUACAGAUUAGAAAUAAAAAGGAAAACAAAGGUUGCCUUCUGGUUUCUCUGAUUUAUUCAUUUAUUUCUUUUAUUUAUUUUUAAUGAAUCAGUUUUUUUAAAAAAGAAAAAGAACUCUUAAAAAGUAAAAAAUGAAGAGGAAUACCUGGGGUUGCCUGCGAAAUCCAUCGUCGGAGCCAUUUCGUUUGCCGAAAUCGGACGAAAAGGGGGGCAUGGGGGCCUUUCCUUCUCUCGGUCUUAAGGCCCAAAAGGCUAAGCCUUUGGGCGUUUGAAAAAUGGGCCAAAAAUGCGAUCUCCGUGUCGCUCCGACCACCGCUUACGGUAGGGUCACGGCGGCACAAGCGACGGCCCUAUUGGCCGGAUUUGAGGGCUGCGUGGGAGAGAAUGUUUGAGCUUUCUAUUUUUUUUAAAUAAGGGUCAAACUAUUUUUUUUUAUUUUUAACAUUUAUAUUGGGAAUAAAACGACGCCGUUUUGGGUUUAGGCAACAAUGGCCAAAACGACGUCGUUUCACGCUUGACCCGAAUACUCAACCCGUUUAGCAGAGGAUCCGCGCGUUUUCAAGGCCGAAUGGGCUAUUUGCGCUAUGGGUCCCUCCGCUUUGAUGCUUGGCUUCAAUUCGGUUAUUUUGUCCCUUUUUAGCAUUUUUAAUCUGACCCCGUAGAUUUUGUACCAGUUUUGAUUUGGUCUAACGCGAAACGACGCACUUUAAGGGUUAGGGAUUAAUUUCCCAAUUGGCCCCUGCAUCUUUGUGCUUGCUCCAAUCGACUCCAAAUUAUUUUUUUAUAUUUCAAAUCUAACCCACUGAUUUUAUUUAAAUUCCAAUUCAAUCCUUAGUCAAUAAAAAUUCAAAUUUCACCCUUUUUUAAUAAAAAACGAAAAUGGUCAUUAAAUAUUUUAUUUAACAUCCGUUUAAUUAUUUAUUUUUAAUUGCUAACCAAACUUAUAUAUCUUUCAUUUCAUUUAUUAUUCAUUUUUAUGUGUAUUGAUUUGUAUGUAUUAUUUGUGCCUUUAUUUUCACUAUUUAUUUAUUCGUUAUUUUCAAAUAUUUUCAAAAUUUAGAUUCAUUAGUAUUAUGUUUAUUGUGAUUGUAUUAUUGUUAUUGUUACAUUAUUACUUGCAUUAUUAUUAUUCAUGUAUAUUAGCAUUAAGAUUUAUUAGUAUUAAUGUUAUAUGUGUAUUUUAUGAUGUAUAUUAUGUCAUAAUUAUUUCGAAUGUAUGUUGUAUUAUCGUUAUUAGUCGUGCACGACCCUUUUUCUGUUUUAAACAAUUUCUCCUUCAACACAAUCAAAAUUACACGAAUAUUAUCUUUAUAUAUUUUAUUAGUUCUUACUCAAAUUCAAAAAAAGGAAAAUUUUUAUAAAUAAGGCAAUAUUUUACGUUUGGAAAUUCGAGAAAACGUACUCUAACGUGCUAGGUUUCGAUUUCUCGUUUGACCAAAUAGCCAAGUAUCCUCUUAAAAUUUCAAAGUAUGGGUUUUGGAAACCAUAAGGUAAUUUUGGUUUCUAGGGUUUAAAGUAUCGUAUCCUAACGUGCUAGAUGUGAUAUUCUUUCGGAACAAGAGAAUCUUAAAUUCCAACCCAUAUUAUUUGAAAUUUUUUUUAGGAUUGUAAUUUUUAAAACUCUUCAAAGUUUUCAAUAUUCGACAUUAAGACACUAAUUAAUCAAUUAGGUAUCAAUUUUGGGCGUUACGAGGGUGCUAAUCCUUCCUUGUACAUAACCGACUCCCGAACCUGUUUUUCUGAAUUUCGUAGACCAAAAGCAUUGUUUUAAUAAAUCCAAACCAUUUAUUAAAAACAAUCGUUUUAUGAGGUGACCUGAUCACACCUCAUUAAAAAAGAUUGGUGGCGACUCCAAUGUUCGUUUUUACUUUCAAAUACCAAGUCGACCCCCUUUUAUAAAAAAAUGGUUUCGACAUUAUGAAUAUAUUUAUUCUAGGGUUACUAGUGCCCUUUUUAUAGGCUAAGAUUAGAGUUCUAAUAUUACUAAAAUAUCUAUAGAAUAAUCACAGUUUAACUAGGAAAAGUAACCCUCUUGAAAGUCUAAUAACACAGCUACUCUAAGUUAGAAUUUGUCGCGUUAUCACGACGUACCAAGCUCCCCGUUGUGACAUCGCCUCAGCUUUGCUCUUUUUCAAACAUUGUCGUGUCGUUGCGACAUCGCAUGAUUCCUCGUCGCAAUAUCACCCUUACUUUGACUCUGAUCCGACCCGAAAAUGUGAGACACAUUCCACAAUAUCUAAAUAUAUAUUGAAUUUAAAAAUAAUUGUACAAAGGAUAUGUAAUCCUUGAAGAUUAGAUACAAGUAAUUACCAUUUUAUAUUAAAAGUUAGAAAUAUAAAUUAAAUAUUCUAAACUUUUUUUUAUGUGAAUAAGUCAUGUGUUGAUAUAUUUUAUUGCUCUUGAAUAGAAUUGAAGAGUUUGAAAAACUUGAAGACGUUAGAUUUAAGCUUCAAUGGAAUCAGAAGCCUCCGGCACUUUCAAGGUAUAUCUAACUUUGAUAUUUUAUAUACAAUCAACUAAGUCCUAUAAAAAUAUAUUUAUGAACAAGUUAAAAUGAAUGCUUGAAACAAAUAAUUAUUAUUUGAUAUUAUACAAACAAAUUCUCCUUGAAAUUGUAUUACAUAAGUAUUUUACAGAUGAGAAAUUGCAACCCAUGAUGAGUUUGGAAGUGCUUGAUUUGGAUGGUAAUUUCUUGAAGAACAAUGAUUAUCAAGUUUAAAGUCUUUGAUUAUUAGCCAUAACGAAUUGGAAAUUUUCAUAAAAUAAAAAUAACAAGCUAUAUGUAAAUUACAAUUUCAUCAACCUUUUUUAACUGUUAAAAGAAUUAUAUCCAAAUAUAUUCGUUCUUUUGGUAUUUAGCUUUUUAGGUUGUAAACUAAAGUCAUAAUGAUUUUUUGUCCUCCAAUUUUAAAAACAAAAAAUCAUUUUACCUCUCAAUUUAAUUUUUCAUCUCUUCUAGUCAUUAAACUUCAAUUUUUUUUUGUCAAAUCACCCCAAAAUGAAAAGAAAAGUUAAUAUUUGUUAAUUUUGCUAAUGUGACAUAUAUGUGAAUUGUCAUAUAGAUGACAUAUCAACAUUUAAUUAAUUUUUAAAAUUUAAGUAUUUUUUAAAUAUUUUUUAUUUUUUGAAAUUUAUUUAAAAAAUUAAAUAUUGAUGGAUCAUCCACGUGACAAUCCACAUGUAUGCAAUAUCAACAAAAUUAAAAAAAAUUGUUAAAUUUUCUAUUCAUUUUAGGAUGACUUGAUGAACAUAAGUUUAAGAGAUUAAAAAUCAAAAAAUUAAAUGAAAACCUUUUUUAAGUUAAAAAGAGUUAAAUAAAUUAUUAAUAACUAAAAUAAAAUGUUUUUAAUAAUUUUUUUAUGGAGAAAAGUAGUUGAAUUGCAUGAACCAAAAUUACUGAUUUUUUGUGAUAUAACUUUGUUUGACUGACAAAAAGGGUAUUUGAUUUAUUUGAAUAGCAUUCAAUAAUCUCACAAAAUUGAAGAAGUUGGAUAUGAGUCGCAAUUAUGUUGAGAGACUUGGUAAGUGUCCAUAUAUUUUACUUUAUCAAAUUGCUACAUUUAUUAUACUAAUAUCUAAAUGCUUUGUAGAUGAGGAAAGGUAUAAUUUGACGAAUUUAGAAGUGCUUAAUUUGAAUUACAACUCUUUCGGAAAAAGCUCAUUGGCACAGCUUAGUGGGUUUUCCAAUCUAAAGGAAUUGAGUAUGCAACAAAACCAGGUGCAAUUAUUUAAUAUAUUUAAUUUUCCUUUAAACAAAAUUAACUAUUUAUUAAGUUAUAUUUAUUCUCUAUGAUUUACUUUUAAAUUUUAUUUGUCGACUUUUAGAGAUUGAACAAUUUAGAGAAGCUAAACAUUAGAUAUCUAAUGAACUGAUGUCAACCACUAAUUUGACUCUCAAAAAUGGAAGUUUAGAAAAGCAUUUUAGUAGUUCUUUUAAGAAAAAAAUUAUGUCUAAAUAUAUAAUGAGUUUAAAAAUAAUUGUAUUAAAAUCUGUAAUCGUUGAGGAUUAGAUACAAGUAAUUGCGACUUUAAUAUUAAAAGUUGGAAAUAUGUUGUUAUUUUAAAAUUAAAUGUCCUAUAUUAAUUAUUUUUAUAUGAAUAAGCCUUGUGUUGAUAUUUGAUAUAUUUCAUUGCUCUUGAAUAGAAUUGAAGAGUUUGACAAAGUUGAAGACGUUAGAUUUAAGUGGCAAUAGAAUUGAAAGCCUCAAGCACUUUCAAGGUAUACUUAAAUUUGAUUUUCUUUAUACAAUCAACUAAGUCUUUAAGGCGUUGACCUUAUAUAUUUAUAAACAAGUCAAAGAUGCAACUUUGAGAUAAAUAAUUAUUCAUUGAUAUUAUACAAAUAAUUUUUUUCUCGAAAUUGUAUCACAUAAAUCUUUUACAUUUAUUAAAAGAGAGAACCGAAACAAACUACUUGUUCAGUUAUUAUAUUUAUUUUAUGUGAUUUAAUUAUAAAUUUUAUUUUUCGAUAUUCACAUAAUUAUCAUAUGCUUUGAGUAAAUUAGAGUCAUUGAGAAAAAUAUUUUAAAUUUAAAAAAAAUGUAUAAAAUUUAUAUUUUAUCUCUUAAAUAAUUUAAAUAAUAAUAAUUUUUAUAGAUUAAAAUUAAUAUACUAUCUCUUUUGAAAUAAUAUAAAAAUUAUAUUAAUAUAUAAAAAAUAAAUUAUAAAUUGAAAACUUAUCUCUUAAAUAUAUAAAGUAAAAUAUAUGUACCAAAAUAAUAGGAUUUCAAUUUUAAUUUUUUUUCUAUGUGUUAUCAAUUCUUUAAAACAUUUGACUAUUAAGUUCAAAAAAUUUUAUUUUAAUUAAUACUUGUGCAUUUCACGGAAAAAAAACUAGUUAAUAUAUAUAACCAGCUUUGUAGAUGUGGAAUUACUUAUUUUACAUUCUAUAAAUAUAGCAGCACCUAUAUAAAGUAUACAGUACGCCUUUUAUUAAAUUAGUUCUUUAUAAUAAUUUGUUGUCUUAAAUUUUAGCCUAAUAAAUUCUAUUUCUAAGUGAAAUAAAAUUAAUAAAUUUUAAUUAAGAUAUUAUUUCAAUAAAAUAUUUAAAUUUCAUAUAAAAUAUAUUAAUUAUAUUUUAUUAAAUAAAAAUAGUUUUUAAUAAAUGAAGUUACAUUAGUAAAUUUUAUUAAAGAUACAAUUUAAAUCUCAUUAAUUAAUUUUUAUUAAUAUAUUUUAGUUUUUUUAAUUUAAAAAUUAAAAUAUGAUCUAAAUAUUAAAUGUUGUUAUAAGUGUAUAAUAAUUACUUAUCUAUAACAUCCAAUAGUGGCAAUAUAAAAGUUGAAUAUAAGUGAAUUUUUGUGACUAACAAAAAAUGUAUUGAAUUUAUUUGGAUAGUAUUGAAUAAUUUGACAAAGCUAAAGCAGUUGGAUUUGAGUGGCAAUAAAAUUGAGAGCCUCCAAUCUUCUCAUGGUAUGUGUUGAGAUGUUUUACUUUAUCAUAUUCUUACAUAUACAUACCACUAUCUUAUUUAAUAUUCCAUUAGUAAUAAAUUUGUUUAUCUCAAUGCUUUGUAGAUGGUGAGAGGCCACUUAAUUUAACCAAUUUAGAAGAGCUUAAUUUGGAUUUCAACUCCUUCACAAACAGCUUAUUGGCACAACUUAGUGGGUUUUCCAAUCUAAAGUCACUGAAUAUAAGGAAUAACCAGCUUAAAGGAUCAAUAAAUAUUAAAGGUGGAAUUACUUAAUAUAUUUAAUCUUCCUUUAAAUGAAAUAAACUACUUGUUGAGUUAUUGCAUUUAUUCUAUGUGAUUUAAUUUUAAAUUUUGUUUGUCAAUUUUUACAGAAUUAUUAGAUGCUUUAAGCAACUUAGAGGAGCUAGACAUGAGCGAGAAUGAGGUGAAGGAAAUUGUGCCCAUAAAGAAUAAAGGUUUAUGUAUCAACUAAAGGAAAUCUUACUAAUUGUUUUCCAUUAGAUAUCUAGUGAACUGAUGCCAACCACUAAUUUGACUCUUAGACAAUGGAAGUUUGAGAAAGCUAAAGGUUGCUUCAUUAAACCGUGUGUUCACCGAUGGAACUGCUUCUCUAAUACAGCUUCUAGAGACAUUCUCAUCUGUUAAUACAUUAUAUUUGAGUGGCAAUUACUUCAAAGACACAUUUUCUACUCAAGUUAUAAUAUAUAUGUAUGUGAAUAUAUAGUUUUAUAGUUUGGUCCCAUUUAAAAAUAUUAUUUACUUAACGUAAAUCAUCUAAAUAACGCUUAUAAAUUUGUAAAGAUCAACUGCAUGUAUCGAGCAAAAUAGAGGAAUUGGUGCUGGAUUAUUCAUCUCUCAGCAACAACAUUCUUCAAAGCUUUGGUGGACUGGCUUCUCUCAAAGCCUUGUAUUUAGGUUCCUGUGGGUUGUCUGGGACAUUACAUACCCAAGGUAUAUUAAUAAUUAUGACAUAAUUAUUUAGGCAGUCUCUUGAUUAAUUAUUUUUUUAUCCUCUUAGAAAAUUGGAGUAACUUGCACAAAUUUAUUUUAUAGGAUGGUGUGAUUUACGGAAGCUUGAGACGUUGGAUCUUAGUGAAAAUUCUCUUGGGGGAGCACUCCCUUCAUGUUUGGAAAACUUGUCAUCUCUUCGUUAUUUGGAUAUUUCCGGUAAUCAAUUCAUCGGAAAAGGUGCCUCCACCGCUCUAGCCAAUCUCACAUCGCUUAGAUUCAUGUUUCUUUCACGAAAUCUAUUCGAAGUUCCAUCAAUUUUCAUGUCAUUUGCCAACCACUUACACCUCAAAGUCCUCUUUAGCGAUCAAAACAAGUUAGUCAGAGAGCCUACCAUUCAAACAUGGGUCCCAAAGUUCCAACUAAAAGCCUUCCUUUUCUCGAAUUGCACAACAAAGGAACUCCACAUUGAAAUUCCAAAAUUCCUCUACUACCAAAAUGAUCUGAGUAUGGUUGAUCUUUCAUACAAUAAUUUUUUAGGGAAGUUUCCUUUUUGGUUGUUAGAGAACAAUACAAGAAUGGGAGCAUUUUUAAUGAAGGGUAACUCUUUUAUGGGCCAUCUCAAUCUUCCAUCUCAUCCGAAACCAAAAAUGUCCCUUGUUGAUAUAUCUGACAACAAACUAGAAGGUCCAAUUCUAGCAAGCAUUUGUUCAAUCUUUCCACAACUAAAUGGGUUAAACCUAUCAGACAAUUUCUUUCAAGGAAAUAUUCCUCCUUGUUUAGGUAGUUUGAACACUACAUAUUUAAUAUUAGAUCUGUCACAUAAUCAUCUAUCUGGCGGAAUACCAGAAAUGUUAGCUCAAAGUGACUCGUUGGAGCUUCUUAGGUUAUCAAAUAAUGAUCUAAGUGGGAAGAUAGCCCCAACGAUCUUUUGCUCAUCUUCAUUACAAUUUUUAUAUUUAGAUGGCAAUAAGUUUGAUGGAAAUAUACCUGACAUUGAUAUCUCAACUUGUCAUCCGUAUCCUCUUAGUGAUAUGGAUUUAAGUAACAACAAUUUGUCUGGAGAGCUCCCAAGAUGGAUAUGGAAUAUGUCAUCUUUAAAUGCAUUAUUAGUAUCCAACAAUCAGCUCAAGGGUCUUAUUCCGAAGGAAUUGUGCCAUUAUUCCCUUCAAAUUUUGGACCUUUCAAAAAACAAUUUUUUUGGCCCAAUACCAUCUUGCUUCAAUGUACACAGUAUCAAACAUCUCCAUUUGAGCAAAAAUAGGUUAAGUGGUACCUUGACAAAUGCAUUCUUUAAUAGCUCUUCCUUGGUGACUUUAGAUCUUAGUGAAAACCAGUUGACUGGUGAAAUUCCAUACUGGAUUGGAAAUCUUUCAACUUUGAGUGUUCUCCUUCUAAAAGCCAAUUAUUUUAUUGGAGAAAUUCCCAUUAAGAUAUGUAAAUUGUAUUCAUUAAGCAUCAUUGAUCUUUCUCAAAACAAGUUUUCUGGUCUGAUACCUUCGUGUUUGAGUCGUUUAACUCUUGAGCCAAAUGAUAAAAAUCUUCGACAAUAACCUAUGGGUUGGAUUUUGAUGGAAUCUUGGAGGGAGCUAAUUAUAUUGGAAUGACCAGAUUGGAUUUGUCCGAUUUUGGAUUCAAUCUACAUUUCUUUAUUGAGAAUCUAGAAGAAAAGGUGGAUUAUACAACAAAGGGAGCAUCUCGCACAUACAAAGGAAACAUUCUUGAGUACAUGUCUGGAAUUGAUUUAUCAUGUAAUAGAUUAACAGGUGAAAUUCCCAGAGAGAUUGGAAAUUUGAGUGAAAUCCGAUCACUAAACUUGUCGCACAACAAUUUGACUGGAUAUAUACCGUCAACGUUCUCAAAGCUCAAGCAAAUUGAGAGUUUGGACCUGUCUCACAACAACUUAAUUGGAAGAAUACCUGUUCAAUUGACGGAGUUGUACGCCUUAGCAAUCUUCAAUGUGUCAUACAACAACUUGUCAGGGAGUAUUCCGUCUCCGAAAUUUCAAUUUGGAACCUUCGACGAAAGCAGUUACGUGGCGAAUCCUUUCCUCUGCGGGUCUCCCCUGCAUAAAAAUUGUAGCAACCUUGAUUCACUCCCGACAGCAGCACCAAAGAGCUCAAACGAGGAAGAAGAAAGUGGUUUGAUGGACAAGUAUGUUUUCUGGGUGACCUUUUUUGUUUCUUACGUAAUUGUGUUACUGGUUAUUGUUCUCAUCCUGUACAUAAAUCCUUAUUGGCGACAAGCAUGGUUCUCUUUUGUUGAACACUGCAUCAAGACCUGCCAGUAUUUUAUUGAGGACAAUCUUCUAUGAUUUUCCAUCUUCAAAAGAAGCGGGUAGCCUUGUGCUUUGGUGGUUUACAUCUGUAUGUAAAUUUUUUCAUGUGUUUCUAUUUUUCAAAGUUUGAUUGGGUUAUCUGCUUUUAAGUUUUUAGAGGUAGAAUACAAUAGCUCUGUGAUGUAAUAAUUGCCAGUUUAGUAUAAGAAAACAAUAUAUAAAACUAUGCAUUUUCAGUUAAAACAUUUAAUAUUGCUUUAUAAAUUUUAGUGUUGUGAUAGUAUAAUGUUAAAUUCAAUAUAUGUUUCCUUUUCCAUGAUUACGUAAAAGCGAAAUAUACAAAUCAUAUUAUAUUAAUAUAAUCCACAUUCUUUAAAUCAUAUGCUCAAUUGAAACUUAUAUAUAUAUAUUAUCAAACAUGAAUGAUAUAAACAGUCUUCGAAAAAAGUAUGAUUUUCAUGUUUAGUUAUUAUUAUUUAAUAUUUAAUUGUUUUACUAUUAUUUGAUAUCAAUAAUAUUUAUAUGUUUGUGAAUGUUGUUUGUUAUUGUCUCGUGAAAUAUUAUGUUAAAGAUAAAAGAAGUACUAAGUAAUAGUUCUUUUUAGGUGAAAUUUUGACUCAAGUUUGAAUGGUGAGUUAUUUUAUCUAAUUACUUACGUUUGGAUAGCAUAAAGUAAUUAAAUGGCACUUUUGUAAUUACAAAGAUUGUACUUGAUAGAUGAAAGAACUAGGUAAAGGAAGAAAAUAACUAUCCAAACAGAAAGAAGCAGAGAGUGAAAUAAUAGAAUAAACUUCUUGUUGUUUAUUCAAAUUUGCCUACCUCUUAAUUCUUAAUGUACAGUAUAUAAAGACUUUCUGAAUUAAGUAACAACCUCACUAACUGACUAACUACUUCUAUUCUCUAAUAUUCAUCCAUAUUCUCUAUAGGCAAGACCCGUAGAAAACUCCAAAAACGAGUAAAACUCGAUGACGAAAUUGGCUUAGUGAGAACAUCAGCGACCUGAUCACACGCUGGAACUUCUCCAACAGCAACCGUGCCAUCAGCAACCUUUUCACGAACAAAAAAUAAAUCUAACUCAACAUGCUUAAACUUUGAAUGAAGAACAGGAUUUGCAGCAACUGCAACCGCCCCAGGACUGUCACACCAAAUUUGAGGAACACUAUUAGACUGAACAUGUAAUUCUUUAAGUAGCAACAAAAGCCACGUAACCUCACUAGUAACUGCAGCAAGACUUCGGUAUUCUGCCUCAGCAGUAGACCGAGCAACAACCUGUUGUUUCUUCGUACACCAUGACACAGGUGUAUGUCCGAAAUAAACACAGUAUCCAGUAGUAGACCUCCGGUCAUCAAAAUCUAAUCCCCAGUUGCAUCAGCAUAUCCAACUAAGGACAAACUAGUGGAUGGACGAAACACAAUUCCAAAAUCAAUCGUACCACCUAAAUACCUCAAAAUGCGCUUCAGGGCAGUCAUAUGAAUGGAAGUAGGACAAUGCAUAAAUUGACAUAUUCGAUUAACAGCAUAGGCAACAUCAGGCCGCGUAAGAGUGACAUACUGUAAUGCUCCUGCAAGACUCCUGUAUUCAGUCGGAUCCUGUAGCCGCUCACCACCAUCGCGAGUCAUAACAGAGGAACUAACCAUCGGUGUAUGAACACUCUUCGUAUUCUCCAUCGAACAACGUAUAAGAAUAUCACGUAUAUACUUCUUCUGACAAAGAUGAAGGCAACCUGACGAAGAACGAUUAACCUCUAUCCCAAGAAAAUAAUGAAGAUCACCCAUGUCCUUAAGCGAGAACUCACUAUUCAGCAAAUUAACAAACCACUCUAUGACAGAAGGCAUAUCUCCAGUAAUAAUAAUAUUAUCAACGUACACAAGCACAUAUAAUGUUGACGCUGGUACAACUCGAACAAACAAGGAAGCAUCAGACUUUGAAACUACAAACCCCACGGAGACUAGAAAUCCUUUUAGCCUUUCAAACCAGGCACGAGGAGCCUGACGAAGACCAUACAACGCUUUCUUCAAGCGACACACCAAAGGUCUGCCAUCUGAGCCAUAUUGAACAUAACCGGGAGGUUGAUGCAUAAAAACUUCAGUGUCAAGGUCACCAUUUAGAAACGCAUUAUUCACAUCCACUUGUCGAAGCGACCACCCCCUAGACACAGCAAUAGACAAAAUAACUCUGAUAGUAGCCGGUUUGACCACUGGACUAAACAUUUCCUUAAAAUCACAACCCGGAACUUGAGAGCAACCUUUUGUAACUAAUCGAGCCUUAUAUCGAGCAAUAGUGCCAUCAGAAUUCUUCUUGAUUCGGAACAACCAUUUGCACCCAAUGACCUUACGAUUAUAUGGAGCAGGAACGAGCUCCCAUGUGGAAUUACGCAUAAGAGCAUUAUACUCAUCUUGCGUAGCAGUGCGCCACUCAACAGUAGCCAGAGCUUCUUCAAUUGUAGUCGGUUCAACAGCUUCAACACUUAAAACCUUAGGCUUGUAAACCCCUGCUUUAGCGUGAGUAACCAUUGGGUGAGUAUUGCCCACAGCUGUCCUAUUAAUCUGACUAGACAGUCCCAUAUUAGACGAAGAGAGAGCAUUGGUAUCACUGGAGAAUCCUGAGCCAUGCUCUGAUGGAAGAUCACUCAACUCAGUUCCAUCAUUAGCUGAAUAAUCAUGAGCUGGAAGACUACCCAACCCAGUCCUAACAUCAGUUGAAGGAUCAUGAAACUGGGGCUGCUCCACACUAACAUCUAAUACAGGAUCAGUAGGCUGAGACGACACCCCUUGUACCGACGGUGUCAUCAUGCAUGGCUCAAGAGUCGAGGAUGAAGGUGGCCACACAAGAGGAACAACUGUCGAACUAGUCUGACCGGUUGUUGAUACAGACUUGUCUGAACUAGUCUCGGUAAACAAAAACCUCUGCUCAUCAAAGACCACAUGCCUUGAAAUUAUAACCUUACCAUCUGGUAAAAGACAUUGAUACCCCUUGUGACGAGGACUGUAGCCCAAAAAAGUUGACGGCUGAGACCGAAAUUCCAACUUACGACCUACAAACGGACGUAAGUAAGGAUAACAACAGCAACCAAACACUCGAAGAUGAUCAUAGGUCGGAUCACUUCCAUACAGUUCUUUAAACGGAGAACUAUCCUGAAGUACAACCGUGGGAAGUCGAUUUAUGAGAUGAACCGCACAACAAAACGCAUACCCCCAGUAUUCCAUAGGCAAAUUUGCAUGAGCCAACAACGUAAUCCCCAUUUCAACAAUGUGACGAUGUUUUCGCUCGGCUACUCCAUUUUGUUCUGAAGUAUACGGACAGGUCAGUCGAUGAAUGAUCCCCUGAGAUUCUAAGACAGACGUAAACCCACGAUAUUCACCUCCCCAAUCGCUCUGAAACUGCUUAAUAGACUUGCCAAACUGUGUCUUAAUCAACUGUUGAAACUGAGUAAAACAUUCAAGUGCUUGAGCUUUUUGACGUAAAAGAUAAACCCAAGUAAACCUGGUACACAUAUCAAUAAACGAAACAUAAUAUCUCUUAUCACCACAUGCAACAGGUGCAGGACCCCAAAGAUCAGACACAACCAAUUCAAAAGGACGAUAGCUAGUAGUCGAAUGGGAGAAAGGCAACUUAUGUGACCUGCCUUUUUGACACGCAGUACAUAUACCAUCCAGACCAAUUUUAUUUGAAACAACAUUACAUUUAUUUAGAAUAUUUUUGACCACAGAAGUCGACGGGUGGCCUAAACGAUUAUGCCAUAAAGUAAAUACAGAAGUAGUUGAAACUGUAUGUGGAACUUGAGAAUGAGCAACAAACGGAGUAGUCGUAGGCAACGUAGAAACCGCUGGGACAGAAAACUGAUAUAGACCAUCAUGAAUGCGGCCCGUCAGCAAUAUCUCCUGAGUCAUCGUAUCCUUAAUAACACAAUAGGUAGGGUGAAACUCAAAAAACACAUCAUUAUCACGAGCAAACUAUGAGACAGAUAAGAGAUUUUUCCGUAUACGUGGCACACAUAAAACAUUUGAUAACCGUAACGAUUUAUCUUGAGUAGGUAAAAUGGCCGUACCAAUUGAUGAAAUUAUCGUAGGAGUACCAUCACCCAUUAAAAGAGAUGACUUACCUGAGUAUGGCGUGACAUUACGUAAAGCUGACAUAUCACGACAGACAUGAUGACUCGCUCCCGAGUCAGGAUACCAAGACGUGGUGCCACUGCACACUGGAAUGUACGAAUCAUCAUUACCAGUACUAGAUGCAAGCUGAGCCGUAUUAACAUGAGAAUCUGAUACUGAAGGAUCAGAAUAAUUAGACGCAUGUAAAUCCCCUAGCCGUGGAAGCCCAAUACAUGGAUUAGAUUCGGUAUAGACCCGAGCACGCGGUUUAGUAAAUUUCAGAACCGGACCACCAACACCUAGUCCAUCACCAAUCGGUUCAGGCGAGCCGGGAUCAUCUUGAUCAAGUUGAACAAAAUUAGAGGAUGGUACAAUAUUCGGCCCAGCAUUAAACUGAACAUUCAGUCCAUGAGAAGAGUGUUGAACAUUCGGUCCAUCAUUAAACUGGACAUUUUGUCCAUGGGAUUUGUUUCCACUAGAACCGCGCCACUGUCCAUUUCCAGUAGUGAACCCGUGUAAAGUGUCUCCACUAUACCCUUGCCCAGCAUCAUGACCGAAUUUAGACAAGCUGGGCUUGUAGGCAUCAUUUUGUGCAUUGGACACAUGUGGCCCACGUGGUAAUGGCCUAUUUUGCAUGCCAGCACACACAUUUUGACUAACAUAUCUAUUUUGACCAGCAUGACUCCCUUGACCAUAAAAAAUUCUUUGACUAUUCUGAUGAGGAGCAACCAUCUGUUCAUCACCAUUUUGCACAAAAGUUCCAGAAUCACAACCUUCAACACCAGACAUUUCAUUUGAGUCUCGGUGAUACCGAUAAUAGCACUUUUGAGCCACAUGACCAAACCGACUACAGAUCUGGCAUUGAACACAAGAUCUGAUAAACCGGCCACGACCACGAACAGACGCACGACCUCCACGACCGGCCCCUUCUACCGAUGGCUCAUUUUCAACAAGAUUCGCGUUCAAACUGACCUCCUGCAACACUCGAUCUUGACGACUCUCACAAUCGACUAGCGCAUCCACCAGACGUUGCAACGGUAGAACUACAGGCGACAAACGAGUAGAGGAGAUAACCGCCUCAAACUCCGACGGCAAACCCGCAAGCACCACUUCGAUCUUUUCUUCAUCGGAGAUACGAGAGCCAGAAGCAUCUAGCAUACCACAUAAAUCUUUAAUCCGAGCAACAUAAGCCUUAAUCGAAAGAUUACCUUUCUUCAACGAGUGAAGUUCAUGCCGAAUCCUCGACUGCUUGGCGCCCGUAUCAACUGCAAAAAGAUUACCGACCAUGCUCCAUAUGUCGCACGCCGUGCAAGCAUCAUCAAAGGAGGAUUGAUGAGAGGAAGUUACAGUAGACAGAAGCCAGGACAUUAGCAGUUGAUCUUGCUGCGUAAAGACUUGAGCCGCCGGAUUUGGAGCACGAGAUCCACCGGGUAGAGCGAUGAAUCGCAACGGCGGAGCAACAGUGCCAUCUAAAAAACCUGCGAGUCCAUAGCCAUUAACAAUCAGCUUUACCUGUUUACGCCAUUGAAGGUAAGUACCUUCAUCGAGUUUGACCACUUCAUGUCGAGGAAAAACUGUUGUGACUCGAUCGGCAGCAAAUACACCGGAGCUAGGUUCACCAGACGCUGAAUCAGCGGAAGCCAUGAGAAGCAAUGACCAGAAUCACUUGGCGAAUGAUACCAUGAAAGAACUAGGUAAAGGAAGAAAAUAACUAUCCAAACAGAAAGAAGCAGAAAGUGAAAUAAUAGAAUAAACUUCUUGUUGUUUAUUCAAAUUUGCCUACCUCUUAAUUCUUAAUGUACAGUAUAUAAAGACUAUCUGAAUUGAGUAACAACCUCACUAACUGACUAACUACUUCUAUUCUCUAAUAAUAGACGUGUUUGAGUGACACAAUUCCCUAUGUCAUGUUUGUUAAUAUAAAUUGUAAUUACAUAGUUACAUUAUAAAAUUUUUGGUGUUAAAUUUCGCAAAAUUCUGAUAAAAUAGUGAGGUUAACUGAGAAGCGAAUUUAUUAUUUUUGGAGCUUGUUAUUAUUUUUGAAAUUUUUAGUUAUUAAUGGGUAAUGAUGUCGACUAAGAAUCGAAUUGGCCCAAGGGACUAAAUUGAAAGAGGAGUGAAAAGGGAAAGUUUUUAAGUACUAAUAAGCCCAAGGGCUUAAUGGCCAAUUGGCCAUAGUCUUUUAAAGCACUAAAAAUCACGUCCUUUCUAGCCCUUAUUUUCAACUUCUCUCUUUGGCCGUCUGUCUACACUUGCACCGUUGAAAUCCCUUCAAAUCCUCGCCACUUUGUGUCUAAAUACCAUCAUCGAUUGCCACCACUGAUAUCAGCUGCAAUUGCUCUAAUUCACUGCGGACAAUUGCCUUAAUUUGUAGAUGCUCAUUAUUCACAUUAAAGUUUAUUUCUCUAAUGGAAUUGAUGCUAUGGUUAGUCUUAUUUUCAAAGAUGAUUAAGUUUCAUUUGAUUAGAAUUAGUUGGAAUAUGUGCGGUUAACUUCUAAUUAAAAUUAUUUAGUUUAAGAUUCAUUAAUAAAUUAUUUUUACCGUGGUUUCUUUGAUUUAUUGCUGUAAUUUUUUGUUUACUUUUAUUUGUUGUCAAAGGGUAAAUUAUCUGAUACUUUUACAAUGAACUUAGAAUUAUUUUUGAUGAAUUCGAAGCGAAAAACUAGAUAAUUCGAUGAAAGUGAAGCUGGUUGUGAAUUAAUUGCUCCUAAGCUACAAACACUAAGAAAUUCAGUUUGUUACCUUUACGUUUUAAAAUAUCUUAAUGUUGUUAAAUUAUUAGCUUUGUUGUGAUUCUUGCAUGUAAAAUUUUACUUGUGUAGUUGUUUAUUAAAUUGUUUUUAAUGAUGGCUCCUAUUGUUAAAUUGAUAUUCUUUAUUAAUUGAUUAUUUUCCGAAAAUUAUUGUUAAAAGUACGAAUUUAAUAAUUGACUAAAUACUUGAUAAAGUUAGUUGGAAAUUCUUCGGAUAUAAUUAGCAUGUUGUAGAGUGUAGAGGUCUCCAUCAUUGUUUGUUGUUCAUUGUGUGGAUUGCCUUAAGCAUAUGGGAGUAUUGUCAUUGUUGCCUCUUUGCGCAUAUAGUGUGAUGGUAGGUCAUUGAUUAAGUUGCAUUUAUUACGCAAUGCAGUACUGUCAUUGUUGACGCUUGUGCCAUUUUCAUUGACCGUUUGGUGUUUGGUUGGACACUCUUUUGUCCGAAUGUCUUUCCUUCUUGUGUUACUUAGGCAAAAUAAUUAAAUGAACUUAAACAUUAAAUUGAAACACUAUCAUUAUUUAUUGAAUGUAUUGCUAAUGUUUCAUUGUUAUUUUAAAUUGCUACCUUGUGACUGACUUGUGAUUGUAUUGUGUCUUUGAAAAUUAUUUUAAUUAUACACUUUGGUAGUUUAAAAUGUAUUGGAUUACUACUAAGCUGUAAAAAGGCAUAGCACUUGGGUUUUUAAUUUCUUGUGCAAGUAAUAUUUGGAUCGCAUAGUUUGUGAUAUCGUGAUCGAGCAACAUCACCAAAGAGUUUAGCAUGUACUUAGGUGUUGUUAAAUUGGUCAACUUGUUUACUUUAGUUUUAUUUUAGAGCUUAUUGAUUGAUUGAGCAUUGUUAAAUUAUUUUAUUAUUUGACUUUACACUAAUGUUUAAAUUUUAUGAUUUUAUGUGAAAAUGAUUGAAUGAUUGAUUAUUUGGGUCGCUCAGGUGACCGUUGUGACACUUUCGAUCCAAUUGAACUUUUGAGUCGGGUUUGAGGUGUUACAAACAUAAUUUAUAUUUUUUAAAAAAUAUUAAUUAGUAUAAAAAUUAUUAGUAUGAUCAAAAAUAAUUUCUAAACAAAUUGUCAAAACCAUUUUUUUGUAAAACGGGGGUCGACUUUUAUUUUGAAAACGAAAACGAACACAGGAGUCGCCACCAAUCCUUUUUGAUGAGGUGUGAUCGGGUCACCUCGAAAAGUUUUUAAUAAACGAUUUGCUUUUAUUAAAAUAACGAUUUUUGGUCCACGAAAUAAAAAAAAAACGGGUUCGGGAGUCGGUUACGUACGAGGAAGGAUUAACACCCUCGUAAUGCCCAUAAUUGGUACCUAGUUGAUUAAUUAGUGUCUUAGUGUCGAAGAUUGAAAACUUUGAAGAGUUUUUAAAAAUACGAUCCUUAAAAAAAUCGAAUAACAUGGGUUGGAAUUUAGGAUUCUCUUGUUCCGAAGGAAUAUCACAUCCAGCACGUUAGGAUACAACACUUUAAACCCUCGAAACCAAGAUUACCUUAUGGUGUCCAAAACCCAUACUUUGAAAUUUUAAGAGGAUAUUUGACUAUUUGGUCGAACGAGAAAUCGAAAUCCAGCACGUUAGGGCACGUUUUCUCGAAUUUCCAAACGCAAAAUAUUGCCUUAUUUUUAAAAUUUUCUUUUUUACAAAUUUGGGUAAAAUUAAUGUAAUAGUUAAUAAGAUGUACUUUUAAUAUAUGCGAACAUGGUGUGAAGGUGAAAAAUUUUUUUUACGCAAUAUAUAGUACAAUAAUAAUGAAAUAACAUAAAAUAACCAUAUUAGUAGAAUAUUUAAAAAGUAAAUAAUAAAUAAUGGAAUACAAUAAUAAUGACGUAAUUAUAAUAAUAACACCAAAUAAUAAUAACAAUAAUCAUAUUAGUUACUAUUCUAAUACUAAAAAAAUAUAAAAAUGAAAUAAACACUAAUAAUGAUGAUGAUAAUAAUAAUAGUGAUAAUGAUAAUGAAAUGUAUAAAUAAAGGAAUAAAUAACAAUAUAAAUACUAAAUCAAGAAUAGUAAGGAAAUGGAUAAAUGAAUAUGUAUAAAUAAAUAAAACUGAACGAAAAAGAAUAAAUAAAUAAAUAAAAGCUUGAAAUUAAGCGAAUAAAGGAAUAAAUUGAGGUUAAAAUAAAAUUUUAAGUCUAGAUUAUAAUAAAAUGGAUGGAUAAACGUAAAAGGGACUGGAUCAAAUUUUGAAUGGAAUUUAAAGGUAUAAAUCGGAAUAAAAAAAUGACGUAAAGGACCACAUUGAAAAGCGCGAAUAACAUAGAGGGGCCAAAUGGGAAAAUAUUCCCGCCCUUCAAAACGCAUCACUUUACACGGGGCUAAAAUGCAAUAAAAGCAAAAUUCUAGGGCAAGAUCAAAAAAAGAACACAAAAAAAUUCAAAUUGAAGCGGGCCGAGGAAGCGGAAAGACUGAACAAGUAAAUAUCCCUUCCACUUAAAAAAACACGCGGAUCCUUAUCCUGGAGCGGGUUGGGUCAACCCAUUUCGCAUCAAAACGACGCCGUUUUGAUAAGUUAUAUAAACCAAAUUUUUACCAAAAGUUUUAUUUUGCCCAUUAUUUUAAAAAAAACUUUAAAAAUCUUUCAAAAUUUCUCUCAAGCCUUCCCGCGUCUGGCCAUAACUCCGACCAGUCGUCACCGUACCGUAACCUUAUCCUUUCGACCCUCCUAAAUCCAAAUCUGGGUUCAAAAUUCCCAAAAUAUUAACAAAAAUACCUCAAAAGCUCAAGAAACCUUUCGAUUUUCGGUCACCUAUCCUCAGAGGUGACUUCCUCAGCCAUCCACGGUGUUGAAAAACUCGAAUACAGGUUAGUUUGUUACUCCCUUUUCAUUUUGUUUUACUUUCGUAUGUGUAAAUAUGAUAAAAAUAAAAUAACAGUAGACCAAAAAUGAAACGAAGAUUUAGAAAAUAGCAGUAGAUGUAAACCUUUCGGGAUUUUUCUAAUUAUUUUGAGUUUUUCGAGUAUUCGAUCCCUUUUUUUAUUACAUUGAUUGAUGGGGCCUUUUAUAGCCGAUUUACAUGCUAUUUUUUGUUUGCUUUCGCUUUUGUUCUUGUUGAUUCUGUGUCUGUCUCUUUUUUGUUCUGUUUGCAGGUCUUGGCAAGGUCAACAGAUGUUGAAGGGAUAACCCCUGCCAUUUUCGUACAAGGCUGUAGACGCCUGUCAGGCUUCGGGCGACGAGUGCGCUAUAGGGGCACGAAGAGGGAGUGCGGCACACAUGGAGCACUAGGGUUUCUGUUUUCCUCUGAAAGCAGUUAGGUUGUGGGCUGAAUUGGGUUAGGUUUUCUUUUUUAUUUUGGGCCAUACCAGGCCUGGCAUGUAAUUAGGGUUUGGGUUUGUUAUUUGAGUUUUGGGCCCGGUCAAAAAUGGCCUAUUACAGCUGCCUAUCUUUGCUUAUUGUCGUGUAACGGGAAUGAAACAAAGACUUUAAAAGGGCCAAUUUUGCCCGGUCUUGCCGAGUCUUGACUCCUUUUAGUGUUUCUCUUUUCAAGUAGCUUCACUCUAUUCCACUGUGUCUUGUUGCUUCAAUACACUCCACUGUAACUUCAAAAAGAGAUACGACUUGUAGCUUCAAUCUACUCUGCCAUAAUUUCAGAAGGAUGAGAUUUAUGGUUUUAGUCUGCUCCACUAUAACGUCAGGGAGAUAAGACUUGUUGCUUCAACCUACUCUACUGCGACUUCAAGGAGAUAAGGUCUGUUAUGGUAGACUUAAUCUGACCUACUGCAACUUCAGAGGUAUAUGAUUCAUCGUUUUAAUCCGCUCCACUUCAACUUCAGGGAGAUAGGAUUAAUAGCUUCAAUCUACUCCACUACAACUUCAGAGAGAUAAGAUUUGUGGCUUUAAUCUGCUCCACUGCUCUACUGCAACUUCAGGGAGAUAAGGUUUGAUGUGAUCUGCUCUACUGCAACUUCAGGUUUCAAUCUGUUCCACUGCAGCUUUAAGGAAAUGAGAUUUAUAGUUUGUCUUCAAUCUACUCCACUACAACUUCAGGGAGAUAAGAUUGGUUUAUUUUUUAACCUGCUCCACUGCAACUUCAAGGAGAUAAGGUUUGAUGUGAUCUGCUCUACUGCAACUGCUCCACUACAACUUCAGGGAGAUAAGGUUUGAUGUGAUCUACUCUACUGCAACUUCAAAGAGAUAAGAUCUGUAAUUUAUAGCUUAAAUCUGUUCCACUACAACUUCAGGGAAAUGAGAUUUAUAGCCUGUCUUCAAUUUUCUCCUCUACAACUUUAGGGAGAUAAGAUUGGUUUAUUUUUUAACCUACUCCACUGCAACUUCAGAGAGAUAAGGUUUGUCAAGAUCUUCAAUCCAUCCCACUGCAACUUCAGAGGCAUAAAAUUUGCCGCUUCACUAAUCUAUUAUGCGGUGAACUUGACCUGUGGAAUCCAUUUCAUAGACCUAUUUAUGCCUAGUGAUUAGGAUGUCAUAAAUCAGAAUGAAUCAAAUGCUCCUAACUAGGUGUGUAUGAAUGAUAUUUGCAUGAAUGCAGAACAUCAUUUUUUGAGAAUAAUCCCUCUUUAAUGUUUGGGUUAUCAUUGCUCAUUGUUCAUCAAGGUUUUAUCGUUAAUGCAUUACCCUACCUUCUUGUUCAACUGGUGUCUUUAACAGAAAAUCCAAAGAAAUAGUCACAAUUUAGACUAUUCUUUUUCAAAUGUUUCCAACCCUCAGGUUUGGUUAGUUCUAAACAAUAAUCCUGUUUCGAGUCCUCGUAUCAUUUAGAAGCUUUCAGAGUAAUAUGCAGAACUUCUUUUGCUUGAAUAUUAUUGAUCCAUUAAUUAUUAUUUCAAUGAAAAAUGCUUGGAAAGAAUUAUCACAAUGGACAAGAUGGAAUUUCAUUAGGAGCAAAGCUCGAACUGAAUGAAUUAAUCAAGAUAACAAGUUUUUUCCAAAAUUACAAAAUGAGAAUCAAGACAACGUAUUUUGCCAAAAUAAAAAAUGAAUGAAAUGGAAUAGGUGCCUUAGAUAUCGUAGUAUGAACUUCUCUGCACAAAGCCUUUGGAGGACCACUUUAAACUUGAUAGAUGUCCAGGAGGUCCGCAGUAUUUCGUUGAUGUCCCAAGACGCAUAAUCUCUCUUUCUUGUUAAUUCAAGCAUAGUAAAAAUUGUCGCAUGCCCCACCUUUGAUCACAAUUUGAAUUGCCCUUUUUCCCCAGGUUUUCAAUUCAAAACCCCUUUGGUCUCAAAGUGCCCUUCAUGGGUUUUCGCCUUGGCCUCUCCUCUUUUGUUUUAGGCGAGGUACUUUUUCAUUGAAUUCGAAUUCACAGGAUUAGGCAGGAUUUUUCCAUCCAUCUCAGUCAAAAUUAACGCUCCUCCAGAAAAGGCCUUCUUUACUACAUAAAGUCCCUCACAGUUUGGCAUCCACUUUCCUCUAAAGUCUUUUUGUAUGGGAAGGAUCUUCUUCAGUACCAAAUCCCCUUCAUGAAAUUCCCUAGGACGAACCUUCUUAUUGUAAGCUCGUAUCAUUUGCUUCUGGUACAUUUGACCAUGACGGAUAGCUCUCAACCUCUUUUCUUCGAUCAAGUUUAGCUGAUCAUAUCAAGAUUGGAUCCAUUAUGCUUCGUCUAACAUUAGUUCUGAAAAAACUCGGAGAGAGGGAAUUUCAACCUCAAUUGGCAGUACUGCCUCCAUUCCAUAAACCAAAGAGAAAGGCGUUGUCUCGGUAGAGGUCCUGACAGAUGUUCGAUAAGCAUAGAGGGCAAAUGGUAACUUCUCAUGCCAAUCUCUAUAAGUCUCAGUCAUUUUUCCCACAAUCUUCUUGAUGUUUUUAUUGGCUGCCUCCACUGCGCCAUUCAUUUUCAAGCGAUAUGGCGAUGAAUUGUGGUGCUUGAUCUUGAAUUGACUACAGACCUCCGCUAUCGUGUUGUUGUUCAAAUUCAAAGCGUUGUCAGAUUUAAUCCUUUCGGGUAUCCCAUACCGACAUAUGAUCUCCUUUUUUAGAAAUUUACUGACGGUCGAUUUUGUGAUGUUGGCGUAAGAAGUAGCUUCUACCCACUUAGUAAAGUAGUCAAUUACUACGAAGAUGAAUCGAUGCAUGUUUGAAGCUUUUGGUGAUAUUGGUCCAAUGACGUCCAUGCCCCACAUGGAAAAAGGCCAUGGAGAAGUCAUGACAUGAAGAGGUGAAUGAGGCACAUGAAUUUUGUCCCCAUAAAUCUGGCAUUUAUGGCAUUUCUUAGCAUACUUGAUGCAGUCCCUUUUCAUGGUGGACCAAUAAUAUUCGAAUCUCAUGAUUUGCCUGGUCAUUGUAAAACCAUUAACGUGUGUUCCAUAGACACCAUCAUGAACCUCUUCUAAGAUUUGCUUAGCCUCAAUAGCGUCCACGCAUCUUAGCAACACUUGAUCAUUUCCUCUUUUAUAUAGGAUCUCUCCAUCCAAGACGUAGUCAUUAACCUGCCUUCUUAACGUCCCCUUGUCAUCCUCGCUUUCUUGGUUUGGGUAUUCCUGACUCUUCAUGUAUUGUAAUAUAUCGCGAUACCAAGGGUGAUCACCCUUUUCCUCUUCUUUGUCGACAUUGCAACAGUGGGCUGGUGCUUCAUAAAUGCUCAUUCUGAUGGGCCUCACAUCCUUUGUUUAUUUACUUUGAUCAUAGAAACCAAAGUAGCCAAAGCGUCGGCCAUCUGGUUUUCUUCUAGCGAAAGGUAAGAGAAGGUGAUGUCAUCAAACUCGUCAAUUAGCCCUAUAACCAGCUUUCGGUAAUUGACUAAUUUGCGAUAUCUUAUCUCCCACUCCCCUUUGAGCUGAAAAACCACCAGUACAGAGUCCCCAUAUACCUCUAACACUUUAAUCUUAUGUUCCAUGGCUGUACGAAUCCCCAUAAUACAUGCUUCGUACUCGGCCAUAUUAUUUGUGCAAUCAAAACCCAAUUUACAGGUGAAUGGAUAAUGAUCUCCGCUUAGGGAUACCAAAACUGCCCUAAUUCCGUUGCCUACAGCAUUUGAAGCCCCGUCGAAGUUUAAUUUCCAAGCACCGCUUUCUUGAGUGUAUUUUUCAACAGUUCCCACAUACAUCAGAUCCUUAUUUAGGAGAUCAAAGUUCAAAGGCUCAUAGUCUUCUAGAGCUCGACUAGCUAGAAAAUCUACUAUCGCGCUUCCUUUUAUAGCUUUUUGAUUCACAUAGACUAUGUCAAAUUCAGACAGUAGAAUUUGCCAUCUGGUCAUCCUUCCAUUUAGAGCGGUUUACUCCAUCAUGUAUUUCAGAGGGUCUAGUUUCAAGAUUAACCAAGUCGUAUGGUACAACAUGUAUUGUCGCAACCUCCGAGUAGUCCAGAUUAAGGCGCAACAUAAUUUUUUGAUUGGGGAGUAUCUUGUCUCACAUUCGGUGAACUUCUUACUGAGAUAGUAUAUUGCUUUUUCUUUUCUUCCCAACUCAUCAUGUUGGCCGAGCACGAAUCCGAUGGAGUUUUCAAAUACUGUUAAAUAUAGUAUCAGGGGCUUGUCUGGGCAAGGCGGUGUUAGUACUGGAGCGUUGGACAAGUAAUACUUGAUCUUGUCAAAGGUUUUCUGGCACUCCUCGUCCCAUAUGCCCGGAUUAUGUUUCUUAAAGAGACGGAAGAUAGGGUCACAUUUUUCAGUUAACUGUGAAAUAAACCGAGCAAUGUAGUUUAGUCUUCUUAGAAAACCCCGGACUUCUUUCUGAGUGCGUGGUGAAGGCAAUUCUUGUAUGGCCUUGACUUUGUCUGGGUCAAUCUCAAUUCCCCUUUCACUGACUAAAAGUCCUAGCAACUUUCCUGAUCUAGCCCCGAAAGUGCAUUUGGCUGGGUUAAGUUUUAGCUGGAACUUCAUUAACCUUAGGAACAGUUUUCUCAAUACUUGCACAUGUUCUCCUUCUGUCCUAAACUUUACAAUCAUGUCAUCAACACAGACUUCUAUCUCUUUAUGCAUUAUAUCAUAGAACAAAGUUACCAUGGCUCUUUGGUACGUUGCCCCUGCAUUCUUUAAUCCGAAUGGCAUCACCUUAUAGCAAAAUGUUCUCCACAUAGUUACAAAUGUGGUCUUAUCCAUGUCUUCAGGAUGCAUUUUUAUCUGAUUAUACCCCGAGAAGCCAUCCAUGAAGGAGAAAAGUGAGUAACCUGCUAUGUUGUCCACCAGAGUGUCGAUAUGGGGUAACGGAAUAUUGUCUUUUGGACUAGCUUUGUUCAAAUCUCUAUAAUCUACGCACAUCCGUACCUUCCCAUCUUUCUUAGGGACAGAGACUAUGUUGGCUACCCAAUCCGAGUACUUGACCACUUGUAAGAACCCCGAGUCGAACUGCUUCUUGACCUCUUCUUUUAUUUUUAACAAAACAUCAGGCCUUAUUCUUCGUAGCUUCUGUUGCACCAGUUUACAUUCUUCUUUUAUGGGCUGUCGGUGUACUACAAUAUCAGUACUUAGGCCAGGAAUGUCUUGAUAGGUCCAUGCAAAGACAUCUUUAAACUCUUGAAGUAAUCCAACGAGGUCUCGUUUUGUUUCCUCAGUAACGCAAGCGCCAAACUUUACUUCUUUCUCUUCUUCUAAACCCACUACUUCCACGGAUUCCUUAUAAGGUAAGAUUUGUUUCUCUUCUUGCUCCACCAUUCUUAACAAAUCAGGAGAUAAUACGCUGUCUUGGUCAUCUUCAAAACCCUGACGAUCAUCCGUACUCAUGUCUUGUUCAAAUAGGGACUUUGAGUCAGUAACAGCGUCGCUCACAUCAUUGAUAUCUGAAGACCUGUUAUUGGGAGAAAGGAAGGUCCAAAGAAAGAAGAAUCUAAGCAUAAUUGUUUACACAGUAUGAUUAUAAAUUGAAUGAAAAGAAUAGAAGAAUAUUUGCUCAAAAUGAGACUGAAUGAUGUGUUUUCAUUGAAAUAAGAUUUUGGACAUGUGUCUUUUACAAAAUAUUCUUAUUGCCCCCAGGCUUAGGGCAACAAGUGUUCUAGAUAUUACUCUGAAUUAGUUCUAAAUGUUAUAGGGAUCUCUUCUGCAGUCUAGUUGUCUAGAACACUUCCAGGUUCGUAAGGGCGGAUGCCUGAUACACUUCCUUCUUCGAGUUCUUUUUUGAAUAUGGCAUUGAUGUUCAGGUUUUCUAACAUUUCCUCCGUAGUAUCCCUUCUUGGUGUCCUUCGUUCAGGAUAAAUAGUUCCCCCUGAUAUAAAGGUCCUAGAUAUGUGGGGGAAGGUCAUAGGUUCCCAAUCGACUUCUUUUCCACUCAAACGCGCCUUCCUCUUCUCUUGUCUUUUUUCUAACUCUUUCCUUCUUUACUUCGCAUUUGGCUUAGAUCCUAAACCAAAGCGGUCUCGUUUAUCUUUUAUCAUUGGUACCUCUAUCCUUCAUUGAAGACAUCUUCCGAAUCCUCUCCCAGACACUGCUCCUUUUCCAAUCGUCAUUUGCAGUCCCAUCCUCGUAGUUUUGGAUAUGCUAGGCAUCGUGAUCUUAUUCCCCUCAACAACAAAAGUUGCGUUCACGAAUUCUAAGGAUCAAAAGGAACAUUCAAUCGCCUCAUCAUUCGUUUCUAAAUAUGGUGUGUCGCUGGUUACCGAUGCAAUAAUGUCUUCUUUAGCGCUUAUAGUAACUAGUCGGCCUUCUAUUACCAAUUUCAACUUCUGGUGCGAUGAUGAAGGCACUGCUCUAGCUGAAUGAAUCCAAGCUCUUCCCAACAAGUAAUUAUACGAAGGUUUGAUAUCCGUCACUAGGAAAUCUACCUUGUAUGUAUUCGGGCCAAUCAAGAGAGGUAUUUCUAUUCUUCUCGUUACUUUUCUUUCAGUGCCAUCAAAUGCUCUCACUAUAUUCUGGCAUGAUUUCAUGUGAGAGUUAUGCAUCGGUAACCUGUUUAAGGUGGAUAAGGGUAAGACAUUCAAGGCCGAUCCAUUAUCAAUUAACACCACCGGAAACGUGUAUCCCUUGCAGCGAGUGGUGAUAUUUAGGGCUUUGGUGGCUCCUCUCCCCCCCCCCCGAUGAUAUUUCAUUAUCAUUAAAGAAGAUGAAGUUGUCGGCACUUAUAUUGUUAACCAAGCAGUCUAACUUGUUCACCGAGAUAUCGUUAGCGACAUAAGUUUCAUUUAGUACUUUUAUCAACGCAUUACGAUGUGUCUCUGAACUUAGAAGCAACUUAAGCACCAAGAUGCAAGCUGGUUGCUUAUGUAGUUGUUCCACCACGCUAUACUCACUGUGCUUUAAGAAUUUUAGAAAUUCUCUAGCCUCAUUUUUAGUUACCGGCUUGUUAACAUGCGAUUCAAUUCUAAUCGUUUUUGCUUCCCCUCGCUCAACCGCUAAGGUUUUUCCUUUUGUGGUUUCCACUCUUGCAUUUGUCGAAUCGUAGCAUUUUUCGCUUCGUGUAUAGAAGCCUAUAUCAUCACCCUUUUUUGAAGUAUUUAUUGGGUUCUCUUCUCCCGGGAUCGUCACGUUGCACUCGUAAUUCCAAGAAACCCAUUUGCUAUUCUUAUAAAGAAAUUAUAUGGGUUUUUAGAUUAUGACCCUUGGCGCUAUUUCUAUUCCAGAUUCUGUGCUCCUUGGCCUUGAAAUAAUCACCACUGAGUGAUUAACCCUUUGGGCUUCCCCGUAGAUUCUUCCUCCGAGGUGUAAAUUUCCCCUUCUUCUAAUCCUUCAACCUUUUCAUAAAACUUCAACUCUUUGUUAUCCAUUAAGUUUUGCAUCAUGGUUCUGAACUCGGUGCAUUUUUAAGUGUCAUGGCCCUCUUCAGCAUGGAACUCGCAAUACUUCAUCGUCCCUUUGGGCCUCUCCGUUGAAUCUUGCUUGAUAAAACCUCCCUCUAUCAUUCGUUUCCAAACCCAUUUCAACGGGGUUUUUAUCUCUGCUACGUCAGCUUUAACUCUCCUUCCCCACUCUCGAUUAUUGCGUUUACCUCUUUAUCAGAAUGAUUGGUUAACGGAUUCCCUGCUACAUUUGGUUCUGGUGGGUCGUCAAACUUUACAAUCCCCAUCUUAAUGAAUCUUUCCACCAUCUUCUUAAACGCAGUGCAGUUCUCAAUCGAGUGUCCCGUUAUCCCUGCUUAGUAUUCACAUUGGGUAUUCACGUCGUACCAUUUAGGGUAUGAAGGUUGCAUGGGUUUCAGAUAAAAUGGAGACACGACGUGUGCAUCGAAUAGAUUCUAAUACAGUUCUCUAUACGUCAUUGAGAUACGUGUGAAUUGGGGUCUUUCUACAUUCGACCUUGGAUGGGAUUCCUGCCUUAAAAAGCCUUGAUGGCUAGUGGUUAUUGCUCUUGCUUGUCCCACCGUGAUUGGUUUAGAAUAGCCUUUGUUAAACAUACUUGCAUUGUUUAUCUCGUGCUCUUUCUUUCUUGGGGCUGACCUCUUGGCACUUUCCCCCGCUUCUAUCUUGCCGCAUAUUAUUGUAUUCUCUAUCAUUUCUCCAGACAUCACUAUGUCUGAAAAGCUUUUAGUGGCGCUGUCUAACAUGUGAUUGAUGAACAGAGCCUUCAAAGUAUUGAUGAAAAGCAUGGUUGUCUCUUUCUCCAGAAGUGGUGGUUAGACUUGCAUUGCUAUUUCUCUCCAUCUUUGGGCGUACUGUCUGAAGCUCUCACUAGGCUUCUUUUCCAUGUUCUGUAAUGUAAUUCGACCGGGUGCUAUAUCCUUCACAUGACUGUACUGCUUCAUAAAAGUCUGUGCCAAGUCCUUCCAUAAAUUGACUUUAGUCUGGCUCAAUUGGUUGUACCAUUUAGCCGCCGACCCGAUCAAGCUGUCUUGGAAAUAGUGCAUCAAUGUUGAUCAUUAUUGAUGUAUCCUGUUAUCCUUCGACAGAACAUAGUGAUAUGAGCUUCAGGACAGCUAGUCCCGUUAUACUUUUUAAACUUUGGCAUUUUGAACUUAGGUGGAAGCACCAGAUCAGGAACCAAACUCAAGCCUUUGGCGUCAAUUCCACAAUGGUAGUCGGCGUUCUCCAUGGCUCUAAAUUUCUCCUCUAUCCAUCUACACGAUCCUCAAGUUGUUUUGGCAAGUCCAUUCUUACCUUUUCUAUUUCUGCCACGUCAUCGAGAUCAGGGACCACGGGAUUGGUAGGGUUAUCCCCGGGAUUAGAACCCGAGCUUAUUGGAAAGUUCAUUGACACUAGGGCCCCAACCUGAUAUUGGGAUCUGAUAGUGACAGGUACCCUUCAUGGGUACACGUCCGGUUGCGCUUAGAUGUUAGUUAGGGUAAAACCUGGAGGAUAGGCAGGGUCUUCAUGAUCAUCCCCAGAAUUGACCACAGGGCUCUUCCCUUUAUCAUUUUCUCCAGCCAUUAACUGUGUUAACUAGCUCAAUAAAUUUCUUUGGGAUUCUUACAUGUCUUGUUGCAUUUUAGCUAGUUUUUCCUGCAUCUGAACUUGCAUCUCUUUUCACAAUUGUUCCAAUCUUUCUAAUAUCUGAUCCAUUACUUUUGUCUUGCGGCGGGUACCGUAGUGAUAUAUAGUUGGCUGAUUUUUGUUGGUUUCCAAGGUAACUGUCAUAAUUUUAAUUAAUUAGGGCUCUUUUUUGAAACUUUAAUGCAUAUGAUGAGAUGUAAUGCAAAUGAAUCAAAGCAAAAAGAGGCAUUGAUUCUAAUUCAAUUUCAUUAGAAAAACUCGAUUAGAAAACAAAUUUCUUUACAUAAAAUGGAUUACAUAUAUGGCUUCGCCUUUAUACUCAAAGCCUUAACCCUCUUAAGGAGCCAAGCUAACUCUCAACCUCGGCUUGAUUCUGAUUCAUAUUUUAAACUCAAUACAUCAGCCUGAACUGCUAAGGUUUGCAGAUGAUCAGCUACUUCCUGCACUUAAGUUACAACUUCACCCAUAAUGUAAUCUUUAUCUCUAAUCUGACUUUGGGAAUGAUGGAGCUGUUCUUGCCACUGUUCGUUACGCCUCUCAAGAAGUUCCACUCGUAAUUCAGAGUUUUGCAAUGCGUCUUCGAGCUUUUCUAUUUUCCCCUUCAAUUUUUCGAUCUUUCCUAAACUUGCUCUUAACUUGAUCAUUGAGUUGCGACUACGGUACAGGUGAAGCGACUUUUCUAACUAUACUACCCGAGCUUUUAAUCUCGCUUCUUCAUUUCAACAUUCUAACAAGUUUUUCUCUAAAGCUCUCUCUCGAGCUUGGGCGUCUUAAAAUUUCUUUUCCCACUGAUCAGCCAUGGUCUUUUCUUCCUUGAUCUCCUGUCGCCAUUACUCCGACGUUUUACCUAAACCGACAGUUCUUAUUGACAAACGCAGCUUCUUAUAAUCUAUUUUUAGACUAUCUAAAUCCUCUUCAGCCUUGUUCUUCCCUUUCCUUAAUUUUUCGAUUUUUAACUUGUGGAUAUCGACAUCUAGUCCCAAACGCAUCUUUUCCUCUUCUAGCUGCUCUAUCUUCUUUCCUAACUCUGAACUUCUUUUUUCAAAGUCCUGUUUGAUGAUCUCUAAUUCUGAUGGAACUUCUUGUAGAUGGUCCUCUAUAGAUCGAAUGCAUUCUUUUCUCGACCCGGAGAUGUUGUUAUUGACCCUCUUACUCCAACACCCAUAAUAUUCGAAAGUUGUCAUUGCUCUUACGGUAAAUCUUUUCAUCCGGUGAACUUGUUUCCAAGCGCUAAACAUUUCUCGAAUCUUUCUCUUGUAGUUAUCACCCUUAUAAGAAAACUCACACUGAGUCAGCCCUUAUGUUGUCGGUAUGAACUAUCUUGAUUUAUAUUGUCUUAAUACGAGCAAAGGGGUAUAUUCGACAGCUCUCCAAAUUCUAAGUAAAAGGACCAAGUCGAAGUUUUCACAUCGAUAUAGGAUAUCGUCGGGCACCAUCCAAUGAGCUUUCCAUUCAACAUCUUUCUCUUGAAGAGUUUGGAGAAUCACCAUCCAUUUCUCUUCUGUGAUGUCGUUUCAUCUUGGUGUAGCCACUAGUUCCUUUAAUGGGGAGUAGUUUUCUAAGAAUACCCAAUAGGAGACCUUUUUCCACUUUCCAAAAGUGUCUAUGGAACCACACCAAUAAUAGUUGCGCGCAUCCGAUGAACCUUCCUUCACCCGCUCUUCGACACGCAUUUAGAGAUCUAAAAGUUUCAGCCAAUAUUGCUGAGACCGGUGUGACCCCCUUGUCAAGCCUAUCAAACAGAUCUGAAACUGCUUCAUCCACAUGCCCUAAUGCCUUGGGGAAAAUAACUAAACCAUAAAUGCUCAAGACAAAGAUAUCAACUCACUUGGUGCAAAAAUCAUGAAAAACCAGCUUGAAUAAACCCUUAGGACGUUUUUGGCUGAUGAGAAUGCAGAAAAAUAAAGAGAAAUCUAGAUAAUUCCACUUUAGUCCUAACUUUUAAAGUAAAUUUUUGCAAUAUUCUAAUUUUACCCUUAAUUCUCCAAUUCUCCUUAUUUUUCUCAGCUUGUGCCGCCCAAAAUAUCUUCUUUUGGGCUUAUUUACAAUUUAUGUCCCUCCUUAUUUAACAAUGGAGCUAUUUAAUCCUUCUAGUAACUUUUACACCUUUUUUAAUUUAGUCCUUUUCACUUAAUUGACUGCCCAAACAUUAAAAUUUUCUAACGAAAUUUUAAUACCAUAUUACUAACAUUUCAUAAAUAUUUAUAAAAAUAUUUUUGACUUGGUUUUAUGAGAUCGAUGUCUCGAUACCUUGUUUUUACCCAAUUUCUUCAAUAAUUUCUUUUUCUAACUAACCACUAAAUCGGUAAAAUUUUUCUAUCGAUAUUUUCAUACGAUUUUCUAUCAUAUCAAUAUUCAUGCAAAAAUAUUAAAAUAAAUUUCUUUUAAAAUCGGAUUUUUGGUUAUGAAACCACUGUUUCGAUAACCUUGAAUUUAGGCCAUUACAACUCUCCCCCCUUAGGGAUUUUCGUCCUCAAAAAUCUUACCAGUAAAGAGGUUCGGGUAUUGUUUCCUCAUUGCCUCCUCUGAUUCCCAUGUCGCUUCCUUAAUCCCGUGCUUUUUCCAUAAUACUUUCACCAAAUUUAUCUUUUUAUUUCUAAGCUCAUUUAUUUCCCGUGCUAAUAUCUUAACCGGUUCUUCACUAUAAGUCAUAUCCGGCUGAAUCUCCACUUCUGUCAGAGAAAUAACAUGUGAAGGAUCUGAUCGAUACCGUCGUAGCAUAGACACAUGAAAAACAUUAUGAAUUCUAUCGAGUUCCGGUGGUAAUGCCAAUCGAUAAGCGACCGCGAGUUCCGGUGGUAAUGCCAAUCGAUAAGCGACCGGUCUAAUUCUUUCUAUAAUUUCAUAUGGCCCAAUAAAUCUUGGACUCAACUUACCCUUUUGACCGAAUUGGAGAACUUUUUUCCAAGGAGACACUUUUUUGGAAUACCUUAUCACCCACCUAAAAUUCAAUCUCUUUUCGUUUAAGAUCAGCAUAUGGCUUUUGACGAUCGAAAGCUGCUUUUAGACUAUCUCGAAUCAUCUUGACUUUUUCUUCUAUUUCCCGGAUCAAAUCAACCCCAUGUAUCUUCUUUUCACUAAGCUCUGUCCAAUAUAAUGGUGUUCUACAUUUUCUACCAUACAAAGCUUCAUACGGAGCCAUUUUAAUACUGGACUAAUAACUGUUAUUAUAAGCAAAUUCAAUCAAAGGUAGAUACCUCUCCCAAUUACCUUCUAACUCUAAUAUACAACAUCGGAGCAUAUCUUCCAAUACCUGAAUUACACGCUCAGAUUGGCCAUCUGUCUGAGGAUGAAAUGCAGUGCUGAAAUACAAUUGAGUACCCAAGGCUUCUUGCAAUUUGUCCCAGAAACGAGAUGUAAAUCGGGGAUCUAUAUCUGAUAUAAUAGAUAUUGGCACUCCAUGUAGCUUGACAAUCUCAGAUAUAUACAGUUCAGCCAAUUUAUCUAAAAAAUAAUCCAUAAGUACUGGGAUAAAAUGUGCUGAUUUUGUUAAUCGAUCAACGAUCACCCAAAUGGCAUCUUUCUUAUUCGGUGACAAUGGUAACCCAAAUACAAAAUUCAUAGUAAUUCUUUCCCACUUUUAUUCCGGUAUAGUGAUUGGCUGAAGUAACCCCGAAGGUACCUGAUGUUCAACUUUAACCUGCUGACAUAUUAGGCACUUUGAUACAAACUCAGAAAUAUCACGUUUCAUACCUGGCCACCAGUACAUCUUCUUCAAAUCAUUAUACAUUUUAUUACCUCCCAGAUGUACGGACAUAAUACCACUGUGUGCCUCGUGUAAAAUCUUCUGUACAAGCUCUGAAUUCUUCGGUACACAUACUCUGCCUCUGAAUAAUAAACAACCAUCAGUCCCAAUUUGAAAUUCUGAAUCAUUACCUGACUCACAUUGUACCCAUUUAGCCUGUAGCUUUUCAUCAUUUUUCCGAGCUUCAUAUAUUUGUUGUAGAAAUGUCGUUUAACUCUCAACUCAGCUAUGACUGAACCAUUAUCAACCAAAGACAAUCGGGUAUUCAUAGCUCGCAAAGCAAACAAAGAUUUUUGACUCAGAGCAUCAGCUACAACAUUAGCCUUACCCAGAUGGUAAUCAAUAACCAAAUCAUAGUCUUUUAUCAGUUCAAGCCACCUGCGCUGUCUCAAAUUCAAAUCUUUCUGUGUCAUCAAAUAUUUCAGGCUUUUAUGAUCAGUAUAAAUAUGACAUUUUUCACCAUACAAAUAAUACCGCCAUAUUUUCAAUGCAAAUACAAUAGCAGCAACUUAGAGAUCAUGUACCGGGUAAUUUCUUUCAUGUGGCUUAAGUUGUCUUGAAGCAUAGGCUAUUACUUUACCUUCUUGCAUCAAGACACAGCCUAAACCAUUUAAUGAUGCAUCACUAUAAAUAAUAAAUUCUUUACUCGGUUCAGGUUGUACCAACACAGGUGUUUUCGUCAACAAAUCUUUCAAUCGGUCAAAACUCUGCUGGCAUUUAUCAGUCCACUCAAAUUUAACAUCUUUCUGUAAUAAACGAGUUAUCGAAGAAGCUAUCAUAGAGAACCCCUGUACAAAUCUCCGAUAAUAACUGGCUAAACCCAAGAAACUUCUAACUUCAGAUACAUUCUUCGGUGGACUCCAAUUGACAAUAGCUGAGAUUUUACUCAAAUCUACCUUGAUGCCUUCUGCGGAUACAAUAUGUCCAAGAAAACCCACUUCUCGAAGCCAAAAUUCACAUUUACUGAAUUUAGCAUAUAGCUACUUCUCUCGCAGAAUUUGCAACACAAUUCUCAAAUGUUCUGCAUGCUCAUUUUCAUCUUGGGAAUAGACCAAGAUAUCAUCAAUAAAAACUACCACAAACCUGUCUAAGUACGGUCUAAAUAUCCGAUUCAUCAGGUCCAUAAAUACUGCAGGUGCAUUAGUCAGCCCAAACGGCAUAACAAGAAACUCAUAAUGCCCGUACCUGAUUCUAAAAGUUGUUUUCGAUACAUCUAACUCCUUUACCCGUAACUGAUAGUAGCCCAAUCGGAGAUCAAUCUUUAAAAAUACAGUGGCACCCUUCAACUGGUCAAACAGAUCGUCAAUCCGAGGCAAUGGGUACUUAUUCUUUAUAGUGACUUUAUUAAGUUGUCAGUAAUCAAUACAUAAUCUUAAGGACAUGUCCUUCUUUUUCAUAAAUAAAACUGGAGCACCCUAAAGUGAAUGACUUGGUCAGACAAAACCCCUGUCAACAAGUUCUUGCAACUGUGUCUUUAACUCCUUUAAUUCUGUAAGAGCCAUACGAUACGGAGCUAUAGAGAUUGGAGUAGUUCCCGGAAUCAGAUCUAUAGAAAAUUCCACUUCUCUUUCUGGUGGCAACCCUAGUAAUUCCUCUAGAAACACAUCAAAAAAUUCACAUACAAUUGGCACUGCCUGUAUAUUUAAUUGGCACUGCCUGUAUCUUUAACUCAGAUACCUUAGUGUUUAACACAUAUGCCAAAUAAGCAUCAUACCCUUUUCUGACACACCUCUGAGCUGUCAUAACCGAAAUCACAUUAGAUAAUUCUUCUGUCUGAUCAAAUUUAACCCGAAGUAAUUCUCUAUUCUAACACUUCAGCAUAAUAUAUUUCUGUCUACAAUUUACUACUGCAUCAUGCUGAGUUAGCCAAUCCAUACCCAAUAUCACAUUGAACUCAUCAAAAGGCAAUAACAUCAAGUCAACAGGAAAACAAAUACCUUUUACCAUCAGUGGACAAUUUUUACAAACUUUAUCCACCAUCAUAAACUGGCCCAGUAGGUUCGAGACUUUAACCACAAAUUCAGUAAGUUCAACAGAUAAAUUUUUAACAAAUACUAAUUUUGUGCAUAUGUAUGAAUGUGUAGAGCCAGGAUCAAUUAAUACAGUAAUAUCAGUAUCAAGUAAAGAAAAUGUACCAGUAAUAACAUCGGGUGCUGAGGCAUCUUCUCUAGCACGGAUGGCAUAUGUCCUAACAGGUGCUCGUGCCUCAGACCUGCCUGCAGUCUCUUUCGUAACUCCUCAGCUACCACUAACAUUACCAGAUGGUCGAGGUGGUCUACCCCUCGAAACUGGAUUACUCGGCUUCGAUGUAUGUUUAGCUUCUUUUUCACCCCUUUCUAGACAAUCUCUGAGGAAAUGAUCGGAAGAACCACAUCGAUAACAAGCCCCACUCUUUAAUCGACAUUCACCAAAAUGAGUUUUAUUACAGUACUGACAUCUCGGCUUAGGGGUACCAACACUACCAGCACUGGUCACUGAUGGAGUGGAAGGUCUUGGAUUAGUGCGUUGAAAACCUCGCUCUCUAAUCGAAUACCCACUGGCUGAGGUUGAACGAUCCUGGUAUUUCUUCAAUUUCUUUAAAGUAAAAAACUGGGAUUUUUCCAUAGAUGUUUUACUGAAAACCCGAGCUUCUCUUUCAGCUUGUUUCUUUUCUUUGCUCAAUUUUUUUGCUUUAUAAGCUCACUCUGCAAGGGUAGUAAACUCUCGAAUUUCAAGAAUUCCGAUCAAUAGCUUAAUUUUUUCAUCCAACCCUUCUUCAAAUCUUUUGCAUAUUCCAGCUUCUGAUUGUACCCAUUCCCAAGCAUAUUUACUCAAUCGGACAAAUUCUCUUUCAUACUCAGAUACUGAUCUGUUAUCCUGUUUCAGCUAAAAAAAUUCUUUUCUCUUCCGAUCGAGGAACCUCUGACUGAUAUAUUUCUUUCUGAACUCGGUCUAAAAGAAUUCUCAUUUAAUUUCUUCUUUUGGAACCACCGAAGCUUUAGUGUUUCACCAAUGAUAAGCUGUGUCUUUUAACAAUGAUACUGCACAUUUCAGACACUCUUCUGGCGUGCAAGAUAAUUCCUCCAAAACCCGAGUAGUAUUCUCUAACCAAAACUCAGCCCGUUUGGGAUCAUCAUCAACUGCAGCUCUGAAUUCUUCUGCCACAUAUUUUCUGAUUUUAUCAACCGGAGCUUUCCCUUUUUUGCUAGGUUCAAUACCUGUACCCUGUGAAAUCUCGGGAAUCGGUGGAGGAGGAGGAGGAGGAGGAGGAGCUUGAGCUUGCUGCACUAUAGGGUUAGUUUUUAUAUAUUGAGUAAAUCAUUCAUUCAUCAUUUGAUAGAAGGCAAUUUUAGCCUCUUCACUUUGGUCCCUUAUCUCGGACCUUCUACUACUAGUAGCUUCAACUUCUCUUUGUUCUGAAGCCGGAGCAUGACUCUCGGCUUCCUUGGGUUGAACUUGGUCGGCAGACAUUUACUAUAAGAAAAUCACAUUUCAAAUGGUCAGGAGAUAUCACACUAUCAAUAAGAAUUUAAAUCCCAUGUAUAGCUAAUCCAGUAUUUUCUACAUCGGUCCGAGAACUGACUAAAUCGUAGCUCUGAUACCAACAAAAUGUAACACCCCUUAACCAUAUCCGUCGUUGAAAUAGGGUACGAAGCAUUAUCAGAUUUUAUCGAAUUAAUUUUCUAUUAUUACGAGUUAAAUACUAUUCAUUUAUCGAAACAUGUCAUGACGUCCCUUGAAUGGGCCUCCGAAGCCCAAAACAUACAUCGAGACCAAACCGGGAUUAAAUCGAAACCAUAAGAAAUUUUUCGCAAAAUCCCAAAGUUUUUUUUUUAAAACUCAAUACAACCCCUUUAUAAAUAUCUAAUCUUCCCUGCAAUUUUAAACCAAGACCAAUCCAACACAACCAAUCCAUUUCAACAUACUUUCAAAAUAGAUUUAACAUAUUCAUAAGAUAACCUCAUCACAUACCAAAACCAAAAUUUGUUAGCCAUACCAAUGGCUAACCAUUCAUUCAUUUCACAUUAACAUUUACUUUACUAGCUUAUACAUGCCAUUGAUUUCUAAAAUAAAGUUUCUUUAUAUACCGAGAUCUUGAGGUUGAUAGUGUGAUGCGUCUCCGACCAAAUCCGACCUCCGAGCUCUUAACACUACAAAACAGGGGAAAAGGAAACAGGGUAAGCACUUUGUGCUUAGUAAGCUCAUGUAAUAAGAAUUAUACUUACCUAAUAUUUUCAAUACAAUACAAUACAAUACAAUAAACAUUCAUACAUCCAUUCAAUGCAUUAUUCCCCUAACAUGCACGAACUCAACAUUCAAGUUAGUUCAGUAAUUUCCAUGUAUCAAUAAUAUAUAUAUCACGAUUGAUAAGCUCAUCAAUUCCAUGAUUUCCAUUCCCUUGUUAUUUUUCCAUAUUUAUCCCGUUGAACUACUUGGAAUUUCGAUGGAUUUUCAGGGGUACACCUAAGUGUACAAAUCUGGGUUCGUCAAUUCAUAUUCAUGUGCGCACAUUUUCAUUUCAGAGAGCACACUCCCGUGAACCUCAUCCUUACAGCGGGAUUACCAGUCCAGGCUAAAUCCCCUGUAAUAUAAACUCAUAGAAUAUUGUCGGGAUUACCAGUCCAGGCUAAAUCCCCUGCAACGACAAUUACUCUAAUGAGCUUGGAUUUGAAUUACCAGUCCAAGCUAAAUUUAGACCCUAAUUUGGAAUACCCGUCCGGGCUAAAUUCAUUUUCCACAUAUUCUUUGAGAGGGCUGUAUCAGAAUAGGAUCACCCAUCCGGGCUAGAUCCUUUUUACCGUCAAUUCCUUUUCAGAGAUCCAUCGAAUUUUCCUUUCAUUCAACCGGGAUUUAUUUUCUCUUUUCAUCAAGAAUAUCAAUACUUCUUCAAUUAUCAUACAAUAAACAUCCAAAUCAUAUUCACAUCAAGAAAAAUAUAUUUCAAGCAUUUAAGAAUAUAAUUCAAGUUACACGAACUUACCUCGAUACUUGUUCGUAAAUAAAAAUCUACUAAUUCCAAACUUUUUCUUUUCCUCGAUCUAGCUUUGUAUUUGAAUUUUCUAGAUCUAAAUAAAUAAAUUUAAUCAUUAAUCUAAUACAUUUCAUGUUCAUAUGUAACAUUCUCUAUAAUUCCAUUAUUAUUUAUAGUUCAUUCAAAGCUGUCUCAUUGAGUCAUAGUCGCUAAAUUAUUUAUAUCUUGAGCUACGGAAUUCCAAAUUAAGAUCUGCUAAUUUUUCCCAAAACUAGACUCACAUAUCUUCUUACCAUAAAAUUUUCAGAAUUUUUAGUUCAGCCAAUAAGUACAGUUUAUUCUUUAAAGUUUCCCUUGUUUCACAGUUCAACAGUUUCGCCCCCUCUUCACUAAAAAUUAAUUAUCUCAUUGUACAGAAUUUGGAUGAUGUUUCCAUUUAUUUAUUCUAAAAAUAGACUCAUUAAGGAUUCUAAGCAUAUAAAUUAUAACUCAUAAUAAUUUUUUUACAAUUUUUAAUGAUUUUCCAAAGUCAGAACAGGGGAACCCGAAUUCAUUCUGACCUUGUCUCACAAAACCUAUUAUAUCUCAUUAUUUACAAUUCCAUUGACUACACUAUUUCUUCUAUAAGAAACUAGACUCAAUAAGCUUUAAUUCUAUAUUUUUUUCAUCCUCUAAUUCAAUUUACAAAAUUUAUGGUGAUUUUUCAAAGUUAACCUACGCAGCUGUCCAAACUGUUUUAAUGCAUGAUAUUAAUUACCAUUUUCCCCUAAGCUUUCAAUAAAUGAUAAUUUCAUCCUUACUCAAUUAACCUCUCAAUUGAGCUGAUUUUUCUCAAUUAACACAUUAUUCCAUCACUUUAAAGUACUUUAUAACCUUUGGAAAUCAGAAUUUUAGCACUAGACUUUAAUUCCAAACUUUUUCACAAUUAGGUCCUACAAAUCAAUUUUUAUUGAAAUUACCUAAUAAAAUCAUCUCAUAAACAAAUUAAAGCUUUAAUUUCAUGCUAUAUCAUCAUAUAUUUCCAGCACAUAUUCAUAGCAACUUUCAAUUUAGUAAUAGGACCUAGUUGUAAAAGUCUUAGGAACAUAAAAAUUACAAGAAAAAAAGCAAGGAUUAACUCACUUGGUGAAAAAAUCAUGAAAAACCAGCUUGAAUAAACCCUUAGGACAUUUUUGGCUGAUGAGAAUGCAGAAAAAUAAAGAGAAAUCUAGAUAAUUCCACUUUAGUCCUAACUUUUAAAGUGAAUUUUUGCAAUAUUCCAAUUUUACCCUUAAUUCUCCAAUUCUCCUGAUUUUUCUCAGCUUGUGCCGCCCAAAAUAUCUUCUUUUGGGCUUAUUUCAAUUUAUGUCCCUCCUCAUUUAACAAUUGAGCUAUUUAAUCCUUCUAGUAACUUUUACACCUUUUUCAAUUUAGUCCUUUUCACUUAAUUGACUGCCCAAACAUUAAAAUUUUCUAACAAAAUUUUAAUAUCAUAUUAAUAACAUUUCAUAAAUAUUUAUAAAAAUAUUUUUGACUCAGUUUUACGAGAUUGAGGUCUCGAUACCUUAUUUUUACCCAAUUUCUUCAAUAAUUUCUUUUUCUAACUAACCACUAAAUCGGUAAAAUUUUUCUAUCGAUAUUUUCAUACGAUUUUUCUAUCAUAUCAAUAUUCAUGCAAAAAUAUUAAAAUAAAUUUCUCUUUAAAUCAGAUUUGUGGUUACGAAACCACUGUUCCGAUAACCUUGAAUUUAGGCCAUUACAACUCCGACCAGUCGUCACCGCGCCGGCCGCCGGUCACCAAUGACGGCGCCGCCGUAUUCGGUGGCUGAAAAAAGGUAAAACCUCCAACCCUAUCCUUUCGACCCUCCUAAAUCCAAAUCUGGGUUCAAAAUUCCCAAAAUAUUAACAAAAACGCCCCAAAAGCUCAAGAAACCUUUCAGUUUUCGGCCACCUAUCCUCGAAGGUGACUUCCUCAGCCGUCCACGGCGUUGAAAAACCCAAAUACAGGUUAGUUUGUUACUCCAUUUUUCCUUUUGUUUUACUUUCGUAUGUGUAAAUAUGAUAAAAAUAAAAUAACAGUAGACCAAAAAUGAAACGAAGAUUUAGAAAAUAGCAGUAGAUGUAAACCUUUCGAGAUUUUUCUAUUGAUUUUGAGUUCUCUGAGUAUUCAAUCCCUUUUUUUAUUACAUUUAUUGAUGGGGCCUUUUAUAGCCGAUUUACAUGUUUUUUUUUCUUUCGCUUCUGUUCUUGUUGCUUCUGUGUUUGUCUAUUUUCUGUCCUGUUUGCAGGUCUUGGCAAGGUCAACAGACAUUGAAGGGAUAACCCCUGCCAUUUUGGUGCAAGGCCGUAGACGCCUGUCAGGCUUUGGGCGAUGAGUGCGCUGCAGGGGCACGAAGAGGGAGUGCGGCGCACAUGGAGCACUAGGGUUUCAGUUUUCCCCUGAAAGCAGUUUGGUUGUGGGCUGAAUUGGGUUAGGUUUUUUUAUUUUGGGCCAUACCAGGCUUGGCAUGUAAUUGGGGUUUGGGUUUGUUAUUGAGUUUUGGGCCCGGGCAAAAAUGGCCUAUUACACAAAUAAUAAAAAUUAAAAUCAAAUCAUCAUAUUUAUUAUAUUAGUCUAAAAAGCAACUGAUAAUAUAAUUGCUAAUAAAAGCUAAAAGAAAAAUCAACAUUGUAUGCAAUUUUAUCUAAUUAUUCUAGUGCAUAUUUGUUGCUUUAUUCCCUCUUCAAAAUUUAACAUAUGCUCCUUAUUAUCGUCUGUUGGUUUUUGAUCAAAUUCGUCAUCACCAAAAUUUGAAUUUGUAUCAUUAAGAUUAUCAAGAUUUCCUUCUUUCAUGUACUCUUUGAAGUAUGGAUCAUCUUGAUUCUACUUAUAAUUCAAGUUAUGAAAUAUGCAAUAUGCUAGUGUCAUGGGGUUAGACCUUUCAUCUCGCAAAUUGUGUGGCCUUAGACAAUUUCUUCGCUUCAAAUGUGUCUAAGUCAGCCUAACUUUCGCAAAGUGAGAAUUCUCGCAGAAUUCCUCUCUAAGGCAUUGAAAAUAUAGUGGAAGCAAUCUCAAAGACAAAAGAAAGCUAAAAAAAAACAUAAUAGCCACAAAAAAAGUAAAAGUACACCAAGUUAAAUGUUCUCAAUUAGUAUUUACUAAUAAAAAAAUGAAAUACAAUGGAUGAUUACAAAUUAGGGGAGGCUCUCUAUUUAUAGUUGAGUUCUCCCAAAACGGAAGAUAUAGAUUGAGUUACAUCGACGGAUGAGAUCGAAGCAUAUCUACAAUUAAGAGAUAAUCCCCAAGAUUACAAAAUUAAAUCUUAUCAUAUUACAAAUCUUCUAAGAUUUAUUUCCCUAUUUACCAAGGUAACCCUAAUUUUCCAUAAGUGCUUUGUUAGGCCACCAAGGCUUUAAGUAGAUGGGUUUCGUCACUUGUUCUUCAAAUUGGACCAAUUCAAGUGGGUUAAAUGAGGCCUAUUUUAUAUGUAGACCUCAAUAGGAUGCUCUUUGUGCCUUGGUCACGAGCUUUGAACCGUGGCCUGUGACACUAGUAUGAUCCAAUCUUUUUUUUUUAAAUGUUAUAUAAAUAUGAAAAAUAUUUUUUUUAGAAUAACAAAUGUCUUCUCAACUAAAAUUUGAAGUAGUGGUGGAUCCUAGGACAAAGUUUUGGGGUCAAAAAGAUCUUAGGAGUUUAAUAAGGAUUUUUUUUAAAAAAAUUUGGGAACUAAUUAAAUUUUUUUGAGAUUGAUGAGAAUUUUCAAAAUUUUGAGGGGGUGUGAUUAAAAUUUUCUAACAAUUUCAAGAGAGAAAUGAACAAAAAAAAAAAAUUUCUUCCUUUUCUUCUAUGUUGCAUCCAUUGAAAUGAGCAAAAAGGAAUAAAUCAAUUUUGAUUUUAGGGUUCCAAAUCUUAAAUGAAAGUAAGAGUUUGAAAACACAAAAUAUUAAUUUCCUUACUACAGGUUGAAAUUACGUGGAAUUAUUAUAAUUAGGUACCAAAAUGAAAAAGAAACCAUACCAAUAUUUCGUUAACAAAUUAAUAAAGAGUGGUUAAAAGAUAACCAAAUGAUAAUAUUAAUGAUGAAAGUGAAAGUUUUUUCGUAGUUCGAUGAUCAAAAUAAGAAAUGCUAAUAAUUAAGUUUGGAAGUAAUAAUAUUUAUAUGAUAAUAAUAAAUUUCAAAAGAAAAUUAUUUUUAAAAAAAUUGUAAUUAUAACAAUUUAAAUAUAUAUAAAAAAAGCAUCCAACAAAUAUAUCGAAAUAUUGCAAUAAAAGGAUGAAGAAAUCAUAAUAUAACCAUACAUGAAUUAGAAAUCAUUUUAUUUCAAAUAUAAAUGAAAUUUGAUAAUGAAAUAAAUUAAAUUAAACAAAUUAUAAAGUAAGAUAUGAAUAUAUAUAUAUAUAAGUUGUGAAAAAUUUUAAAAUAAAAUAAAAAAUUGUUCUAGAAAUCAUUGACUCUCACGUUCCACCCUCUUUUAUUUAUUAAUUAAUUAUAUUUUUUACUCUUCCACGGUCCUUUAUUUUUUGAAAGGAAAUCUCAUUUGGCUUGACACAAAAGUCAUACAUAAUAUUUGUUGUAUAUAGACUUAUUUCAAAUGUUUGAAUUUUCCAAAAACACACACACACAAAGUCGAUGUGGAAUUAAAAUUUUGGUGCCAAGGUCCACUACAUUUUCCACAACCACUAUAAUUAGACUAGAAUUAUCUCUCCGCGUACACUUGGGUUUAAAAUUUUUAAUUAAAAUUUAUUAUAAUCUUAACAUAGAAAUUAAAUUUGUGAUUAUUUUUAUAAUAGAAUAUAAAGUCUUAAAUUAUAAUGACAACAUAGUUGAGAAAAAUAUUUUAAUUUUAAAAAUGUAUAAAAACUGUUAAUUUUUUUAUUUAUUUUGGGACUAUUUGACAAAAAAACGUAAAUUUAAGGGCUAAAAAAGGUAAAAUAAAUAAAAAUAUAUGGAGACCUAAAAUGAUUUUUUUUAAAAAUAAAACUUUCAUAUUGUUAGUUUAAUGACUAAUGUUAUAAUUUAACCUUUAUUUUUGAAAGGGAAUCUCACUUAAAACGAUCCCACCACUUAGACUACAGUGGCGAAACUAGGACUGGUAAGGGCCCCUUAAAAUGAAAAUUUUUUCAUAUAGUCCCUUUAAAAUUUUUAAAAUUUUAAAUUAGUAAAGGUAAAAUUGUACUUUGGUCUCAUUUAAAAAUAUAAAAAUUUGAUUAAUAAACCUUUAUAUUAAUAUGUACAAAUAAUUUAUAAAUUAAAAAAUUAUCUUUUUAAAUAUAUAAAGUAAAUUUAUAAAUUAAAAAAUUUAUAAAAGAUGGAAUUACUUAAUAUAUUUAAUUUUCCUUUAAAUGAAACAAAUUAUUUGUUGACUUAUUACAUUUAUUCCGUAUGAUUUAAUUUUAAAUUUUAUUUUUUAAUCUUCACAGAAUUAUUAGAUACUUUAAGCAACUUAGAGAAGCUUGACACGAAUCGUAAUGAGGUGAAGGAAUUUGUGCCCAUAAAGAAUAAAAAUAUAUGCAUCAACUAAAUAAUAUAAAUUAUUUAAAAAUAAAACACUUUUCAUUAUUUGAUAGAUUCAUUGAUUACCAAAUAUACGAUAUUUCAAAAAAAAAACAAUUAAAGAAAUCCAGCACUUGAAAGUGCUGAUAGAGCAAUAAUUUGAAGCAGUUAAGAAACUUGUAGGAAGGGUAUAGAAAGAAGGUUGGAGGCUUGACGCCAAAAGUCACCAUAGUGGUCUGCUUAGAUCGUUUGGGGCGACUGAAUUUUCCACAUUGAAAACGAAGCCACUAUUGCUACGAAGACCCUUGAAUUUUCCACAAAGAAUUUAUCCCAUAAAUAGAAUUUAUCAUUACAUUAUAUCAAAUUAUGAAUAAUUCAGAGAUUUGCACAUGUACCUUUUUAUUUUAUUUUAUUUUUUCUUUUUUAUUAUUAAAUUCUUUUGAAGCAAAUAAAGAUAAAUUUAUUAUUUUAAAAUUAAUUAAUUAAAAUACUCAUAUUUUUAAAAUGUUAUCAUGGAAGGAGACUCUUUCAUUGUCAAAAUCCAAACAAAAGGAGGAAGAUUUCAUAGAUGGACAACUAGAACUAAACCUGUUUAAUUAUAAGUCGGAUCAGGCCUGCUCAAAAAGUGAGAGGGUUUGAGUAAAAUUAUAACCUUAAAAAAUGGGUUUAGACAAAAAAAUAAUGUCUGUUUAAAAACGGAUCAGACUUCAGGUAAGGCAUUUUUCACCCGAGUCCAAUCCGAAUUCACAAAAUGACAAAAAAAUCUACUAUUUUUUGUUAUUUUAAUUCUAUUUUCUUGUUAUUUUCUUCUUAUUUUGUUACCAUUUCACUAUUAUGUUAUUACUAUUUUGUUGUUAUUGUUUGGAUAUUAUAUAACACUUGUUUUAUUGUUAAUUUUGUUAUUCUUUUAGAGGCAUUUGUUUGUUAAGUUGCAUCUAUCUUAGUGUUAUUUAAGUAUACGUAUUUUUUAAAAUUUAUUUUUACUUUGUUGGAAAAUAUUUAAUUUAAUGUUUUUAGUAUUUUUGAUGUAUUAUAUAUAUUUAAAAAUUAUAUAAAAAUAAUAUAAAAAAUUAAUAUGGGCAGGUUGGGCCCGGGCCUAAAUUUUUGUUUGGGCCCAGUCGAACCCAACCCAUGAGCAUCUCUAUGGAGAAGCAAGAAAUGAAACUUUAUUGAUAAGUGUCAAAAGUAACAUAUUUUAGUCUCAUCCUUAAUAUUUUUUUUAGGUGAUUAUGUGACAUUAAUUGUGAAAUAUAUAUUUCUAAUCUUUUAUAUUCAUGUUUUGAUACUUAAUAAGGCGCUUGAAAAUAAUAUGAGUGAUAAAUAGUGGAAAUUAGAACUUUGAAGUAUUCCAGACGCUACGCACAUGCAUCAAAUUUUCACACAAACAAUUUAUGAUUUUUAAGUUUUUUUAGCAUUCUAACAACAUAUAAAUAAGGAAAUAAGAAGGGAGGAAGACAACCACGAAAUUACCUUCAGAACAUUAUUAAAGCCUAUUAAAUUAAAUUUUCUAACUCCUUUUGAAUUUGUAUUAGCAAAUUCAAAUAUAUUUACUCCAAAAUUAAAUUCGUCGUUUUUCUCUUCUAUUUUAUUUUAAUUUCUAACAUCUUAUUAAGUCUUUACAAUCUUGUUAUUAUUUUUCAAUCCAUAAUUUGUUAUUGAUGGGUGUCGAUUCCACCAAUAUAAACCUACGCCUAAUUUGCAAAUUUAAGCAGUAUAGGAAGUAGAGUUGAUCCCUUAGAGACUGGGUUUACUGCAAAUUAUUGCUCUCUUGACCAGAUUUAUAUCGGGGCAGUUGUCGUGCUCAAGAAGUUCGGGGGGAUAAAAUUUGAAACCUGAAAUAAAUAAAUAAAAUGCGUAAAAAGUAAAAGUUGAAAAUAAAAUAAUAAAAAGCAGUUAAAUAAAUCUGAAGAAAAAUGAAUUAAACUAAGCUCAGCUUUAGGCACGGGUUUUUCUCGUCUUUGAACUGAUCCUCGAAAUUAGAUGAACUCCUCUUUUCCAAUAAACUAGUUAUAGCUACCAAGGACGCCUCGGACACCAACUCUUCCUUGUGUAAAUUAGUUAAGAAACGUCCAAUAACUAACCCUUACCGAUCGAACAACCAACGAAAUGUUCAUGAUUUAGAACUCCGGCAGCUUUGCGUUCUAGAAGAUUCUAGCUCGAACCAAUGCCCUCAACCGCGUGGGACAUUUAAAUCUGGUUACUACUUCCCUUAACGGAACCAAACAGCAAUCCCCACUUGGCACGCCAAUGUGUUCACAGAAAACCGAUUAGACAAUCGAUCCUUUCGAAAUUCCAACUGUACGUCUAACCACACUAACUCAAACGACGUCUUUUUUGACUUAGUGUUGAUUUGACUUUGUGAGUUGACGAAGUCAUACUCUUAAUCCGGAGAAAUAAUAAGUACUGGAAUUUAGGAGUCAAAUUGCUCGGGUUCGUAACUCACGGAUCUUAACGAAGUUAACACCGGCCUAAAGCUGAAAUGGAUACUUAAUAAAAAAAUUGGUAAUUAAAAACUUGAUUAAUGACUUGAUUCAAGACUUGAUUCCUAAAUGAACAAUGUAGCCCCCUAUUUAUACUAGUGGCUUUGCUAAAUUAAGAGCCACUAGCCAUAGAGAAUCAAGGAAAUAAAAUAUUCCAUCAUAUAAAAAUCCCUACAUAAUCUCCCACUAAUUAAGUCAACAAAAAUUUCAGCUAAUUAUAUCUUGGAAAAUUUUUGCUUUGGCCCGCCUUCUUUGCUCUUUUCUUCAAUCUAGCCCAAUUGCUUCUCCUUUUUCUCUUUUGACCCCAAAUUGUACACCUGUGUAAAAUUUAAGUUAAACAUGGAAAAAUUAGUGGUGCACUCUCGUAAAUUAACCAAUUUAAUUACAUAAAAUAUGUAAUUUUAGCAUUUAAUCAAAUCCCUCUACUUAUUUAAUGCUAGUCCUCGAGCAUUAUGCAUGUAUCUACAAAAGGAAAAAUUUCUUCUAAAAUAGGACUUGACUCCCAUGGUUUGCACAAUUCAACAAUUUAAUCCUAGCACAUUAACAUCUCAAAUAACCUAGCCUAAGAAGGAAGUAAAUAUAUUUCAGAAUUUAUUAGAGCUUGAUAGACUUACCUUUCAUUUUAUUAUUUUUGUACUUGGGACAUUUUCGAAUUUUUUGACGCGAGACAUGAUGACAACCCAAGCACCAUGUUCCGGUUACUUGAUUCGGAUGUCUCUAAGCGGGAUAUUUCACCCUACUCGUGAUAGCUUGUUAGCGGAGUGAGUGCAAAGAAAUUGGACAGCCACAUGAACCUUUUUACGUGAGAUGUGAUGACAACCCAAGCACCACGUUCCGGUUACUUAGCCCGAUGUACAACCCCAAUUUUUCACUCUUAACAUUCGUAUCAGAGGAGUAUUAUUAUUCAUUUUUUCUUUUUUUUUUCCUUUUUUUUAAGACAAGAAGACAGAAAAUUGACAUGUGAUAUAAGGUAGGCAGUCAAGCAAACUCAUAAUUCGUAAAAAUUUCUUACCCACUAAGUCUAGGUUAUUGAAAAGUUUAUGUGUAAAGAACUAAAUGGCUAAAUAGGUCAAACCAUAAGUGUUCCAUCCCAAUUUAUCAAAAGAAAAAAUUUUACCUUUCACGGAAAACAUGCAAAAACAGCGACAAUGGAUAAGCAAAAUAGAACCAAUAUAUGUUCCUUUCCCCCUACUUGUUUUACAUUGUCCCUAAUGUAAUUUGAAUUGAAUUAAAUGAUAAAAAGUAAAGGUAAGUAGGGAAAGGAAAAAGAAACUCCCCAUGUAUUUCAACGUCAUGGAGGGUUGCCUCGUAGGUGUGUCCACGGUGUUAAAUAGUGGGUAGGUGGAUUGGGCCUUGGCUGAAAUUAAAAGAAUUUUAUGGGCUGACAUGGGAGAUUUAAUUUUGUCUUGGAAUGUCUCCCAAGUCUUCCCUUAGACAGAACUGAUCCUCGACAUGCAUUUUCAUUUUCCGUUUACCAAAAAUUUUAUUUGCAUAAAGGGAAAAAUUUGGGUUGCCUCCCAACAGCGCUUUGUUUAACGUCGUUAGCUCGCCGAUCUGUUAUUCAAAUUCUGGGCUCCCCAAGAACAAUUGUAAGUGUUGCCAGUCCCCAGCAACAGCGCCAAAACUGAUGGGUGUCGAUUCCACCAAUAUAAUCCUACGCGUAAUUUGCAAAUUUAAGCAGUAUAGGGACUAGGGUCGAUCCCUCAGAGACUGAGUUUACUGCAAAUUGUUGCUCUCUUGACCAGAUUUAUGUCAGGGCAGUUGUCGUGCCCAAGAAGUUCGGGGGGAUAAAAUUUGAAACCUGAAAUAAAUAAAUAAAAUGCGUAAAAAGUAAAAGCUGAAAAUAAAAUAAUAAAAAGCUGUAACACCCCUUACCCGAGACUGUUGCUGGAGUCGAGCACGAGGCAUUACCUGACUUACUUACUAAUUCGGAGCAUAAAAUUUGCUUUUAAAAUUAAUUCAUUCACAAUCAAUCCAUAUGUCCCUAAAAGAACUCUCGAGACCCCAAAAUCAUGUAAUAAAAAUGGUUCGGGUCCAAACCGGGAACAUUUAUAAUUUUCCGAAUACUUAAUCAAAUUAAAACAAUUUAUUUCACUAUUCACAAUAAAACUGUCCACCUGCGCAGCAGUCACUUAUUUAAUUAUAACUCGAGUUACGAAACUCAAAAUUUAGAUUCGUAAAUUUUCCCUGAAACUAGAAUCAUAUAUCUUUUUCACUGUCCAGCCAAUUAGUACAGUUUAUUCUUUAAAUUCUCCCCUGUUUCACUGCUCGACAGCUCUGACCCCUCUUCACUAAAAAUUAAUUAUCUUAUUGUACAGAAUUCAGAUAAUAUUAUCGUUUGUUUCUAUUGAAAAUAAAAUCACUAAGGAAUCUAGGCAUAUAAAUUAUAACUCAUAAUUCCUUCUAUACAAUUUUUAAUGAAUUUUUAAAGUCAGAACAGGGGACUUCAGAAACCAUUCUGACCCUGUCUCACUAAAAUUCAAAUAUCUCAUAAUAUAUAACACUUUUUCUACUCUAUUUCUUUCAUGUGAAAAUAGACUCAUUCAGAUUUAAUUUCCUAUCUCACUCAGGUUCUAAUUCAAUUUAUUCUAUUUUUGGUGAUUUUUCAAAAUCACGUCACUGCUGCUGUCUAAAAACUGUUUCAUUGCAAAUUUUUACUCUCUUUUUUGGUGAUUUUUCAAAAUCUGAAGAAAAAUGAAUUAAACUAAGCUCAGCUUUAGGCACGGGUUUUUCUCGUCUUUGAACCGAUCCUCGAAAUUAGAUGAACUCCUCUUUUCCAAUAAGCUAGUUAUAGCUACCAAGGACUCCUCGGACACCAACUCUUCCUUGUGUAAAUUAGUUAUGGAACGUCCAAUAACUAACACUUACCGGUCGAACAACCAACGAAACGUUCGUGAUUUAGAACUCCGGCAGCUUUGCAUUCUAGAAGAGUCUAGCUCGAACCAAUGCCCUCAACCGCGUGGGACAUUUAAAUCCGGUUACUACUUCCCUUGACGGAACCAAACAGCAAUCCCCACUUGGCACACCAAUGUGUUCACAGAAAACCGAUUAGACAAUCGAUCCUUUCAAAAUUCCAACUAUACGUGUAACCACACUAACUCAAACGACGUUUUUUUUUACUUAGUGUUGAUUUGACUUUGUGAGUUGACGAAGUCAUACUCUUAAUCUGGAGAAAUAAUAAGUACUGGAAUUUAGGAGUCAAAUUGCUCGGGUUCGUAACUCACGGAUCUUGACGAAGUUAACACCGGCCUAAAGCUGAAAUGGAUACUUAAUAAAAAAGAUUGGUAAUUAAAAACUUGAUUAAUGACUUGAUUCAAGACUUGAUUCCUAAAUGAACAAUGUAGCCCCCUAUUUAUACUAGUGGCUUUGCUAAAUUAAGAGCCACUAGCCAUAGAGAAUCAAGGAAAUAAAAUAUCCGAUCAUAUAAAAAUCCCUACAUAAUCUCCCACUAAUUAAGUCAACAAAAAUUUUAGCUAAUUAUAUCUUGGAAAAUUCUGCUUUGGCCUGCCUUCUUUGCUCCUUUCUUUCUUCAAUCUAACCCAAUUGCUUCUCCUUUUUCUCUUUUGACCCCAAAUUGUACACCUGUGUAAAAUUUAAGUUAAACAUGGAAAAAUCAGUGGUGCACUCUCGUAAAUUAACCAAUUUAAUUACAUAAAAUAUGUAAUUUUAGCAUUUAAUUAGUUAUUUAUUAGUUUAGAUUUUUUUCUAUGUUGAAUAUAUUUUAGUAAAUAAUAUUUCAUAUUUAACUCUAAAUUUGUUUUUUUAAUAAUAUACACUAGUUAUUCAAUAUAAAUUAAUGUAUCUAAUAAAAUAUAUUUUAAAAUCUAUAUUUUAAAUAUUUUAAGAUUAGAAACCUAAUUUAAAUUUAUUCAAAAGGACAUUUUAAUUAUUAAGUAAUUUAAUUUUAUAAAUAAUUAUAUAUAUCUAUUUGAACAACAAAUACAUAGUAUAUUUAAAAUAUAAUUAAUUAAUUAAAAAUAUUAUUUUCUAUCAUUGUUUUUAUGUAUCUACUUAAAUUUAAAACUAAAAGGAUGUAUGAUAAUGAAUAAGAAAAAUAAUCAAUUAUUUUAUUGAAAAUAAUUCAACUCUAAUUUAAGAUUAAAUAAAGACAGAUGAAGGCUAUUAUAUUAGAAUUAACUUUUUUUUAGUUUUUAUAUAAUUGGAAUUUACUAAUAUGAAGUAAAAAAAAUGCAUUUUAAUAUUGUAACAUUCAUUUACUUUAUAUCAACAAAAUGUUCAACCUUGAAAACAUUAGUUAUGAUUUUUUUUUUGAUAUAUUUACUCAAAUGAUAAAAAUAUUAAUUGAUGUAAAUAAAUAAAAAAUGAUGCAUUUGCAUUUGGUAAGAUUUAAUUAAACAAUAAAAUGUUUUUUUUAUUCUCAUUGAAUAAUUUACUUAUAAAAAUAAUUGUUUCAAAACAUGAAUAUCAGAUCAUAUCUAAUUACCUACAAUAUGAAAUGAGAAAAUUCAUAAAUUUAUUUACUUCAAUUGAAUAAAUUCAAAAAAAAAAUAAACUAAAUAUUCUUAUAUAAAACAUUUACUUUAUAAUUUUUUAAUAAAUUUCAUAUAAUUAUUUGUAAUUAAAUCUAAUAUAAAUAAAAAGACAAACCCGCAGAGCGGGGUUAUAUCCCUAGUAUAGUAAUAAAAUCAAUGCAAUGGGACCCAACUUUUGGAAGAAGAGAGGAUUUCAAGUUGUCUAUAUAGGCUUUGGUUGAUUGAAAUGCAGGAAGGUAUCAAGUGAGUGGUUUGUUGAUUUAGAGAAGAUGGAGGCUAAAUCGUUGUGGGUACUACUCGCUACACUUGUGUUUAUCAUACAAGGGUGGCCACAGACUGAGGGGUGCUUGGAGCUGGAGAGAAUUGCUCUCUUCCAACUCAAAUCUAAUUUCUUCAAUCACCCUUCAUAUUUGAAGGACUGGGUAGAUGUGAAGGGUUCGAAUUGUUGUCAGUGGGAAAGAAUUGAGUGCAACAUCACCAGUAACCGAGUAAUUGGUCUCUAUCUUUAUUCUGUACGUCAAAGUGAUACAUAUGGGUAUCUCAAUAUCUCUUUAUUUCUUCCAUUUGAAGAAUUAAAGAAUCUUUAUUUGAGUGACAAUAAAAUUACAGGUCUUGUGAAUAACCAAGGUUUAUUGCUUUUCUUCUCUCCAAUGACUGAUUCAUCUUUAAAAUUUGAUUUAAUGUUUUCUAAUUAAUUCGUUUAUUUUACAGAUGAGAAAGUGCAAUCGAUGAUGAAUCUGGAAGUGCUUGAUUUGUCUCGUAAUCUCUUGAAGAACAAUGAUGUGGCAUUUCUUAAGGGGUUAGCUAGUUUAAAGUCCUUGAAUAUGGGAGGAAACCAAUUGGAAGGGUCAAUAGGUAUUACAGGUAUGUAAAAUUUCGUAAAAUAAAAAUAACAAGCUAUACGUAAAUUACAAUUUCAUGAAUCUUUUUAACUAUUAAAAAAUUAUAUCCAAAUAUAUUUCCUUCAUAUAGGUAGUAAAAUAAAGGCAUAAUGAUUUUUUUGACCUUCCAACUUUAUAAAAAAAAAUCAUUUUUAGUCCUUAAUUAAAUUUUUUGUCUAUUUUAGUCUUUACACAUGUUUUUUUUUUCAAAUCACGCCAAAAUAGAUGGUUGGUAAUGUGGCAAACAUGUGGAUUUCCAUGUAACUGACAGAUCAUUUAAUUAAAUUUUUUUAAAAUUUAAGUUUUUUUAAAUUUCUAUUUUUUAAUAGUUUUAAUGAUGUUUAAUUUUUAAAAAUACUUUUUAUAUUUUUUUGAAUUUUUCAGUUUAAAAAAAAAUUAAAUGCUGACGUGUUAUCCACAUGACAAUCCAUGUGUAUGUAAUGUCAACAAAGUUUUAAAAUGUUAAUUUUUUUAUUCACUUUAAGAUAAUUUGACAAAAAAAUACAAGUUUAAGGAUUAAAAACAUGAAAAAUUAAAUGGAAGCAUAAAAUAAUUUUUUUUUAUAAAGUUGAAAGGUUAAAUAAGUUAUUAUGCUUAAAAUAGAAUGUAUUUGAUGACUUUUUUUUAUCAAGGAAAGUAGUUGGAUUUCAUGAACCAAAAUUACUUAAUCUUUGUCAUAUGACUUUGUUUGAGUGACAAAAAAGAUAUUUGAUUGAUUUGAAUAGUAUUGAAUAACUUGACAAAGCUAAAGGAGUUGGAUUUGAGUGGCAAUAAAAUUGAGAGCCUGAAAUCUCCUCACGGUAUGUGUUGAUUUACUUUACUUUCUCAUAUUCUCGCAUAUACAUUCCAAUAUCUCAUUUAAAAUUCUAUUAGUAAUAAAUUUGCUUAUCUAAAUGCUUUGUAGAGGGGCUAGUUAAUUUGACUAAUUUAGAAGAACUUAAUAUGGAUUACAACUACUUCAAAAACAACUCAUUGGCAUAGCUUAGUGGGUUUUCCAAUCUAAAGUUAUUGAGUAUAAGCGAAAACCAGCUUAAAGGAUCAAUAAAUAUUAAAUGUGGAAUUACUUAAUAUAUUUAAUCUUCCUUUAAACAAAGCAAACUAUUUGUUGAAUUAUUGUCUUUAUUAUGUGUGAUUUAAUUUUAAAUUUAAUUUGUCUAUUUUUAUAGAAUUAUUAGAUGCUCUGAGCAAUUUAGAGUCACUGAGAAAAAUAUUUUAAUUUUAAAAAAUGUAUAAAAUUUAUAUAUUAUCUCUUGAAUAAUUUAAAUUAUAAUGAUAUUUUUAAUAUAUUAAAAUUAAUAUAUUAUCACUUUUACUAUUAUAUAAAAAAUUAUAUUAACAUAUAAAAAUCAUUUAUAAAUUAAAAAUUUAUCUCUCUAAUAUAUUAAGUAAUUUAUAAAUUAAAAAAUUUAUAAAAAUUUUGAUGUUGAGAGACUUGGUAAGUGUCCAUAUAUUUUACUUUAUCAAAUUGCUACAUUUAUUAUACUAAUAUCUAAAUGCUUUGUAGAUACAAUUUAAAUCUCAUUAAUUAAUUUUUUAUUAAUAUAUUAUAGUUUUUUAAUUUAAAAAUUCAAUCUAAAUAUUAAAUGUUGUUAUAAGUGUAUAACAAUCACUUAUCUAUAACAUCCAAUAGUGGUUAUACAAAAGUUGACUAUAAGUGAAUUUUUGUGACUAACAAAAAAUGUAUUGAAUUUAUUUGGAUAGUAUUGAAUAAUCUGACAAAGCUAAAGCAGUUGGAUUUGAGUGACAAUAAAAUUUGAGAGCCUCCAAUCAUCUCAUGGUAUGUGUUGAUAUAUUUUACUUUAUCAUAUUCUUACAUAUACAUACCAAUAUCUUAUUUAAUAUUCCAUUAGUAAUAAAUUUGUUUAUCUCAAUGCUUUGUAGAUGGUGAGAGGCCACUUAAUGUAACCAAUUUAGAAGAGCUUAAUUUGGAUUCCAACUCCUUCACAAACAGCUUAUUGGCACAGCUUAGUGGGUUUUCCAAUUUAAAGUCACUAGAUAUAGGGUAUAACCAGCUUAAAGGAUCAAUAAAUAUUAAAGGUGGAAUUACUUAAUAUAUUUAAUCUUCCUUUAAAUGAAAUAAACUACUUGUUGAGUUAUUGCAUUUAUUCUAUGUGAUUUAAUUUUAAAUUUUGUUUGUCAAUUUUUACAGAAUUAUUAGAUGCUUUAGGAAACUUAGAGGAGUUAGACAUGAGCGGGAAUGAGGUGAAGGAAAUUGUGCCCAUAAAGAAUAAAGGUAUAUGUAUCAACUAAAGGAAAUCUUACUAAUUGUUUUCCAUUAGAUAUCAAGUGAACUGAUUCCAACCACUAAUUUGACUCUUAGACAAUGGAAGUUUGGGAAAGCUAAAGGUUGCUACAUUAAACCGUGUGUUCACCGAUGGAACUGCUUCUCUAAUACAACUUCUAGAGACAUUCUCAUCUGUUAAUACAUUAUAUUUGAGUGACAAUUACUUCAACGACACCUUUUCUACUCAAGGUAUAAUAUAUAUGUAUGUGAAUAUAUAGUUUUAUAGUUUGGUUCCAUUUAAAAAUAUUAUUUACUUAACGUCAAUCAUCUAAAUAACUCUUAUAAAUUUGUAAAGAUAAAUUGCAUGUGUCGAGCAAAAUUGAGGAAUUAGUACUAGAUCAAUCAUCUCUCAACAACAACAUUCUUCAAAGUAUUGGUGCAUUGGCUUCUCUUAAAAUUGUCUUUGAGUGGUUGUGGGCUGUCUGGGACAUUACCUACCCAAGGUAAAUUAAUAAUUAUGACAUAAUUAUUUAGACAAGCUCUUGAUUAAUUAUUUUUUAUCCUCCUAGAAUAUUUAAAUAAUUUGUACAAAUUUAUUUUACAGGAUGGUGUGAUUUACGGAAAUUUGAGGUGUUGGAUCUUAGUGAAAAUGCUCUUAAAGGAACCCUCCCUUCAUGUUUGGCUAACUUGUCAUCACUUCAUUAUUUGGAUAUUUCCGGUAAUCAAUUCGUCGGGAAAGGUGCCUCCACUGCCUUAGCCAAUCUCAAUUUGCUUAAAUUCAUUUCUCUUUCACGAAACCUUUUCGAAGUUCCUUCCAUUUUCAUAUCUUUUGCCAACCAUUCACACCUCAAAGUACUCUCCAGCAAUCAAAACAAGUUAGUCGAAGAGCCUACCAUUCCAACAUGGGUCCCAAAGUUCCAACUAAAAGCCUUCCGUUUGUCAAAUUGCACAACAAAGGAACUCCACAUUGAACUUUCGAAAUUCCUCUAUUACCAAAAUAACCUGAGUAUUAUUGAUCUUUCAUAUAAUAAUUUUGAAGGAAAGGUUCCUUUUUGGUUGUUAGAGAACAAUACAAGAAUGGAAGCAUUUUUAAUGACGGGUAACUCUUUUAUGAGUCAUCUCAAUCUUCCAUCUCAUCCGAAUCCAAACAU